GAACAAGAGAUGGAGAUGGAGAGAGAGAAAGCGAGAUGUGGACUUGUUGUAGCAGACAGUGCCACGUUGUUUCUCUAUCAUACAGUGUCCGCACAUUGGUCGCAAUACUCUCAAAAAAAAAAAUUCUUUUUUUUUUUUUUUUUUUUUAUGUUAGAUAACUCGAAUGUCUCCUAGAGUCCUAGCUAUACACAAUUUAGUAUAGUUGAUGUCUUUAUGAUGAGAUUAGUGUUUAUGAAGCAAGCAUUUGAAAUUUUGGUUUACGAAACUAUAAUUAGGGAUGGUACGUUUUACAUUCACAUAAGUCAUAACCAAAAGUUCGAGUUAUGUAUGUAUUUUGAUGUGAUCAUUUAUAUUUAGAGACAAUACUGUUUAUGUUUUAUUUUUAAAUUUAUCCUAUUAAUUGUAUUUUUAAAAAUAAGAAAAAAGAAAUUUUUAUUAUUAUUUUAAGUUUAUAACGUUUUACGUUACUUUUUUUUGUCAAUGAAACUUUUUACGUUAUAACCUAGGUUGCAUGUAAACGGAAACGCAUACGCGGAAACGAAACGUUUCGGAAACGGGAAACGACAAUUUUUGAAAAUUAAGGAAUGGAAACGUUUUGGAAACGUAUGUAUAUAUAAUUUUAUAUAUAUAUAUAUAUAUAUAUAUACUAAAAUUCCAAAUAUAAAAUCCAUACUAAAAAAAAAAAGAAUUUUUGAAAACAUAAAUACUAAAUAGUUAAACAAAACUCUAAAAGAUAAUACUAAAACGCUCAAAUUCAAAUGUUUGGACCAACAUCGCCGUUAUCAUUUUUAUCAAAUAAAACAGCCUCUAAAUCAGGUUCGUCUAGAGAAAGAUCUUCAGACUCAAGUCUCUCAAGAUUAAACUCAUUUAGUGAAUCAAGUUGAUCACCUCCAACAUCCCACAUAUGAUUAGGACCAUAAUUUAUAUUUAUAGAAAUUAUACAUCUUUUUAUUAGAGAUAGAUACAAUCUUUCUUUUUUAAUCACAAUAUAUAUCUUAUAUUUUAUAUUUUUUAAUCUAAAAACGGAAACGAGAGUUUCCAUCGAGUUUCCAAAUGAAAAAUUUUAGGAAUCGUGUUUCCAUGGGUAGUUUCCGAGUUUCCGAGAGUUUCUGUUUCUGAAACGUUUCGGAAACGGGAAACGCACUUCGAAAAGAGUUUCCAUGUAACGUAGGUUAUAACUAUUAAUUAUCGUCAAAGAAAAUAAGAACUCUAUUUUGUUUGUUUUCGUUCUUUGUCUGUUUUAAGACCAGAUUCUGCAACCACGAGUAUCCCGUUUGUUCUUAUUAUUUUAUUUUUUAUAAGGUUUACGUUAUUUUUGUCAAAAAAAACUUAUUACAGUAUAAAUAUUAAUUAUCGUCAAAUAAAAACAAACUCUGUUUUUAAAAAUAUGUUACGUUAUGUCUUUUGUCAAAAGAAACUUUUUACGUUAUAACCAUUAAUUAUCGUGAAAAAAAAAUUGUUUCUUUUUGUUUUUUGUUUGUUGUGUUUCAAGACCUUGAUUUUCUCUUUAACAACAUGUACCCUGAUUUUCCUUAAGUUAUUCAUAUUUUAAAAUUAAUAGCUUUGAUUUGUGACACUAAAGAAAGCGAUACAAAUCAUACAGUUUUAAUUUUCUCAUUCACAAAAACGUUACUAAAAACUUUAUGAAAAAAUAAUCUAUGCUUUUAUAUACCGUUUUUCUUUACAGUUUUAUUCUCAAAACUGUAUAAAAUAACUGUAAGCUGGGUAGUAAUUUUGAGGUGUUAAACAAAUUUUUAAUAAAUUUAAUGAUUAAUAAGAAUUUAUGAAAUGAUUAAUUUUUCUUCCUCCAAUGGUGAACUCUAUAAGAGUUCUAAAAAAAAAAAAAAUAUUUUUAAUAUAAUUUCUAUUUUAAAAAAUAAAGCCAAAAUUAUAUUACAUUACAUAAAUACAAAACAUAUAAAAUAUAAAAAUUAAAAUAAAACACACACUCAAAAGUGUUUAGUUGAAUUCUCCCCAAAAAAAAAUCUUUGUAGUUACAGCAAAACAAACCUAUAUACUUGAGAAUCCACACAUAAAUAAAAAGCUACACGAUCCUAUUCAUUGAUUGACAUUCACCACACAUGCUGUUUUAUCAUAACACGUGGCCUUAAGGAGUGGUACCAAAACCCCUUCGUUAAGGGACGCUCUCAAACAUUUAUACACUUUCUGAUUUAUUUUUAAUUACAUUAAUCUCAUAAUCUCAUAAUCUCUAAAGUUUUUUUGUUUAUACUCUCCCUUUGGAGAUGGUCUAAGCUUUUACGGAACAGUGCAGAGUUGUAAGGAAAAAUGGUACAUAAAAGUUGUACAAAGAAAGAGAGAGUAAAAUUUUUUAAUAAAGAUUUUGUGAUUAGUAAAAUCUAAAAACCAUAAUAGUUGUAAAACUUUUAUAUGUUUACCAAUCAAAGCGACUAGUUUCAGCUUACAACUUUUUUGUAAAUAUGUUAUCAAUCAGACCUAAUAUAAUUAUAGAAAAACAGUAGUUAUCAAUAACAACUAAAAUUUGAACGCUCAUAUAUAUUAACCUUUCUCUCUUCCUCAUAAUUUUUGUUUGUUUUGGAUAUUUAUAUAUCUAAUUUAUGGUAAUAGUAUUGUGAACAAACAAUGCUUUUUAAUCAUGGUUGAUUUCUCCAAAAUAGAGCAAAAAAGAUCACUAAAACCAUUGUAGAAAAACAAAAAAAAAAAGAUUGUAUUGUUGGAUAAUGAUUAUGAUUCGUUGAUGACAUAUAGGAUUAUUAUAAUUUGUUUAGUUGUAAAAUUAUAUUUUAAAUUUAAAAUGUCAGUCUAGAUUCAUGUAACUUAUAUGAAUUGUUCAUGUGCGACAUGUCCCAUCCCAUAUGCUGUUCCUCGCGGCCACACGUUGGGGGAAAUCUAACUCGAUUAUAAUUUCUCUUACUAUACUUUUAGAUUCCUAAAUUUCUAAUAAUGCCUUCUUAGAAAAUAAUACUCAAAAGUUAGGAGACAAUAAGAAAACGUAUAUUGUUGUAUACUAUAUAAUUUCCGGCAUAUUAUUGGAUAGUAAACUUUGGUGCAAUUCGUAUGAUUUGGGUUGCUUACUAAAUUUAACCCAAAAAAAAAAAGGAUCCAAGUAAAAAAAAAAUGACAAACAAAUAUGCAAUACACACAAUUGAACUAAGACUUAUUUUGAACUAAAUGUUGGAACUACAAUUUUGAUAUAUGGUUUCAUUCAAUAUUAUGGUGAUUUUCUUGAUGAAGUUUAUCACUUGAAUGAUCGAAUUUUGGGAUUUUUGGAUUUUUUGUCGUCAGUAGUAGCAUAAAAAUAUAUUUAUAUGUUAAAAUCAAAAUCGUAUUGAAUUAGAAGUUAAAAUUUAGUGUGAUUAGUUUAGCUUUUUAUAACUUAAUCUAAAAUACAUUUUUCCUAUCUUAGAAAAUUUAAUUUUUUUUCCUCUAAAAGGUUCUCUACCUUUUGAAAAACACACUAUGGUAACUAAUAUGCAAAACCACCCAAGCUCGCUGCCACUUCUGAACCAGUUCUUGGAUCUUGGUGAAUUUGACCCAAGAAAUUUUUUAAAUUUUCUUUCAUUGUAACAUAAGUUAUAUUUUUGUUCAUCUUAUGCCACAGAUUAAAUGUCUCAAAAUUAAGUUGCAUAGUAACAUCGAAUCAUGUUUUAUAACAUAUAAAAACUGAAGAUAAAUUAGAUGGUUUUGGAGAUCAGAUCUUCCGUCUUAUAUCACUUGCUCUCAAACUCCCAUAUCUUGCCGAUAGUAUGUCCAAUUGGUAACAUAUAUAAAAUUGUACAAAAAACUGUAAAUGAUCCAAUAAACUAUUACGAAAUAAUACAAAAUUGUAAGAAAAAAAUGUACGUAAAAACUUUCAAAUAAAAGUUUAGAAUAAAGAUUUGACAAGGUUUUCAAUAAUUUGUGAUUGGUAAGUUUUAAAAUUGUAUAUUUUGUAACGCUUCAUUAAGCUGUUACCAAUCAAUACAUGUAUUUUGUCCAAUAUUGCAUUAUAAAAGCAUCUUGUCACUCAUUUUUCAGUUUUAACAUUUUUUGAAACAAAAACCAAUCAAUUUCUCUUGCUCUCUUUUUCACAAAAAAAAAAAAAAAAUGUCUCAAAAAUGUAUUUCAAAAUUAUAGUUCGUUGGUUAAUUAUGUAAUUUAAUUUUACAAGGUUGUAGUUGUAUCGUUAAAGUCACGGUCUCUUCAAACAGCUAAGAGCAACAUUAUCCAUAAGAUGUUAAAAUUUUCUCUUAGGAUUAGUUUAUUAGUAUAUUUGAAAAAGUUAAAGGUAAGAGUUGUAUUUUGGUUUUUGGUUUUGAGAAGUGAUUAUUGGUAGUAUGUUAAUUUGGGGUUCUUAGGAAAAAAGAAAAUAUUUAAAAAUUAAAUUAAAAUUUGGAAUUUUUGAAAAUACAUAAUAUACAAAUUAAAAGAUAUAGUUAUUGAAAAUUUAAAAUUUCACAUAUAUAUAUAUAUAUGUAUAUAUAACAACUUCUUUUUCUUCUCUUUCUCUCGCUCAUAGUAAAGACUUGGAACUCAAGCCUCUCACAUUAUGACUAUUUUCACGAGAUAUCACACCCAUAGGAUUGUAUUAUGUGUUUUAUUGUCGCUCUUCUUUGUACAAUGUGUUUGUAUCUCCAUAUUAACCUUGCAGAAAAACACAGAACAAUGUGUUAGAAAAGACUGAAACAAUUAUCAACAACACAAACAAACACAGACACUAAUCUAAGCUGUAUGAAAUACACAGAAUUUAAACACACAAACCUCAAACAAUUCUUAAUCUCAUUCGCAUAGUUUGUAUAACAUAAACAAAUAGUCAAACCAAGUGUUAACAAAAUCAUUCGAUCCCAUAGAUCAUAUGAAAAGAGAACUGAACUAAUCUAAUAUCAAAAACAGAUAAUUAUAACACAUAAAUCUAAAAGAAUUUUUUACCUCAUUCGCAUAGUACUUAUAAAUGACACAAACCAGACACAAACAAUGUUUUACAAGCAUCUUGCAUCACCUAAAAUCACAGCAAAGUGUAAAUCGAAACACUCAUCAACACAAACCAUCGAAAUAAAACUAUCUACACAAAUAAUCAGAUUAAAUCGGUGCCAUUGGUGUAGACCCUUAACAAAUCAUGCCUAAGUAUAAAGAGANNNNNNNNNNNNNNNNNNNNNNNNNNNNNNNNNNNNNNNNNNNNNNNNNNNNNNNNNNNNNNNNNNNNNNNNNNNNNNNNNNNNNNNNNNNNNNNNNNNNCAUUCAAACAACAUUUCGAACAUCCAGAGAGAGAGAUUCAUACCAUAACUUACCGAUUUGAGAAGGAUUGGAACAAAUCGGAGCCAACAAUUUCCGGUACUCCUCGCCGUCUUUUUCUCACACCACUUGUUGAUUUCAGCAUCUCCUCCUCCCGUGGAACUCCCGCAACGCUGGAGGUCGUGAUAUCUCUCAGAUUGGUCGGCCGGACGACAUCUACGGCGGAAGAUCGGAGAUGAGCCGAAUCGCCAUCUUCAUCGCCAAAAGGAAAAAAAACUUUGUUUUCACGAGAGUGAAAUGAGGAGAAGACAGAACGCGAGAAGAGUUUUUUUUUUCCUUUCUUUUUCUUCUUCCACCAAUAAAAAGCUGCCACAUGUCCGUCUCUUAUCACAGUUUACGUAUCUUAAACAAGCAACGUAUGUUAUGAUAAAUGAUGAUUAAACAUUUAAUUUUAAUCAUAAAAAACUUAAAAAUCACCUAAGAUACCACCGUUAAUCCUGCUCUAACACUGUAAAAAUUCGUUUGAAUUAACGAAGUAUAUAAAAUCUCGCAUUGCGUGUUUUCUUCCUAUAAAACAAUUGUUUCUUUAUUUUUUUCUAAAGUUUUACAUGUUGUUUUCUUAUCUGGAUCUAAAAAAUUAUUUGAACACGGAUUGUUACUUAUUUAUAAGUUUUAAAAUGAUUCAAAUAAUAAAAAUAAUAACUAAAUGAAUAUAUUGAUUAAACAAUUAAAGUGCUGGAAUAUUUUUUUGAUAACAGGACAAAUUAAGAAGAAUCUAUUUUGAAUACAAAGCUGAAGAAUCUAUGUAUAAUAUUUUUUGUUAAAGGAUUUAAGAAUCUAUAUUUGUUUAAUUAAUUUUAAUAUCACGAUAAUCGCUUUGAAAGCAAACGUCAUAUGCUUUUAUUAAAUUAUGUAUUACAAAAAAAACUUUGUGAAAAAGUUCCAUCUUGGAAGUAUUUUUGCCUUGAUCAACGAAGAUAAUGUAUUUAGCUUUUGUUUUUCUUUUCUUUUCUUUCUAAAAUGGUAUAAGAUAUACCAAAAUAGUAAAAAGUUAAGUACAUAAACGAUCUAAACCAUGACAACAAUAUAUACAAAAAUAACUAAGAUAUAUACUGACAUAUGUAGUACAUUAAUUAUAACGGUUAUUGUUAUAGAUCAAUAUUUAAAUCUAACUUUACGUAAUGCAUGCUGCUAACACACCAAAAAAAAAAAAUCAAUUUAAAUUUGAUAAGUUUUUGUGUUAUCAGUACGUAUUUAAUUAAUGAAUGUUUUUUUAUUUUGGAAACGACAUUAUAUUCAUUUUAUGUUUCAUACAAUAGAAAAUAAUACAGUAAUCGUCCAUAUAAAUGUAUAUAUAAGAAUCUUUAAUUAUAAAAAAUGACGGAAUCUUUAGCCUUUAAAUAAGUUCAUAAAAUAUAAUAGAGAAAAACAUAAUGUAUAUAAACAGAAACUGACGUAAAUAUACGUAGAUAGAUUAAAGAAAUACAUGACCAGGGCUAAUGCAUCUCAUGUAUACUCUGGCAACAAGAAUAUUUUCAAUACUAAAAUUUUGAAUUGUUAAUAAGUUAUUUAACAUAUUUCUCUAAACUCUUUACUUUCUUAAACAUGUCAGCAAUGACAACUUGUUAUGGAGCAAUUUCCGAGUAAUCAUAAAAUAUAUCACUGAUUUCUAAUCAUCCUUUUUUGUUUUUCAAUACAGUAAGAAUGUUUAUGUAUGGAUUUAAACUUCCUGUAAUGCAAUUGAGCAUGCAAGAUUGAAUACACCACGUGGCGACUUACCAGGCUUUUUUGUCUUGCACUCUUUGACCAAGCUCUAGUGUUAAUUUGCUUUGUUACUAUUGUUUGAUGACCCAAUUCUCAUUACAACUUUUGUAUUUAAUUAGAAUCCGUUUUGUGGUUGAUGCAAGUGAGACCAUAGAUUUUUGAAUGGUACAUGAAACUAAUCACCCAAGAUUCCAAGCAAUUGAUAAAUAUAUACUCCCAAUAUACUAUAUUUCAAACAAGUAAUCCAAUUGGAAAAUGAAAAUACAUUUCCGUGCACUUCACUCAAUGACCCAUGAACACUUCGACAAUUGGGGUUGUCAUGAAGUUUAGGCCCUAUAACUAAAAUGUCUUCAUUCUCUGAUUCACAGGAAAAAAAAAAUUACAACAAUAUGAUAUAAACUAUGAAACAAAAAUGGCGAGAAAAAAGAACUAUGUUAUUUCAAUAAACCACAUAUUAUUUAUGAGAUAUAUAUGAGGUUACAUUAUUUUUGACAGAAGAAUUAAAAUCAAAGUAGAUAUGAAUCAUUUAUGUAUUGAUUCAGUUUUACAUCGAAUUGUUUAGCUUUCGGAGUAAACCGAAGCAAGAAACUUUUUGAGUCGCCUGUUAUAGACACAAGGUCUCUCCAAAUGUGCCAAGUGACCUGCUUUUUUUAUGCUCUCCAUUGUUGCAUUUUCUCCUAAUUGCCUUUCAUUUUAAACAUGAUUUAAGUGAGAUAAAAUUAUAUCUAAUAUUUUUGUAAAACAAAUACUGUAUCAAAACUUACUCUUUCAUUUUCUUGGCAAAUCCAAUGUUAAAAAUUUGAUCGCUUUCACCCCAUAGAAGAUGUAUUUUCUGUCAAACAAUAUUUUCAAAAAUUAAUCGAAUCGUUAAGUAGUAAAUUGAAAUGCAUUUUCGAUUUAAUCGGAUAAGUGUUUUAUGAUCUGGAAGAGUUUUGUCGAUAUAAAUUAUAUAAGUUAAGUUAUAUAAGUUAUGAGAUUUCAGAAGUUACUCAAAAAUGGUGUUAAUUUAUUCUCGAGUUUCAAAUUUUAAAAUAAUAUUUUUACGACAAAACUCUUCCAGAUCAUAGAACAUUUGUCCGAUUAUUUCUUGUUUGUCACUAGAAAAAUCCAGUAUUUAUAAAGUUGCUUUCAUAUGUUUUCUUGUGAAUGACUUUUUUUUUAAUUAUCUAUAUGAUAAGUAUAUAAUUAUUAACCUGUUGAAAUCGAGGGAUAGUCGUAUCUUUGUUGCUGAUGACCAAAGCUUCUAACAAUUCGGCUCUUUCCUUCCUAUUGGUAAUCAUCACCUUCAUAAUUUCCAAAAAAAACUAUAUUAGCAUAUGGAAACUAUAUACUUUCUUAUCAAGAAAUAUGAAUAAUUAACAAUCCCAAUUAAUUCUAGACUAAGGAUUAGGGGUUCAUAAAUAUAAGUUUUUGCACAAAUAAAAAGACGGUCUUGCUAAGCUCUAAAACUAAAUGAAAAGCCAAACAUAUCCAUAUUUUUUUCUUUUUUUUUCUUUUACUACCAACAUAUAUGUCAAAAACUCACUUGUCUUCUCCUUGUCAUGAGAUUUUUAUAUUCUAGGUAAGUUAAGAAAUUAAACAAAGCGAGCACCACAAAGCUAGCUACUAGUAUUUAUACUAUAGUCAUUUUACAUGUCUGUUAUUUAUAUUAAAAAAUGAUGCUAUUUAUCGAGCUCCGGGAUCAAAUUUGACUUCCGGAUGCUACAUAAUAAAUUGCAAAGUUUGAGUAGCUAGGUACCUCAAUGAAAUCCUUAAAGAGCCGGUUCGGGAACCACAUGGGUCUAUGAACAGCAAGGCUGAAGAGAGUCUUGAGUCCUUUCACCGAAGUUGGUAACAAAAGAUCUGUCGACGACUUGAAACCUAACUGGUUCAAGUUAGACUCACUGAUCGUAUCAGUCAUCGCAAGUAUCGAACCUGAUAAUGAAAAAAAAAGAUCUUAUAAUUGUCUACGUAGAUUUAAGAAUGAUAUUACAAUGCAUAUGGUAAAUACCUGAGACCACCAUGGCCCGGACCAUCUCAGGGUACUCCUCGGCGAUCUUGAAAGCCACCAUGCCACCAUAACUAAACCCUACAAGGAAAAACUUAUCCACGCCGAGGAUACGAAGAGACUUGACUAAACAGUGAGCUUGAAACGCUGGUGACCUGUCCGGGUUGUCGGAGUAAGACCCACCAAAGAAGAGGAGGUCAGGUAUAUAGACUGAGUACUUCUUGGCUAAUGAUCUAACCUGGAACUGCCACGUAACGAUCCCUUCUGCUGCAAAGCCAUGGAUGAGCAAGACGACUGGUUUGGUAGGUUUUUUGGGUUCCACGGCAGAGUUUUUGUCAGAUUUUUUUGGUUUUUUUAGGGUUUCUUUGGGGAUCCAGAAGUUCAUCUUCGUCCCUGGUUCAGUCUCUACGGUGUAGGGAAUGACGCCAGCCAAUUUUAUGAGACUGUACAACAAAGGUUUUUGCGACUCCACAAUGUUCACCAUUGUGUUUACUCUAUCUUUUGUUUUUGGUUCUUGUUUGGAUAUGUUUUAAAGAUAGAACAGCAUAUGGAGGGUGGUGAUGAGCUUAAUUUUAAAGCUUUUUUGAGUUGGAAUUAAUUAUAAUGUAUCUGGUGUUGGGUUCUUGUUGCUACACAUUUUUAUAUAUUUUAUCUUGUUUGACGUUUUGAGUGAUAACUUACCAAAUAGCAUGUAGCUACGUACGUACUACUUAAAACAUUUUGAUAACAAUAAAAAUAUAAUGUUUUUCUUUAGUCUUUCAGGUAAAUCUAUUCGUUUUAAUAAUAUACUGUCACUCUAUUACACCUAUAUGCAUUUUUUCUUUUUGAACAUUUCAUCUUUCCUUAAUGUUACCAACCAAAACUGAUAGAAAAAUGGAGAUGAUAGAGAGUUCUUGAUUACUUGCCUUGCAUGUAAUCUCUGGACUAUGAAUCUAGUCAGAGUUAUAAAUAUGCACUUCCUAUUAGUGUCGAUAUGUUGUAAGACAAUUCUUGUUAUUUUUUUUGGAGAUAUUUACUAGAUUGUCAAAUUUCGCAAAACAAAUGUAGUGGUAGAUAUAUUUUUCGCAAGUAGUAAACUAAAAUAAAAUAAGAAUUUGAUACUUGUUUAUUUUUUUUUUUGGUAAGAAAAAUCUGAUACUUGUUAAGUAAACUCAUAAUUAUUUUUGUAUUAUAAAUAUACAUAGUGUUAUUAGUGAACUUACUUAUUUACUGUAUUUGUCAUAUGUUUUUAAAUAGGUCGAAUUUAAACUUAAUUUACAUUUUUAUAUAACUUGAAAUCAAUAGUAUUCAAUUAUUAUAAUUAUUGAAGUUUACAAUUCAUCAAUAAUAAUUAAUAAAUAUUGCAUAUAAUUAAAACCUAGAAAUUUUCUUUUUUUGAAACAGAAAAGUUUCUAGAAAAUAGAGUAAUAAAAAACAGAGAGUAUUAUAUUACUAUUUUGUAGAAAAUAUUUAACCAUUAUUAAUUUUUAAUAUAGAAUAAAAUCUGAUCAUCUACAUUCUACAAGAUUUAUCUUUGUUCAUGAUGUUAUGGACUAAUUAAAUCGGUCCUUUUCAUACUGAUCUAAAGAAAGCCCACACGUCCAUACCUCCUACGAUUUAUAUUUUGUUUGAAAAUAUUUUAUAUUGAUUAGUUGAGCUACGCAAUUAGAUACGAUUACGCACAAUUUACUAUACUCCAUAAAUUUGAUUAUACACUUUUAGUAAAAACGUCAUUUUUGAGUGUUGUUGACGUAGUCACGAUUUGUACCUAACGAUUAUAAGUUUAAUAUACACACAAACCCAAAAUGACAAGAUAUCUCUAUAACCUAACUACAUAGACCAAAUAAUAUAUAUUUAAAACAAUGUCAUACCAAAAUGUUGAAUUUUUACAUUUACAUUAAAAGUUACUUUCACUCCAUCACAAACCAAACCAACAUCUAAUAUUUCUCUAAAUUAUAAUAAUAAAAUUUCCUAAAUUCUCCACAUAUAUAAAUUGCAUGCACACGUCUUCACUCUACAUAUAUAGCAAAAAUACACCUUACAGAUUUUUAUUUAACUAUUCUCAAUAUCUACAAUGAUGAACAUAAUGAAAAGUGUAGCGAUCAUUUGCGUUCUUGGGAUAUUCUUUAUGCCUCGUUAUUCUGAAUCCGCAAUAUCUUGUAGUGUUGUGCUACAGGAUUUGCAGCCAUGUGUUAGCUACUUGACCAGCGGAAGUGGAAAGCCUCCCCAAACUUGCUGCGACGGAGUUCAGAAUCUAGCGGCGGCGACCACCGCAUCUGCCGAUAAGAAGGCGGCUUGCCAAUGCAUCAAGUCAGUGGCUAGUAGUGUGACCGUGAAGCCUGAAUUGGCUCAAGCCCUUGCUAGCAACUGUGGUGCGAGCUUGCCCGUUGAUGCAUCUUCUACUGUCGACUGCACUACGUACGUUUUUAAUGAUAUGAUCUCGAGUCUUGACUGAUUUUUGAAGUUGUCUAGUAUCUUGGUCUUAUUAUAGUUCUAACUAAGAAAUUUUCAAGUUUAUAAUACUAAACUUUAGAAAGCACUUAAGCUGAACAUAAUAUAACCAAUAUAAUCAUAUUUUACAACUUUUAAGUUUUACUUAUGGCUAAUUUCAAAUUGUAAAUAUUUGAAAUUUCAUAUCGAAUAUAUAACUUUGUUUAAUAAUAAUUUAAUACGUUUUCUAUAUUAAUUGACUGUAAACUUUGUUUAAAACAAAAUAUUUUUACUCAAUUUUGGAACAAUUUGCAUCUCCUAUGCACUUAUAAUAAUUAAAGAUUUUUGAGUUUUGUUUGAUUUAAGUUCUAAACUAUACGAGAUGAAAUAAAUAACCAUUUGUUGAAUUUCUUUUUAUUUUUGCAGGGUUGGUUGAGUUAUUCUCAACAUCCAACAAUAUAAUGGUACUUCUUAUAUUAAUUAAGUACGCGGUUUAUUUCAAUAAAGACGCCUUAUCAUAUAUUUAGGCGAGUGUUUAUGCCGACACAUGCCAUAUCGUUACGUAUGACGAUGUACAUGUUAAUGUGUACUAGUUCUUUUAGUGCAUUUGUGCAUGCAAUGUAAUCAUUUACUCCGGUGGUUUGGAUAUAUAUUGUGAACUGAUGAGUCAUAAAACAAAACCCCAGCUUUUCUUGUUGUCAUAUAUUUUUAUCAGAGCUCGAUCUAUGUUUAGUAUAUUUCCUUAUUGGAUCACAAACUAAAUAUCAUAAAGUAUCAGUAUGAGAAGAUUUUAUCAAAUCAAAAUAAAAAAUUGAUCAUGUCAUUAAAGAAAAUAUGGGAAGGUGAAUUUUUGCUGUAGUUUAUUACAAUGUACGCACUUUUUUAUUCUUUUCAGUCGUUCUACGUAAACUUCCUUAAGAAAUGAAAGAAUUCAAAAAACAAAGUAUUGUGGAAAUUAUUUAGAAGAGGUAUGUAUGUCAAUUCACAUACCUUUACGCUAUCCUGUAGAAGAGAAUGCUAAAAAAAAAUCGAAUUUCCUUCUUUUUUUUUUUUUUUGCUAAGAAGGUAGAUAUUGUUAGUUGUUUGGUAGAUAUUUCACUGAAUAUAAAAAUAAUUUAGGUUUACAAUCAAUUUAUAACUUAUAAACAUGGUUUUAUGACAAAAUAAAAAUAAAAAUAUAGAAACAUAAUUUUUGAUUUGAUUUCGGUCUAACCAUUCAACCAAAGCAUUGAAGCUUAAGAAGUUAGAAAAAGCGAUGACGAUUUUGAUUGUUUUCCCUGAAUUUGUUUCGGGAGAUGAAGAGUGUUGCAAGAAAAAGAAAUCUGAAUACAAAAGUCUAUUAUCACUAAAAGCCUUUCAAAUGAACGUUCCUCUUACGUCUGUGAGAGAUUCCGAACAUCAAAUCCAUGAGCUUUCCCAUAACGAAAUCUCACUGACCAAAUUUUGCGAACGAUGCAAGAUUCCUUUACCAAAUUUCUUGAAGUUGGCUAGCUCAAAGCCGACUCAACAUAUAUAAAAUGAGCAUUUCAUAUCCUAUCAAUUAUCCCAUAAACUCAACAUAUAUAAAAUGUAACUUUAUUUUGGGGGUGAAUAAAACCUCCAUAAGUCAAUUAUUCUCCCAAAAAUACAUGUGAUUCGUUUUGCUUUGCUCUUCAAGUUUUAACGUUUAUAACAGUUAACUCUUAAACACCUCUCUAGAUAUCUUUGGUUGGUUAAUUUCGGAAUGAUCAUCUCUAGCUGCUGUAUUAUAUUGUAGUUUUGCAACCUGGAUUUUUAUGAUCACUUCUUUUUCCAUUACUUCUUGUGCGAGUAAAAACCAUACAAUCAAACUGGAAAACAAAAAGAGUUCAAGAAAAUUUGAUUUAGACGCAAAAGUUGAUCUAUUACAAGAGAUUUCUUUGAUUAGCUUGAGAAACUCGUUAAUAUUCUUAGCAAUAAUCUAGCUUUAGUAUUCUUUGGAGUAAAAUUGUGAUGAUUUGUAUCGUUUUCUUGUCUAGCUCUCUAUUUAUAUGGAGGAGUCGUUGGUUUCGGAGAAAUGUUCUACUACUUCUUUAUUAGGUAAAGUUCUUGUACCUAAUAAAGAACUUGACCUAACUUCGAGGACGAGUGUUGGGCUUUCUCACUUGCUUACUAAUAAAUAGAUUUGGGCUUCACCAGGCUAAUGUCCACUUACAUUUCUUUGCCUCCCUUUUAAAUGAUCUCAAAUGCUUUCUUUAUUUGUCUAGGAACCAAGAAAAGCUUUGCUAAAUUCACAUUUUUUUUAUGAAGCAAAAUGCGAGGAUGGUACUGUAUAUAUUUGCUACAAAAAGAAGCAAAAACCAGAUCACUUAACAAUGCAUCGAACAACGUUAAAGGCUUAAAAGACGACACCAAAAUAAAGUUGAAAUAUAUGUAUCAUAUAUAGUAACUAGUAAGUGGGAACAUCAUGAAAAGGGUUACUACAGUACGUAUUUGUAUAUGAUAACACCAUAUAUAUAUAUAUAGCUUUCAAAAAAGUCGUGAAAAAGAAAACACAAGUAGCUAAAAGAGUCGAAAUAAAAAGAAUUAAAAAAAAAAAAAACUAAAAUAAUAAUGAAUUUGACCAAGACUGAAUUUUACUUUGUGUGAUACAAUCUAUGAUAAGUAACGUUUCUUUCUUCUUCAUCUCGUCAAAAUGGUGGAGAAGGCCAUCGCUUACUUGACACGUACGUCAAUUCCAAGACAUAAACGAAGCAGCCGUAGCAUCAUCCACGUAGGGAUAUUCCAUUUCUGGUGCCUGUGAGAAAUAAGGAACUCUUUGUGUGUUCUGAUGAGCCCACGACGGCGACGACGUAGCAUAGUGAUGAUGAUGAUGACCGUAAUAGUUUCCACCUCCGUUGUAUGGAUUCUCUACCGGAAGUUCUGCCGCCGAUGAACCUCCACCGGAGAUCGUUAAGUUUCUGGCCGUCGCACGCCUCUCCUCUUUCUUGAAUCGGAUUCCACAAGCGUUACAUAACGACUGUGCACCAAGUUAACAUUGUAUAUGUUACAUUACAUCAAACAUAUCUAUGAAAUGUAUAUAUUAUAGUAAUGCUAGAUAAAAACAAACGAAGGAUAGAGAGAUUGUAUAAUAAAUAUUUUAAAGAAGAAAUCACUUAUUUUGUUUUCAUUUUGGAUAAAGUAUUUAUGGAAGAACAAUAUGAAAAAAAAACAACCAAGAAAGUAUAUGAUGUGACAAAAUUUGAUUAGAAAAAAUAUAGGUACUUUAUUUCCUAGAGUAGUUCCGUAUGAUUUAACAACAUGAGGUUUGAAUUUGCCAAAAUGACACUUUUAUUACUUUCAUUACAAUCUAGAAACUUUUUUCAACAAUUCAUCAACACUUUUUAAAUUUUCAUUAUACGUUUAAUAUCGAUGGUCAUCUCGGACAUUGACACUUCCAACAUUAUUUAAUGAUCAUAUUCAUAUACAAAUAAAUGACGAAAAUAUUAAUAAAUUACCUUAGGGCCUUUUGGUCCGUUUCUCCAUAGAGGAGUUGAAGUGGUGUCGCAGCUAGCACAACGGCGAGGUAAGCUAUGAUCACCACCACCACUCUUCUUGUACGAUGUAGUCUUAGCAUUUCCUCCGUGAAAGUAGAAGUCUCCGGAGAUGUUGUUAGAACCAGCAUUAGAGAAUCUACGGUGGUCGUCGAGACGAGUAGAGGGUGUUCCAAGUGAGAGAGUGCAAUCAACAGAAGUUGAUGAAGAGAGAUCAUUGUAAUGAUCGUAACUGUAUUGGUUUUGGUCGUCAUUUUCAGAGGAAAAAAACAUAGAGAAGUUAGGGUUUGUUUGGUAUCCCAUCAUGAAAAUGUAGACUAGAUCAAAUAGGGAGAGAGAGAUAUGUGUGUUGUGUUUUGGUGGCUUUGUGAUCUGAGUUACAAGUUACAAAUCAAGACAUAUUUGUUAACAUAUAUAUAGAGACAGUUUAAGUAAAGACAAAAGCGAACUUGGUCUGUGGUAACUAUAUAUGUGAUCGAAUCUAUUAAUGUAGUGCAGAUUACAUUAUUUUCUUUACUUUAUCUAAAGAAAGCAACAAUUCUACAAUGAAUAUUCUUCAGGGCUUUAUAUAUAAAUCAUUGAAAUAUUUAUUUUUAUCUGAGUUUCUUGGUUUGGAAGACAAAGUAUUCUAGAUUCUAUUUCGAACGCCGAUUUUAUGUUACAGUAAACAAUAAGACUUCGUUGGCGUAUUAUGUUUUGUUAUUCUAUUUCAGUUGUUACAUUCAAACUUAAAGUUAUAUAUAGUUUUUUUUCUAAUUCUCACCUUAAAAACACAUUUAGUAUUAUUUUUUGUGUCUCGGAGUAGUUUCUUUUCAUGUUUGUUUCAAAUAAAAGUGAAUAAAAGCACACUAUAUAUUAAAGGUAGUUUUAUUCUUAAGAAAAAUACAGUAGAUUUUGGCAUUCAUUAUAUAUGGUUUUUGAUGAAGUUAAAAGACUUUUUUAGAAAAUAUUAUUUUAUGCAAGUAAUGAUAAGUGUUGUGUAUCUGCAGUUUUAGUGUCGGAAGGGGUUGGUCAAAAGAGGCCCACGUGAGUGACAAUGUCACGGUCUUCUAAGGAUCUUGUCUCUUGGCUCUGCCAUUACCAAAACCAGAUUUCACUCAUUUGCCUCUUUUAAACAUCCUCCGACUCUAAUUGUUGAAUUGAACAUUCACACCAUGAAUUUGAUGAGUAGGGGAAACAAAUUCUCUUUAGGAAUUUCUCUUUAAGCUUGAUCAAACGAUGAAAAGACAGAAAAUUUUAUGUUUUUUGAAGAGGAAGCUAGGUUUUUGCUCAAAAAUAACUAGAGAACUCGGGUUCUUGUAUUCUUAAUUCGAUGAUAUCUAGAUUACAAGAUACGUUAAAUUUCCUUAAAUCUAGGAGUAAAUCUUCCUUUUUAUGUUAGAAAUGUUGACAAUUUUAGGUCUGCCGGCGAUCUAAGUGGGCAUUUGCCUAUGGGCCCGUAAAAAAAGUCUUGAUCGAAAUUUCCCAAUUUAAAUUGUCUAGUUUAUCUAUAGUUUAGGACGGUAUGUUGUGGUGUUAAUCCCUGCACCAACACUAAUAUAUAGAUGCACAGUUAGUCGACUACAAGUUAUCGUAAGAGUUUUACACAAUAGAGUAUGUACAAUACAAUAUCUAUCGAUCACCAUAACAAAAACAUAUCGAAUUACAACCAAAGUUAUAUAAUAAGGAAAAGUAAUCCGCAACUACAUAUACAUAUGAUACUAGUUAUAUAAUUCAAUAUAAUGAAAGUAAUAUACAUGCUCAUAGUAGUAGUUUCAAAAUAAUUGUGAAACUAGUACUAUAUAUACAUGUACUAUAUAUUAGAUAGAUAUCAAACGUAUCGAAAUCCUUAGUUUUUAGCCGAUUUCAAAUAAGAAAACUAAAAACAGUACACCUAAAAAACUAUCGAAGCAUCUUAAACAUGAAAUUUCAGAGAUUAAAAAUAGUUCAGAUUUUAUUAUAUGUAUUUUAAACAUGAAAUUUCAGAUGUAGUACUGUUUAAGCUAAGAACGAAAAUUUAAAAAAGGGAGUAAAGGUAAAGGGAAUUCCGAAGUGAGAUUCUUGGCAAUGAUCAAAAGCAACAUAUUGUGUUCUUUCUUUGGCUUGGGGAACGAGAGAUUCAAUUGAUCAGUCAAAGAAGCAAACUCCCAAACUCAAAAAUAUAUUUUUAAAGCAAAAUCAUAGAAAAAAAAAAGUACAAAAGCGAAUAAACUCAACUGGAUUUAUUAUUACACCCAAAACACUCAAUUGCUAACUUCUUUUUCUUUUUCCCUUCUUCUUUAUUGUUUUUGGUUUUCCCAAUUUUGGGUUAUAUACUUAGUUCGUUCCUCUCCUAAAGUAGAUGAUGUUUUGCCAAGACAAGAAUAUAAUAGUAAAUAUCUCUAAGCCUAUCAAAUCUUAACUCUAAAGCAAAAGUUAUAUACAUAGCUUAACGUAAGAUCAUCUCUUAAAUAAAAUUUUCUAAUGAUUUUAUGUAUUUUUGGUUGAAGGACAAACUACUAAGCAUACUCCUUCAAGUUGGAGUUCAAAACUUGAGUUCUGCCACUAGCCAUGAUAAACAAAAAAAAUUUUAACUGAAAACUAAGCUAAUAAAGAUAAUUUAAUAUUGCUAUUCAGUUUUUGCAAAUAUAUAACCCGGAAUAUGAACUGAAACUAUAUACUUUAGUCUAGAAAUAAAAUGAUCAAAUGAAGAAGAAGAUUCAAAGAAUAUUAAAGAUUCAAGAGUUCUAAAGAGAGAAAGAGUCAGGCUUUAAGCCAACACAAAGAAUCAAAUCGGAGUAGCGAUUGGUGUGAGCUCUUUGUUUAACUAAGAAGACUGCCGCUUUUAAUUUACAACACAUGCACUUUGUUUCAUUGAACAAGAAACCUAAACUACGACUAACCCAAAGACACAUUAAUAAGUGUUCGGCUUUGAGGUCUUUUGUCAUAGCCACUUAUUAUAUAUGUUUCUUUCACGAGACACUAGCUAAUAGCUAUGUCUAUGUGUUCGGCUUUGGCAUUGCCAUUUAAAUUACAUUAUUUAUUUAAAUUUGCUUAAUUCACUAGAGAAUUGUUUUUGUCUCGAAAAAAUAAAUAUUAUUGUAAUCACAAUUUGUGCUACGUUUUGAUACGUAGAUCGAUAUCAAAGAUGUAGAUGCAUGCAUGUCAUAAGAUACUACAUAGGUGAUCUAAUUACCGAUUUAGGGUUUCGUUUUGUGUGUGUGUUAAAUCUAAUUACCGAUUCAUGAUACUUAAUUAACUACGCUAAUAACAUGCACUUUUUAUCAUUUUUCCGAUCCGUACUGUAUGAUACGGUCCGUCUCCAACACUCAAACAUAGAGAGGAAGAGAGAAUAAAACAAAGAGAAUGACAGCAAAACAACAAAAACAACAACCAAACAAAAAAAAGAAAAAGAGACAAAACAUUCCCUCAAAAGGAUCAAGAUCCGAUUGGUGUUUUCUUUCUCUUUUUUUUUUUUUGGUUUCUUAAUAACGUUUUCAUUCUCCAGUUUGACCAUUUGACUAAUAUUUCUAGAUGACGUAUGGUCCACUUAUCCUUCUCAUGUAUAUUAUUGUUCUAGUUUAGUACUUCUCGUUUUUGACACCUUAAGGUUAUAGAUCAUGUGAUCACAAGUGGGAUCGAAUUAACCUCUAGUUAAUAUGCAAAUUAAAAGGUGAUUUAGCCUUAAUUAGUAAUGGAUAUAGUAUAUUACUAUGAAUGUUUAGUUUAAUAGUUUGCUUCACGUAUAUAUAACAAAUCUUCUUUGUAACCAAGUGAUCCGAUCAUUCCCCUUAAUUAGUAAAAUCCAAAAUCAGUUCAUAAGACUGAUAAAAUUUGUCCCUUAGGUUUAUGGAUAGCUUGAGAAGGGGCUACUUCCAUCAUCUUCUAGUAUCUGAUCUUAAAAGAAUUUACGGAUUUCGACUACGCAUUACUGCAUAAGUGUGUAGUGUUGUUAAUCGUUUGCUCGAUGUAUAAUUUUUUUUUUUUUUUUUUUUUGGGUGAGAUUCAAGAUCAAAUAUCAAAUUUUACCACUCAAAAUCACUGUGAUUUUUGUUUUUUUUGAACUAUUGUAAAUGCCUUAAAUAAAAGAAAUUUUAAGACUUUUUAUAACCCCAAUUAUUAAAGAGAAACACCUAUAAUAUGGCCAGACAUAUGGCAAUUGACGUAGCCACUAAUCCAUGAGAAUAAGGCCUAUUACUUAUCGCACCAUCAUUUGGGCCAAUCUGUUAUACUAUUAAAAGCCCAUCUUGUUUGGGUCCACCAUCACCGUCGAUUGUCUUCUCCGUUCGAAAUCACAUCCUCUCUAAAGCCAUCUCCGCCGUCGUCGGAGACGAAAACCACCGUGUGGAUAUCUGAAAUCUGUAGACAACCAUUGAUCUCGUUUUGAUUUUCAAUUCUCGUUUAGAAGCUCUGUUGUGUGAAAAAUGGGACUGUUAAGCAUAAUCCGGAAGAUCAAGAAGAAAGAGAAGGAGAUGCGAAUUCUUAUGGUGUAUGUCUCAGAUUCCAAAACUCGUUACAUAUUCUCCGAUCUAAUCAUACAUUAUUGAUAUAGUGCUGAUUUUGGGUAUUUCGUUGUUGUAGUGGACUUGAUAAUUCUGGGAAGACGACGAUUGUACUGAAAAUAAACGGAGAAGACACAAGUGUGAUCAGCCCAACUCUUGGAUUCAACAUCAAAACCAUUGUUUACCAAAAGUAAAGCUCUUUUUCUCUCUCUGCUCUUGUAGUUUCGUGAUUCUUCUUCAGAAUUGGUUCAGGAAUAUGAUCGAACAGGUUACAGGCAAUGUUAAUGUUUGUGAAUAAUGGUGUGUAUGUGUGUGUAGGUAUACUCUUAAUAUAUGGGAUGUUGGUGGGCAAAAGACAAUAAGAUCGUAUUGGAGGAAUUACUUUGAGCAGACUGAUGGGUUGGUUUGGGUUGUUGAUAGUUCUGAUCUUAGGAGGUUAGAUGAUUGUAAGAUGGAACUUGACAAUCUCUUGAAGGAAGAGGUAUGUGUACUCAAUUAACAAGCUUUGUAAUUUGAAGAUUGUGUUGCUGUUUGUGAUGAAGAAGAUGAUCCAUGUUCAAAUGUUGGUUUUAAAUGGCAGAGGCUUGCUGGGUCAUCUUUGCUGAUACUAGCAAAUAAACAGGAUAUUCAAGGUGCACUUACUCCUGAUGAGAUUGGCAAAGUAAGGGUUUUUGAAGCUUUUACGACUAUAUAUAGAAACGAGUUUUGGAUGUUGGGUUUAUUGGGUUGAAUCUUUUGGCCUCUCUGUCUUGGAAGGGGUUCUUUCUCAACUUUACUGAAGAUUAGUGGGUUAAAUGGGUUCUUUCUCAACUUCAGUGAAGAUUAGUGGGUUAAGUAAGAUUUGUUCUGAGUUGUAUUGUGUGCUAAAAUUGAGUUUCAUCUUUCUUGCUUUUAAAGGUGCUAAACUUGGAGUCCAUGGAUAAAAGCCGGCACUGGAAAAUUGUGGGUUGCAGCGCAUAUACGGGUGAAGGGUUGUUGGAGGGAUUCGAUUGGUUGGUUCAAGACAUUGCCUCCAGGAUUUAUAUGCUUGACUAAUGGGCAACUGCAUUUCACAAUGGCUUGUUAUACUCGACUCUAUGCAGCGUAAAGAUGCUGAUUGAGUUACUUUGUAUUGGUUAUAAGCUUUGCUUUAAGUUCUAUUGUAACAAUGAUUAGACAAACGUAAAUCUUAAGUUGCAAAGACGAACUCUUCUCAUUUUGUUUCAUUGAAAGAGACUUAACAACAAAAUGAUGUUUCAUACAUCCAAAAUAAAACUUAUUGAUGAGCAAUUCCAACCACAUAAUCUACCACAAAAAGAUGCAAAUUGUAUCUGCAAAGGAACAAGCACACAAAUAAUAGAGAGAUCAUUUCGACUUCUUUCCUUGUUUCUUCUUGACAACUUCGUCAAUGUACAUUAUGCCUUUGCCCUUAUAAGGUUCAGGGGGUUUGCAACUCCUUACUGUUGCAGCAAACUGAUGCACUCUUUGCUUGUCGAUUCCGGUGCAGCAAACCACAUUGUUCUUGAAACAGAAGACCCGAACUGCUGGAGGAACUGCAAGUUCGACUUCGUGACUGUAACCCAAUUUGAGGUAUAAGAAACGUCCUGCUUCCUCAGCUCUGGCUUUGUAUCCAACUCCAACAAUCUUCAAGAACCGAAAAAACUUGGCUUCCAUUUCUCUUCUACCUACAGAGAACUAUCCUGCCAAGUACAAUUUUUUUGUAAUUUGUCCGAAUCAAGUUAAAAAACCAAAAGGGUAUCACCAUUACUUACGAUGAAAAGCCUUUCAGAAUACAAAAAGGGUGCAUCAAGGUAGUAAAUUUAGUUUCUACACUACUCAAAAUGUGUAAUUGACCAUGAAUACAAAAAGGGUGCAUCAAGGAACAGUAGUGAAAUUGACCAUGAUUCGAAAAAUGUGUUUUUUUUUUACCAUUCGUUUCAUUGUAAACCAUCCCGGAGACGUGGAAAGAACAUAUGAGCUUAACAGGAAAUACGUCGAACAGUUUAUGUGCAAUAUUACGAGAGCUAUAUAAACAUACAAAUAAAAAUCCAAAUUUACCUCAUUUCCAUGAAUAAAGUGACUGCUGUACUAAGAAAAUCGCAGAAAUGAUGAAUAAACACAAAAAAAAAAAAAGUUCGAUUCCAUUUGUAAAUUAUCACCAGGAUAGCGAAAAGGGAAGAAAGAACACGAUAGUGAGUGAGAGAUCGACAUAAAUGAACAGUUAUUACCUUUCUUGAUUUCCGACGACGAAUGUGACGGUUCUGCUUUUUCGCCGGCCGAUCCAGAUCAGUCUCCCAGUUCCGGCCUAAAACCUUUCUCCUUCUUCUUUAAUUUCGUUUCUUUGAGUAACAUACAAAAUGGUUGACGUUUUUAGCCGUGUUAAAAAACGACACGCUGUUUUCGUUUCCUCCUCGAGUGUUGUUUUGAACAAAGCCUAUUGGACUACAUAACAAAGCCCAUUGGACUAAAUAACAAAGCCCAUUGGACUAAAUAACAAAGUCCAUUGGACUAAAUAACAAAGUCCAUUGGACUACAUAACAAAGUCCAUUGGCCUACAUAACAAAGCCCAUUGGCCUACAUAACAAAAUCCAUUGGACUACAUAACAAAGCCCAUUGGACUACAUAACAAAGCCCAAGAAAACUUGAAACUUUUUCCGAUAUUUGUUUCCUCGCCGCUCUUUUGAAAGUUGCAAGCUUUCUUUUUCACCGGAGAGAGCUAUAGAAUCUCUCAACAAUGGCGGAAUCGAUUUUCAGAAAGCUAAGAGACGGUGGCGAAGAAGGAGAGCUCGCACCAGCUCUCACCAUUGAAGAAACUGUAGCUUCCCCUUUCGGACUCGAUGUUUCUGGCUACCUUCUCACGAAUCUAUCUUCAUCAAUUUUGGCUGGAAAAUCCAAGUCGCAGUACACUCUCGAACCCUAAUUCUACUAUAUUCGAUCUCUAAUUGCUUCAUUAUAGCUAAAGUAUUCUUUUUUUUUGUCCUACUUUGCGAUACAGUGGUCUCGUGCUGAUCACAUUCUCGCGAAGCCCUUCGUUCUAUUUGCAAUUGUUGAAGCAAAAAGGAAUCAUUGUCACUUCAUCUUCUAAAUGGUGAUUUUGAUUUAUUUAAGUUUUCGAAAACACUAUUCUAACUUGUUGAGUACUUUGAUUGCUCUUCUUUGUAUUUGAUACCGAUUGGUUUAUGAUUUGAAGGAUUCGUAUAUUGGAUUGUUACACUGAUCCACUAGGCUGGAUUGAUCAGCCUUCAACUGGUUUAACAGAAGGGUCAAGUUUGGUUAAGUUAAACAAGUGUGUGAGUGACUUGAAAAGGCUUUUCUCUUCAAUCAUUGAAGCGGGAAGAGGUAGUUCUCUUACAUUGCAUCCUUUUCGAUUGGAUCUUUGUCUAAAGGAUUAUAGGAGAUUAAAAGUGAUUGUUUUGCUACAGAGUUGGUUGGAGACGGGAAAACACCUUUCUGUGUUGCUAUAGAUUCGGUAAACAAACUUUCGCUGAUGAGGUUUUAGGCAUCGAUUAUCGAAAAGAGAAGUGAUUUUUAUAUCUGAACUUUUGAAUCAGGUGAAUGAGUUGCUAAGACGUUCAUCCAUGCCAUUAGUUUCUGGUCUUUUAACAGAUCUUCGAAGCCACGGUACUUUGCAACAUGGACCUGAACACUUGUUUAUUAGUUUUAUUAAUUGUUAGGCUUGAUAGCAAAGGUUGAAUUUUUCUGUGCAGCUCAAGUUUCUAGUAUCUAUUGGUCACUAAACACUGACCUUCACCAAGAUAAGGUCACAAAUGCGCUUGAAUAUAUAUCUACAAUGAAAGCCAACUUAGAACCUUUGUGUCCAUCUGAAGAUGGACAAAGGAAUGCUUUAGAGAACCUGUUUUUGGUUCAUCAGGAUUUCGGUAGAGGGCGAUUCCAUGUUCGGUUUAAGCUUAGAAAGGGACGUGUCAGAGUAAUGGUGAGUUCCCUCUUACUCUUUUCUCUGUACCCUAUGAGUGUCGUCUAGUUAACAGUCUUGUAACUCCUUACCUACAGUCUGAAGAAUAUCAUGUUGAUCAAUCGGGAAUAAACUUUUCACCCAUUUCAUCUGCGGAUACUGGUAUUGCAGCCACUAAAAGCCUUUUGCCUAAGGCAAGUUAUUAUGUUCUGCUCUUUAAAUUCUUGGUUUGUGGUUCAUUUCGAUGUGAUGCAUGAUGUUAAGUUGUAUGCCUCAUAUUAUUGUUUCUUAUUGGUUCAGGUUCAGUUCAAUCUACAGUUGUCUGAGAAAGAGCGAGUCGAGAAAGAAAAAGUUGUGCUUCCUUUUGAGCACCAAGGUGAGUUUACAUAGCGUAAAGCCAGAGAAUUUAAGCUCAUUCAUGUCUGUCAUCGUGGUUAAAACAUUAGUUGAUACGGUUUUGUUCUUCAGAUGAUGGAAAAUCGUUAGAUAUCUAUGAUGGUCGGAGAUCCCUUGUUGAUGGCAAGAUUGAGACAACACCAUUGUCUUCAAUGGAAUUGCAGACGGAUGUGGUUUCAUCGGGUAAGGGAGGGGAGAUUAUAUAUUUCAGAGAUUCGGACGAUGAGCAUCCUGAUUCUGAUGAGGACCCUGAUGAUGAUUUGGACAUUUAAAGUUCUUAAAAAUUCACUUGUUAGAUCAGAGAGAAUGGCUCCGGUUUUGGUUUGGGUUUUGGCAACUGUUGAGAUCUUAGUUAGAUUGUUCCAACUUUGUUACUAUAUAGGUGUUACGGUAACGAUCUCAGCUUUUAUUCUUCUUGAGUUAUUUAUUGUGUUAUGACUGCAUAAUGAUCAUCAUAUGUAUAUCAAGACAUACCUAUCAGAUAAGUAAUGAAUGAUGAAGUGAUCUUAUAUUAUAGAUGGUCAUAUCAUCUAUCUCUUUUUAUUUGUCAACAUCAUACUAAAAGAACAACUCAAAUGAGUCAAUCGCACAGAAAAUUGUUUACAAACUUAACAUCAUACGAACUAACACGAGUUUUGCGUGCCAAGAAUUCCAUUUUUACAUUUACAUUUCUUGAAAUAAGAGACAAAGAAAAAGAUAAGAAUUCUUCUCGUCAACUUUUAUAUCCUCCAAGUAAGAAGAGAAAGCCGGUCAUUCAUUAGGAAAAGACACAAUCUUCACCAAGUGACAUAUCAUCAUCUUUUUAAAAUAAUUUUUUAACUCUUUUUGUAUAUUUUAUUUAAUAAAAAUGGUAUACGAAUUGUAAGUGUUGGAUUUAGGAGGACACAAAACAGUUACUCCAAUUUCGAGUAGUGGAAAUUUUAACAACUUUGAUAUGUACCGGUGGUUGUGAUUAAUUUCUUACCACCAAAAAGGUCCAAAGCCAUGUAUGACACAAACCAUAUAUUCUUUGUUUUCCAUUUAUAAUCCAUAAUCUUUUUAUUUCCUUUUAUAAUUUUAUAUGUCGAGGAUAAUAUUUAUUUUUAAAAUAUUUAUCAAAUUUAGUACAAAAAUUUGCAAAAAUGUCUAUAAAAAAAUGAAAGAUGAUAAUUUAGUGUGAAUCUUUCAUUUUGCUUGGUAUUUUUGUAAUAUAUCUUGUCUUAGUUUUGACAUUUUAGUCAUAUGCAUUUUCAUUAUCCAACAUUGUGGUGAAAUUUCAUAAUUUGUUCCAUUUAUUAUAGUAAAUGUUGACAUUUGGGUUUAUAGGUUGAGAUAACUACUUAGAGGAUUGAAUCUCCUCAUAUUCUUCCUCCACGCUUGUUCUUGUUCAAAGUAGGUAAUCUCUGUUGGUCAAUUAAAUAUAUACAUUAGUGUGAUCAAGUGUUUGGUAGUGAUGGAUAUAAAGAUUUCCUUGGAGAGUUUGCUAAAGUUUCCAUGAUGAUUCCUUGGCUUAUAUUAUUUUCUUUCACCCAUUAAUAAAUAAAAUAAAAUAUUAAUAAAGGAAAGCUUGGAUGAAACUUUAAUUGCGGACUCUUUUUUUUUUUUUUGUCGACAUUGCGGACUCUUUUGGCCAUGGUCAUUCCCUUUUAUUUCUUGUCGGGUGAUAGUUGGCGGCAUUCAAUGUUGGGAAUGUGAAGAUUCUUUUGGACUAGGCUUAACAACUAAAUUCAGGUACGCAAGAAUUUUUAACCACUUUUUCUACGCACCAAUUGACAUUGUUCUUUGUUAGUGAGAUUUUCCAAUUUGGGAGUUAUUGAAAAUUUGUAUAAGAGACGUUGAAAUACUUGUCCUUUAUGGGUGAUUUAGAUGUGUAUCUUGGUGAUGGGUAGAGGUUAUAAAAAGCUUUUGAAAAAGUAGAGUUUAUUAAUUGUUCGUUUGAUAAAAAAACACUAGCUAGCUAACACAGUGACAUAAAAAUCUUCGCUAAAGUUUAAGGGAUUGCUCAGUUUUGAUCUCGAAUACAAUUUACAUCUUGGAGAAAAUAUUUCAUUAAUAACUCAUGAGAAAGAUAAUAAAAUAUCAAUUUAAGGGGUGUAUUAAAAGUAGAAUUUUAAGUGUUUUGUGUAAAACUUACUAAUCAUAUGUAUAUUCAAUCAUGGAUAUAAAAAAGUCUAAUGAAAUAUUAAAAGACUUUUAAUAGUGUUAUUGAACUAUUGAUUUUGAAGAACUUAAGAGGAUUUGAAAAGAUUUUCUUAGUUAAAAAAUACAGAAAUUCAAAUCUCAUGAUUAUAGGUGGUAUUGAAAAGAUUUUACAAUAAAUCAUAUGUACUUCUCUAAAGUCAUCAAAGUAAAAACUAAAAAAGAACUCAAAUCACUUAAAAUUCUACUCUGAAUACACAACCUUAGUUUUCUAUUAUUAAUAUUAUUAUUUCUAUUUUUUAAAAUAAAUACAUCAAAUUAGUUAAAAAAUCAAUCUAAAAACUGAAACAAAUUGAAAGUAGAAAAAAAAAACUGAAAUGAAUCUUAAUUUUGAUUAGAUACAUCUCUGAAUUGAACAGCAAAAGAAGCAUGUUGAUUUUUUUAAAAAUCUUUUAAAGAUCAUAUUAAUUUUUUUAUUUGGCAAAUGAUCUUUUCAGUAUCUUGAUUUCACAAAGGGAUAAAGAAAUAUUGAUUACAUACAUCUAAUGUCUUGACCAAUUCACAAAAUUUGAUUAGUAACACAAAGAAAACCAUUUGACUAAAGUUCUUUGAAUUUUGUUUUUUCUUUUUCUGUCUUUUAUUACCAAUGCAUGUAGAAGAAACCUACAUACCAAGCUUAUAAAUAGAAGCCUCCUAUAAUUCCACCAACAAGAAAAACAAAAACAAAAUUUUUCUCUGAUUCUAGAAUUAUGGCUGUAUUCAAAGUCGUGCUUGCUUCUCUUCUCAUAUCACUUCUUGUCCUCGACUUGGUUCAUGCCGACAUGGUGGUUUGAUUUAACAAUUAACAGCCAAACAUAUUUCUUGUACUUUGAUAUGUUCUAACAAAAUUUUCAUAAUAUUUCAUGCAGACGGCGAAUAAAGCCACAAAAAUAGGUAACUACAUGAUAUUAAUCGUAUGAAUAUACACGUUGAACUAAUAUAUAUAUAUAUGUGUUUAUUAAAAUUUUUGGUUGGAAAUGGUAUGCAUUUCUAUGUAGAUUGCAAGAGCAAGUGCCAAGAACGGUGCAGGCUCUCGAGUAGGCAGAAACUUUGUCACCGAGCGUGCGGGACUUGCUGCGCCAGGUGCAGCUGCGUGCCGCCGGGCACAUACGGACAAUACGAAAAGUGUCCGUGCUAUGGUAGCCUCACCACCCACGGUGGUCGCAAAAAGUGUCCUUAAUUAAACACACUUGUUUGAUCUGGUUUCUUUAAUACACUACUUUAAUUUCUUUGAGUAAUUUGCUAUUAUAUUAUAUGGAAUAAAUAAAAUACACAGAAAAAGAGAAAUACAUGUUAUACGUUAUUUUUUGCACUCUUUGAAGAUUGUAUAUUGUCUAGACUCUAGAGCUAAAUAUAUAUAUUGUACGAUUCUUGGUUGUUGUUGAUUCAAUAAUCCAUAUGGAUCCCGAUUUAACAAUUUAAACGUUUGAAAAUGUUUUGACUUCAAAAAGUAGGAAGAGUUAGGCAUUGGAUUUAAAAUGGUAACAAUGGAAUAUGAAUGAACAGACUAAUGGAUUGUGGCGCACAAGUUAUAGCAGUUUACGGGAUUAAAUUUAAGAGUUGACUAGGCAUUUGUAACGUGAUCAUUGUUCAUUAGAAUAUGUCUAGUGUCUUUUUUUUUUUUAUGAAAAUAAAAUUAUGUGAAGUUAUCAAGAAAGAACAAUAAAAUUAAGAAAGAUGAUGUAUAUGAAAUCAGCUCUCUAUGCACAAGAUUUCGAGUAUCAAAUGUCAAUACAGAGCAUAGCGAUGCGAUGUAACACAUUCAAAAGCAAGUAGCCGUCAAAGUCUGAUCCUAUAAUCCCCGUCUGUUGUGGUUUCAGUGUGCAUCUUCCAAAGCUCAUGUGUAUGGCAAUCCUGUGGAUCACAAAGUGAAACAACUGUUGUCACAAGCAAUGGAUAUUGAAAGUAAAUUGAAAUAGAUAUAUGCCAUCAACUCUGAAAAUAAAUCAACUCAAAAAGAAUACGUCUCUCUUGCCGACUUAAUUUGUCCAAUCAAAAAAACUAUACUAAACCCAAGAAAAAAGUUUAUUAACCACAAGAGAAAAACCUUUAGGAAAACUAUCAAUAAGCAAAGUAAAGAAAAUAAAUGAAAGGAUGAAUAAACUUAAGAUUACUCUUGAAAUUAUCUAAUAACCGAAACAAAUCCAGAACUGGGUGGAUUCGAACCACCAACCUCUCGUCCAUCAUAAUAGACGAGCGCUCUGCCAUUUUGAGCUUACAGAUCUAUAAACAAUAACAAUUUUGGAGUUUUUAAAUAUAUACUAUUGCCUACAUUAACUUUUACGAAAUUAUUUUUAAUAAACAGAUAUCAUACCUCAUGCACUCUAAUUAGAUACCAAUUGACAGCUAAAGUAGUUUCAUAAAAAUUAAUGGAGAAAAAUCAUGCUACUUUUCGAUAACAAAAAAAUAUAAUUACAAAAAAGAAAAAAAACAUACUAACUUGUAAACUUCAAAAAAAAAAAAAAACUAAAUAAACAAUAUAUUUUAUUCCUCAAAAAUUAAUGUACACAUUUUACUCUAUUUAAGUCUAUUACCAAAAAUUUAUACCUUUAACACAAAAUAAUAUACGAGAAUGGCUGGAUUGUGAAAUCUAUAUGUUGGCCAAAACUUCAAUUUUCCUGUCAACGAGCUUCAUACUUCAACAGAAAGGAUAUCGUUACAGACAGAUAUAACAAACUUAGCUAAAUACAAAUUCUAAAACUGACGACAGAUUAUUGAAAAACCUUAAUACAAAAACUUAAUUACAUUAUACAAGUAACUAAAAUAUCAUUUAAACAAUGUAAUGUUUGAUGAAACGAUUAAAUAUGAUCAAACGUUGCCCCGGACUAUCAUGUUGUAAAGAAGUGCAUAACAUGUUGUAAAGUCAAAUCAUGUUGAUAUUUCCUUUCAAAUGCUUAUUUACUUGUAUGGUAAUUAACGAUCCAAGUUAAUAUGCAUAUGGGUACCUGAUUUGGCUUGAAUAAUAACUUAGGAUCAUAAUUAAUAUGAAUAUAAGUACCUGAUUUGACUCUCUUGUGCUAGUAGGAUUGAUAUAGCCACGGCUCCAGUUAAGUCGCAGUCUCUGUUUCUGAUCGAUUUUUUUUUGAGUAUAUGACCAAUAGCGAAUUAGAGAUGUAAAAGAGGGAAGAGAGAGAGAGAGGGAGCGAGGCAAGACACACAGAGGAGAGGAGAUCCCGGGAAAAAAAAUAAACAACCCGUGCGAUCUCCUCUCCAAAACCCACAAAAUAACUUUUAUUAAGCACAGUUUUGACCUGCCAUGCAAGCGCACCUGACAUGGCAAAGGUCGGAUGACAAAGAUGCGAUCGGGACGCCAUAGCUAUCCAACAAAACAUCUUAUACACCCUAACUCACUUCAAUCCAAACACGAAAGAGUAAGCCCUAGCGUCUGCUUCAGAUUCAUCUCCUUGUAUCCCAGAUCUAUGCGCCUCAACGUGACCAAUUUACAGAUCUAUCGUCUUACGAAGCCGCAAAUGAAGAUCCAAAGCCAGAUCUGAUAUUCAAGAACAGAAUUCUCGAUUACGAAACUACAAUUCUAUUUAAAAAACGAAUAUAAGAGAAGCUAAUCGAUACAAGAAGAUCAGAUUUACCGAGAGGAAAAGCUAGAUCUGCGUCAGAUCCGUCGCCAAAUCAUGGAAUCAACCAUCAGAUCUCGAUCAAAACACGACACGGUUGUGAAGAUCGGGAGGAUCUCUACGAUAAUUAGAAGCGAAAAGAAUCAGAAUCGUCGCCAUAGCAGCAAGAUCUGAGAAAAGCGUUGACGAAGGGAGGAAGCAAAAGACGCGUAUGAAUAUGGAGGCGAUGAUGAGAUAACCCUAAAAAUAAUUCAUCUCUUAUAUAUAGAGUUGGAAAUGAUAGACGGUUCAGAUUAAAUGGUUCGAUAACACCUCAACGGUUCAGAUUUGACCGCGUGGGAGAUUGCGUGUCUUUCGGGUCACUAUUAUCCUUCAUUAAAGCGAGGCGGUUUACUUUAUGAGAAAACAACAAAAGAAAGAAACAAUUUUGUAAUGGGCUGCUAAUAUGAGAUGUUGGUCUUCGUGGGCCGUAGCAAUAAUUUUAAACAUCUUCUGUCCUAUUUUUUUUGGAGAACAAAGAAAAUCGAAACAUUUGGUUUUUUCUUUGUUGUCAAUAAUAUAGUAAAACAUUUAAUUAUUAACGGGAUAAUAAUUUCAAAUAAAUUUGAUUAUUAUAGAAAAUAAAUGAUUUGGAUUCACCAAAAGCUCUUGAGGGAAAAGUUGAAGAUAUCUCAAUCAAUAAACACGAGCUUUAGGAGGAAAAGUGUCAACUUCAUCAUCCAAUGUAUUCAUGUGCACUGGUCUAUACUCCAAUUUCACAUUCCCUUCUUCCCAAUACCUUCAACAUAUACAUAUAAACAAAGCAAAAGAAGAUAUCUAAGGAAAACAUGAACAUACUUUGAGUCUAUGAUUUUCAAAAGAGAAAUAAAAAGAUAAAUUGUUACCCAAUGUGUGCUUCAUCCAAUUUGCAUCGUCUCGUUUCUGCAAAACAACCAUACCAAAAUCUCUCUUUGAUCGAUAUUUCCAUAUUUCGACUAAGACAAAUUUUUGUUAAUGUAAGGAACAUUGAACUAACCGUGAAAUCCUCACGCGCAUGUGCUCCUCGACUCUCCUUCCUAGCCUCAGCAGAAUGCAUAGUUAUGCUUGCAUUAAUCAAAAGAUUCUCCAACUCCAUAGUUUCUAUCAAAUCCGAGUUCCUAACAAUGUAGUUCCAUAUACAAAGGUUUAGUAAAUUAGCCUAAACACAGUCUUUAUAAUGAUUUAAACUCUCACCAUAUCAAACUCCGAUCUGUCACUUUGACAUCACCAAAACUGUCCCAUGUCCUAUCGAUCAAAUCACAACCUAUGAUCAUCAUACCCACAAAAAAGAAUUUAAAAAUAAAGAGAUUAUAUUUCUUUAGACCAAAUCAUAAGGUCUACUAAUACUGCUGCACGGCCAUCGUCUCAUGCUGUUGCAAAUGUCAUGACUGAUACUGCUUCGACCUCGAAUACUCCACCAAUAAAUUUUGAUGUCAGCACAUUGAGCAAUGAUCAGGUUCAGACAUUGAUACAACAACUGAAUGCACAGGUUCAUGUUUCAGAGAGUUCAAUUCCAUCUGCUAAGGCUUCUAUCACUGAACAUGGUGCUAUGUCUAUCCAAUCCUCAGCUGGUAUCAAUUCUUUUCCUUCUUUUCCAUCCAUUUUUCCAUCCACAUCUCUUAGAUUUGAGAAUAAUAAACUCACAUUUCAACAUCAAUGUCUUUCAUCAUUAUCAAAAGCUAUUCCUCAUGGUAGUUGGAUCAUAGAUAGUGGGGCUACUAGUCAUGUUUGCUCUGACUUGGCAUUUUUUAAUGAAACUGUCACAGUCACUGGAGUCACAGUUUCUCUUCCAAAUGCAACUAGAGUGGACAUCAAACAUUGUGGCACUGUUCCAUUGUCACAUUCACUCAUUUUGCAUGAUGUUUUGCAUGUUCCUUCUUUUCAAUUCAAUCUUAUAUCUGUUAGUACUCUUUUAAAACAUAACAAUGGGUCAGCUCAUUUUUAUCCUGAAUUUUGUUAUAUCCAGGAGUGUAUUCAGGGAUUGAUGAUUGGUAAAGGAAUUCUUCUACAUAAUCUGUAUAUCCUGCAACCUGCAUCAUCAUCCUUACCAUCGUCUACUCUCACUCUUGAUCAUGCUGAAAGUCACUUCUCUGGAUCCUUGAAAGUCGAUGGACAUCUCUGGCAUCAACGCCUAGGACACCCAUCCUCUGACAAGUUAAAGCUUUUGUCUGGUAUUUUACCUUUGUCUUCUUUACAAUUAGAUCAGCAUUGUAGUAUCUGUUCUUUAGCUAAACAGAAACGGCUACCCUUUGAGUCUAAUAACCACAUGUCUUCACUUCCAUUUGAUCUUCUUCACUUAGAUGUAUGGGGGCCUUUCUCUAUUGAAUCUGUAGAUGGUUUUAAGUAUUUUCUCACCAUAGUCGAUGAUUGUACUCGUGUUACUUGGGUUUAUAUGAUGAAAACUAAAUCAGAAGUAAUAAAGCAUUUUCCAGAUUUUCUAAAGCUUGUUGAUACUCAAUAUAAAUCAAAGGUUAAGGCUAUAAGAACAGAUAAUGCUCCUGAAUUAGCUUUUACUGAUCUAGUUAGAGAACAUGGAAUGAUUCAUCAGUUUUCUUGUGCUUACACUCCCCAACAGAAUUCAGUGGUAGAAAGAAAACAUCAACAUUUACUAAAUGUAGCAAGAGCAUUGAUUUUUCAGUCAAAAGUUACAUUAGAAUACUGGAGUGAUUGCUUGUUAACUGCUAUCUUUUUAAUCAAUCGUACUCCUACACCUCUGUUGAACAAUAAGUCACCAUAUGAACUACUUACACAGAAGGUUCCUGAUUACAGUUUUCUGAGAACAUUUGGCUGUUUAUGUUAUGUCUCGACAUUAUUGAAAGAUAGGCAUAAGUUUAGUCCUAGGGCUGAUCAAUGUGUUUUUUUAGGAUAUUCUUGUGGUUAUAAAGGCUAUAAAGUGUUGCAUCUAGAUACUAAUAGAGUUUCAAUAACCAGGAAUGUCAUUUUUCAUGAGCAUGUGUUUCCUUUUCACACUUUACAUAAAACAGUCCAUGAGAAUGAUUUCUUUGACAAUGUAGUUCUACCUUUGAAUAUUUCCCCUGUUUUAGAUGUUAAUGAUACUAUGCAUUUAAAUGUUACACCACCUGCUGUUAUACCUGCUGCAUUGCAUACAUCACCACCUCGUGACAGUGCUACACAUACUUCACACNNNNNNNNNNNNNNNNNNNNNNNNNNNNNNNNNNNNNNNNNNNNNNNNNNNNNNNNNNNNNNNNNNNNNNNNNNNNNNNNNNNNNNNNNNNNNNNNNNNNAAUGCAGACAAUGUUGUUGUGGAAACUGUGCCUGCAGCGACAACCAUGGUUUCAUUGCCUAAUGCGAGGCCAAAGCGACCAUCCAAAGCACCAGGUUAUCUCUCUGACUAUCAUUGUUCCCUUACUCAAAUUUCUACUCCCAAUUCUUCACCACCAGCAAAAAUUUUCACAACUCCCUAUCCUAUUUCCUCUUACCUUUCUUAUUCAAACAUAAACCCUACCUACCAAGAUUAUAUUCUUGCAGUUUCCUUAGAAACAGAACCAAAAACUUUUCACCAAGCUAUAGCAUCUGUUCAGUGGCAAAAGGCUAUGAAUGUGGAGUUGGAUUCUAUGGAAUUGAAUCGGAUCUUUAAUAUUGUUUCUUUGCCACCUGGUAAGAAUGUAGUAGGAUGCAAGUGGGUUUAUACUAUUAAGUAUAAUGCUGAUGGCACAAUAGAAAGAUAUAAGGCUAGACUAGUUGCAAAAGGUUAUACUCAACAAGAAGGGGUAGAUUACUUUGAGACAUUCUCUCCUGUUGCUAAACUGGCUAGUGUCAAGCUUAUUCUAGAUUGUGCAGCUAAGAAGAAUUGGAGUCUCUCGCAAAUGGACAUCACUAGUGCUUUUCUGCACAGUGAUCUUGACGAAGAGAUUUACAUGAGUUUACCUCUUGGAUACACCUCAGCUGAUGGCAAUCUUCCUCCAAAUCCGGUGUGCAGACUACAUAAGUCAAUAUAUGGACUUAAACAGGCGUCAAGACAGUGGUACAAGUGUUUAUCUAAAGCACUACUGGAUGAUGGUUUUGUUCAAUCUUAUGCAGACAACACACUCUUCACAAAGCUGAGAGGUACUUCCUUCAUUGCAUUAUUAGUAUAUGUAGAUGAUAUACUAAUAGUGAGCAACAAUGAUGCUGCUGUUCACUCUGUAAAGACAACACUUGGGAAUGUUUUCAAAACAAAAGAUUUGGGUACAGCAAAGUUUUUCCUUGGCUUAGAAAUAGCAAGAAGUGCAGCUGGUAUCUCAGUUUGUCAGAGAAAGUAUUGCCUGGACUUGUUAGCUGAUACAGGUCUGUUGGGAUGUAAACUGAAACCUGUACCAAUGGAUCCAACAGAACCAUUGAAUAAGGAAACAGGCACCCUAUUACCUGAUCUAACUCCUUAUCGGGAAUUGGUUGGUAGGUUACAGUAUCUCUGCAUCACUAGGCCUGACAUAACAUUUGCAGUGAAUAGGUUGAGUCAAUUCCUGUCAUGUGCUACUGAUGUUCACUUGCAUGCGGUUUAUAACAUUCUCAAGUAUCUGAAGAACAGUCCGGGUCAAGGCUUAUUCUUCUCUGCAACUUCAGAUUUGAGUUUGAAUGGGUUCGCAGAUGCUGACUGGNNNNNNNNNNNNNNNNNNNNNNNNNNNNNNNNNNNNNNNNNNNNNNNNNNNNNNNNNNNNNNNNNNNNNNNNNNNNNNNNNNNNNNNNNNNNNNNNNNNNGUUCUUCUUUGAUAUCAUGGAAAUCAAAGAAGCAGGAUGUGGUCAGCUCAAGUAGUACAGAAGCUGAGUAUAUAAGUAUGGCACAAACCACAAAGGAGUUGUUAUGGUUCAAUCAGAUGCUGAAGGAUCUUUAUAUCACUCAAGAUUCACCAGUCAAGCUUUAUUGUGACAACAAGUCAGCUGUAUACAUUGCCACAAACCCAGUUUUCCAUGAAAGAACAAAGCAUGUGGAAAUUGACUGUCAUACGACAAGGGAUCAGAUCAAGAAUGGGUUCUUGAAGCUCUUCCAUGUGUCUUCUUGCAAUCAACUGGCGGAUAUACUCACCAAACCAUUACAGCCGGGUCCUUUUCAUAAUCUACUUGGUCGUAUGUCGAUUUCAAACCUUUAUACUCCUAAAGAUCGUUCGGUUUGAGGGGGGUAUAUUAACAUAUAAUGUUUAUAUUGUAUACUUAGAAUAGGAUAAGGUUUCCUUUAGCUUAUUCCUACUCUUAAUAUACAUGUACAUAUAAAUACUCUUGUACAGUCUUAUGAUUCAUUAAUGAGAAUUCUAUUCUUUCAUAUCAAAGUGUUAAUAUUCUUCUAGUGUUUCUUGUGUACGGAAGACAGCAGCAUUGUUUUGCAUUACUCUUUGCAUGUUUAAGCGUAUUUUAGAAGUUGGAAGCGAACCAUUAGAGUUUCUUAUCCGGUCCAACCAUUCGAUACUCUUCGCACCCGCAUCCUUCUCUAGAGGUUUCAGUUUCUCGCCUACAUAACCAAAACAAAUUUCCAGAAGCUCUCACAUGUAUCAAACUUGAAGAGAUGGAAAUAUAUGUAUUACUUACCAGGUUUUUGAAUCUCUGCAACUCUGUUUGCACAAGCUCUCCCAAAAACAACAAUGUCAAGAAGUGAAUUUGCGCCAAGUCUAUUAGCGCCAUGAACCGAUGCACACGCUGCUUCUCCUGCAGCCAUUAGUCCAGGAACUAUAGCAUCUGGAUCAUCACCUCUAACUGUAACAACCUGAGAGACUCACAUGAAUGUCCCAAAAACUUAUUCAAGUACUGAAAACAUAUACAUUUGUUCCAACACUAAAAUUGGUUUGAUCUUCUCAUUUACCUCUCCAUGGUAGUUUGUGGGAAUACCACCCAUAUUAUAAUGCACAGUAGGCAAUACAGGAAUUGGCUCUCUUGUAACAUCUACACCCGCGAAAAUAGCCGCAGUCUCAGAUAUGCCAGGAAGCCUCUCUUUAAGCACCUCUGGUGGUAGAUGAUUUAGGUGAAGGUAUAUAUGAUCCUUCAUAGGUCCUGUUAAAGAAAAAUGUUGCAUAUGCUCUCAAGCUAAUUUCUUAUAUAUGAUGAGUCUCAAAGGAGUGAUAUUUUACCUGCACCACGUCCUUCUCUGAUUUCCAUAGUCAUUGAUCUUGAAACAACAUCUCUUGAAGCAAGGUCUCUAGCUGUAGGAGCAUAUCGGUCCAUGAAUUUCUCACCUUCACUGUUUCUGAGAAUCCCACCUUCACCUCGAGCUCCUACAAUAUAUGUUCAUAUCUGACAAAUUUAACAUCAAUAUCUUUUGUCUUAUUCCUAUGCAGGAAGAAACACAUACCUUCUGUGAUUAGACAUCCGGCUCCAUAUAUACCAGUAGGGUGAAACUGAACAAACUCCAAGUCCUGCAGCGGUAGCCCGGCCCGUGCAACCAUAGCAUUGCCAUCUCCUGUACAUGUAUGUGCUGAAGUUGCAGAGAAAUAAGCUCUUCCAUAGCCCUAAAGUCUAAGUGAUUAGUAUGUUUCAUAAAUCCAAAAAAAAUAAAAACAUUUCAAGAAACAAUUUUGUUACCCCGGUAGCCAAAAUUGUAGAACCAGCAUGGAAACGAUGUAAUGUUCCAUCUUCCAUGUUCAGUGCAAUGACUCCUUGACAUGUUCCUACUCAUCAUAUACACCAAAAGCAUUUAUAAGUUGUAUAGUAUAUCACUAAUGCAACAUCAUGUUAUCAUACAUACUCAUAACAAACCUUUCUCAGUACUUACCAUCAUUGUUCAUUAUUAAAUCCAAGGCAAAGUACUCCACAAAGAAUUGAGUGUUGUGUUUCAUUGCUUGGCCAUAAAGAGUAUACAACAGAGCAUGCCCAGUGCGGUCAGCAGCACAUGCGCAACGAUAUGCUUGGCCACCUGAAUAAAUCAGAGAGGUAACGGAACAAUGAUGAAAAGGUUGCAAGCAAACAAUCUUCCACAAGAACUUGAGACUCAAAAAAUCAUGAUUAAAACCUUUUCCAAAAUCAAGACUCUGGCCACCGAAAGCUCGUUGAUAUAUUUUCCCAUCUUCUGUUCUAGAAAAUGGCAAUCCAUAAUUCUCAAGUUCAAUCACAGCUUUUGGAGCUUCCCUGCACAUAUACUGAAUUGCAUCUUGAUCACCUACACAACCAAAACCACAAAGCAAUUUUACUUGUGUAUACAGAAGUGAAAGAAGUCAUUAAAAUAUUACAUUGCACAUCAACAUGUUACAUCACUAUAGAAAUCAUCAUCGUACCUAACCAAUCACUUCCUUUAACAGUAUCAUACAUAUGCCAUCUCCAAUCAUCUUCAGUCAUAUUACCCAAUGCAGCAUUAACACCUCCCUUCAACAAAAACGUUCAUAACUUAAUUCAACAAACAAAGCAAGCUUGAAUUAAUUUAAUAACCAGAUUAAGCAAAAACGUAUAAGUAACCUGAGCUGCAACUGUAUGAGAACGAGUUGGAAAAAGCUUAGUGAUACAAGCUGUGUUAAAACCAUGUUCUGAUACUCAUAUGGCUGCUCUAAGCCCAGCACCACCAGCUCCUACAACAACCGCAUCGUACGUAUGAUCAACGAUUCUAUACGAUGUUCCAUCCCCUGUCUUUCAGUCACAAAGAACACAAACAGUUUGAAUCAGAAUUGGUUAAUGUGACAUCUCAAAAAAAACAAAAUUAUUACAUUUGCAACUCAAAGACAUGUUCUAAUCAGACAUUUACACAGUAGAUCCGAACAAAGCAACCAAUUGAAUGAUUAGAAACACCAAAUAAGAAACAAAAUCGAGGAUUCUCGUACCGAAGGAGCUGAGAAGAAUCUGGAGAGUUGAGAAUUGAUGAAACCGCCUUUAGAUUCCGAUCUCCUCGCCGCAACUCGAAGGCACCGCCACAUCUCUCCGUCACUACUAAACUCACCACGAACUCGUCUACCCAAAAUGGAAGACUCGUUUUAUAUAAACUGGCUUAAGAAUUUGAAAAAAUGUUUUCAAACUCAUCGUGCCAAAUUGGCUAUAAAAGAAUUUGAAAAUGUUGACAAAAUUACACCUAGACCAGAGGAAGUCUCUCAACGUGCCAUCAGUAAUACCAACGGUCAACGAAACGCCAUAUCGGCGAAUACGGGCUUUUAAAGGCUCAGUAACAAGGUAAAAUGGGCUUUAUAAGGCCCAUAAUGUUGCAAAGUCAGAAUAGUUCGGUACGCAUUAACUUUGGCCAAGGCAGUUCCGUUGCUCUGCUCACGGACGCCGGAGAAGAGACAUCGGAGAUCGACGAAUCCAUUCAUAUAUAUAUAAUAGAGAGAGAGAGAGAUGGAACCGAGGGAGAGAGAUCUAGAGCGAUUGAUCCCGAUGCAUAAAUCAGCAGCUUCACCACGCGACGUCGUUUUAUCUGUUCCGCCGUCUCCUCUCGCUUCUCCGAUUCACGUUGCCGGAAAAGAGGUUUCUCUCUCGCUCCCCUGUUUCAUCUCUCAUAUUAUUACAGAGUAUUUAUCUAAUUAUUCGUUUUUUUUGUUUUUUUUUAACAUCUGGAUUCAAAGAUUGUGAAAUGUGUUCUGCAAGUUUUUUUUGACCUAGUGCUUUAAAGUUACUUGUAUGUUAAGUUAUUCUAUGUUAACAGGCGAUUUACAAAGUCAUCAGAAGCUGGGCCUCCAAAAAGUUCAUGACCGGAUGGUGAAAAUCUCUUAUCUGUUUCUUUCUGACUUAUAAUUUACUCUCAAAAGGUUUUUGAAACACACGUUAAGAUCUCUUGUGUGUACAGUGUCAUAUUGCUACCAAUCGCUGUCACAUUCUACUUCACAUGGUGGUUUAUUCAUUUCGUCGACGGGUUCUUCUCACCGAUCUAUACACAUCUCGGAAUCAAUAUGUUCGGUUAGUUUCAUUUUGCAUCUCUCAUCUAAGUUGCAUUGCUUGUUUCUUAUGUCUAACGAAGAAAUUGCAGGUCUUGGAUUUGUGACAUCCAUCACAUUCAUCUUUAUUGUUGGUGUAUUCAUGUCUUCAUGGCUUGGAGCUUCAGUUCUCAGUAUCGGAGAAUGGUUUAUCAAGAAAAUGCCUCUCAUAAGCUACAUUUACUCGGCUUCUAAGCAAAUUAGUGGAGCCAUCUCGCCAGGUUAAAACUCACAAGAAACCAAAAAUAUCUUACUUGCUAACAAGUAUCAAAAAGGUUAACCUUACCCUUUAAUCUCCUUUGAUCAGAUCAAAGCUCAGGUGCAUUCAAGGAGGUAGCCAUUAUCAGACAUCCACAUAUGGGAGAAUAUGCUUUUGGUUUCAUUACAUCAACUGUGAUUCUUAGAGGUCGUGCUGGUGGAGAAGAACUAUGUUGUGUUUAUGUUCCCACCAACCAUCUUUAUCUUGGAGAUAUUUUCCUUAUUAGCUCAAAGGACAUCAUAAGACCUAAUCUCUCAGUCCGGGAAGGCAUAGGUAGUUUUGUGACUUGAUCUAGUAACUCUCUUCAAACGUUCUGGAGCUGUAACAAACCGAUCUCAUUGCUCAAAUUUAAUCUUCUUUUGUUUUCCAACAGAAAUCGUUAUCUCGGGUGGUAUGUCGAUCCCACAGAUGCUAACAACGCUGGACUCAGAGAUCACUCACAGGUCGGUAGUUGGAACCUUUGCCAUGCCACCUGUGUGAAGUUUGAUGAAUCAUAGUUUUAUCCAGAAGCUUAAACGGAGCUUGCUGGUUAGGUUACUGCAACAUUUGCUAAACCAAGAAUGUUGGAAAGUUUUGGAAUCAUAAUGAUAUAUAAGUGAAAGAUUUAGAGUUUGGAUAUGUGUUGUUUAAGCCUAGUUUUAACUUAGACACGCAGUAUAAAGAAGUUUUAUUUGAAUUCUUUUUCGUGUACAAAAUAAAAUUGCUUCAAGAGAGUUUUGUAUACACAGACGUAUUCAAGUUAUUGUCUUUCACAUCAGUGUGUUUCAGUCAGAAGUUUUAUGAAAAACUCAAACUAUGCGCAAAAACAUAAAUCUUUCUCAUAGUAUAUUGUUUCUAUUGUCAAAUGCUGGAAAAGAAUGAGAGAGACACAAUGGUGUAUAACUGGUGGAUUCUCUGGAAAUCCUUUGAGAAGCAAAAUCUUAUCAACUAAUGCUACAAUGGUGCAUCAUCAAUGCCUAUGUGUAAAGUCAAGAAAGUGCAGAACAUAGCGACUUGUAUGCAUCAACGCAGAGUUUAAACUUCUCUUGCGCUGCAGCCUGCGAUUAUCAAAACACAAUUUAUCAACACAUAAACUUCAUACAAAAACUGAGACAAUCCAAUCUUUGUUUAAAAUCAUACCUGAGAAGGCCCCUGGUGCUUAUCCGGAUGCCACUUCAAAGCCGAAGACCGGAAGCUGUAAAACAGGAAAAGCUUUGAGGAACACUUAUUUUAGAUUUUGGGCAGCAUCGGAAGCAAUUGAAAGACUUACGCAUUCUUAACAUCAUCAAUUUUGAGGGGACCAUCUAGAGGCAAUCCAAGAACAGUCCUUUCAGACCGAGACCCAACAUUCAAAGGUUCAUCAAGAGACUCAUUAUUCCAACUUUUGCUCCUUUGAGAUUGACUGGUCCAGCUCCAGCCUUCUCUCCAUUCAAAUCCUGAUGUCGAGUCUCUCGAAUUUGAGGUAUUCUGAGAUUGACUUGUCCACUUUUCUCUCCAUUUGUUCUCGAAAGCAUUAUUAGCUUCAGUGCCAAAUUCAUCGUCAGGAUUUCCUUCUCUGUGCCAUCCUGAUUUACAAUUAAACAAAAGGAUACAGCAAAAAAGAGAGCCAAGAGUUGUAUGGUACUAAGAAAAAGAAAAGAAAGCCACUCACUUUUUGUUUUCUUAUCCCGAGGCUUCUUGCCCCGGCCAGGUGGAGGUUUUUUCUUCAUAUGCCUUUCCCGGAUAAGCGGAUUUGGCCCGAAAUGCCACUCAUUCUACGUAUAUGAAAAGAAGUACAAUGUAAAACACUUGAGCAAACACAUUAAAAAGAAAAAGAAAACCAGAACUCUAUGUAAGAACAAAGUUUAUAAAAAUCAAAAUCCAUGAAACUACAGCAUGACGAAUAUACCUGAAGUGGAUCAUUAAUUCCUCUGUGGAAGAGGAGUUUGUCUACAGUCUUUUUAGCGCUAGUGCGUCCCUUCUCCUUUACAGUACAUGUGAAUCUUAUGGAGGAGUUCUGGGAUCAACAUUUGCAGCUUCAGAGGAGAACUAACUCUCUUAUGAGUUUGAAUAGAUACACAAAUAAAUGACCACACACACACAAACACGCACACCAAAGAUAUCAAUUUCUUGACAAGACAAGCACAGGUUUAAAACAAGAACUUAACAACAUAGAUUGCAUUUCUAUUAACAACCAAUCCUUCCAAAUUCAUCAAGAAACAUUCAUUUUCCUCAUAUGAAAGUACAAAAAUUUGCAAAACCAAUUUGGUUGUAAUGUGAGCUACAUGACCCAAUCAUGUGAUCCUCUUUUGACUAAAAGCAACCCAAACUUGUGGAAACUCUCAGAUUUGGUAACAAUUUCGAUCUGAUAACACAAAACCCAUAUCACAAUUCCUAUUCUUGAUACCAAUUCAAUCAAAGUUUCAGCUUUUACAUUGCUCAUUAAAAAUUAUACCUUUGAAGAUCGUUCACCUUCAGAAUCCCUACCCUGCGAUCAAAAAUUAAUCCAAGAGCAUCAAAACAUCUAACUACAGGUGCUCAAAGAUUCAAUGAUGAAGCUAAUCUUUAUAGAGAAGGAUCUUACGGAACCAGAGUUAUUCCUCGAUUUCUCAGACAGAACACUCGUCGAAUGAAAUGGAGCGAAACGAAUUGCUUCUGUGGCAUUUGGUAAUGACAAUUCUACAAUCCCAGAACUUUUCAGCGACAAGAUGCUUCUCAAUCUAAACAUAGUUGGAUUCCACAUAAAGUAAAAAUGAAAACUUUCGAGAAAUUGAGAAUACAAUAAACAAAUUCAAAGGUUUAAAAUUUCAUUGACGCGAAAUGAGAGAUUUGAGGAAGAAAUGGGAGGAGAAGACGACUGAGAAGUGAGAGAACAGGUUAAAAGAAACAGAGACCGUGAGGGUUUUUUAACCAGACCGGUUUAAUUGCGUCCUGGUUUAAGUUCGGUUUAACUUGGUAGAUUACGGAAACAGAGCAUGAAGCCAAAGUUAAAAAAGUUUGUCACUUUGAUUAUGAAUGUAAGAGAUACAAAUCCAAAAUCAAACAAUAGUAGUUUCAUGUUUGAAUCAAUCAUACACAUACGUAACGAUCUAAACAUAACACAACUUAGUCGAAAAAGUAUAAAAAAAAUCCAAUCUCAAUGACAUUGCUUUUUAGCUUACAUUGGUUCUACUCUCAGAACCCCCCAAAAAUCUCUUCUUUUAAUCAUUCAUUGAUCUCUCUCAUUGAUGAGGAGCAGGGCUUUUAGUUCCCAUCUCUCUGGAAUCAUGACUAGGUGUUCCUUCACAGUCACUGAUUGGGAACUCUGUGCUCGACAAAGCUAUCUGUCUGAACUUCUUCAUGUCUGCGUUGUAAGAUGUCUGACUAUAAUCUGAGCUUGCUCCCGAUGACCCGUAAAUGUUACUCUGUCCUGGCUUCACACCUUCGUUUAAAGCAUCCAGUGACACUUCUCCUUCUAAUGCUCUUACUAUCUGCAAACCAAAACAUCUUUUGUUACUUAUUAUCUGACAAAUACUCAAAAAUUUGGGUUACAUAAGUUUGAUUGACCUGGCUCAUCUUUGGACGUUUACGCCCCGAAUAGCGAAUGCUAGCAGCGGCACAAGUCACCAUUCGAGCCAUUUCUUGCGGGUUGUAGUUGCCUUCAAGCCUUGCAUCUGCGAGCUCAUUAAAGUUUCCAUCUUCUAGCGAGCUAGCCAUAAGAGGCCGAGCCUGUAUUUAUAAUCCAAAAGCAAUCAUCAGUGCCAAAAAAAAGGCGAAAACAUACACAAUUCUUGUAUAACAAGAAACAUAUAUUAGCAUAUACCCAAUCUACUAAGGUGUCGUCCAUAGUGCUGGUAUUAUCAACCGGUCGUUUUCCAGUUAUGAGUUCGAGUAACAUGACACCGUAAGAGAAAACAUCGGAUUUCUCUGUUAAUUUACCGCUAGAUGCAUACUCUGGAGCAAGAUAUCUACACAUGUUUGUGCAGAGAAGUAAAUUAGAUCAGUACAAAGGUUCUGUUUCUUGAUUGGCGCGAAUAGUAUCUUAUGGUAGGGUAAAACGCUUACCCGAAAGUUCCCAUCACACGAGUAGAGACAUGAGUGUAGUUAUCAGAAGUUAACUUAGCUAAUCCGAAGUCAGCCACCUGAAUAAACAAAUGUCAUAAGUCAUGCAUCAUCAGCUUUUAGCACAAAAACCAAAGUGGAAUGCGGCUACUAGUUUAUCACCAUUGCAUCAAAGUUGAAAUCCAAGAGAAUGUUUGCAGACUUGAUGUCGCGAUGAAUGAUCCGAGGAUGGCCUGUGUCGUUUCCUCAGCCAAGAAAGAAAUCACUUGUCAGAGACAAAGCUUUCUUUGUUUUAUGCAACAAUGGUGUUAAGAAAAUGAGACUGGUGAAUGUUUGAAACUUACAGUCUUCAUGAAGGUAAGCGAGUCCUUUCGCAGCACCUAAUGCGAUACGCAUCCUGGUGGAGAAAUCCAUUACCGGAAGAUUUUUCCCUGAACCAACAACAACAGGAACAAAUGUUACAAUUUUCUUGAAACUGUAGAGUAGGCUAAAUUGUUUUUAAGUGGUCUAGUUACCAUGAAGAUGAUAUUCCAAAGUAUUGUUAGGAACAAACUCAUAAACCAACAUCCUCUGUCCAUCAGCUAUGCAAUAUCCAACCAAAGAAACAAGAUACCGAUGAUGCACACGGCUAAUGAUAUCAACCUCAGCUUGAAACUCCCUCUCUCCUUGUCCACUACCCGAUUUCAAACUCUUAACCGCGACUUCUUUCCCGCUAGGCAACACACCUUUAUGAACAUACCCGAAUCCUCCCUGCCCCAAAAGGUUGCCAUCCGCAAACCCUCCCGUUGCAGCCGCAAGCUCUUGGUAAGUAAAAGUGCUCUUGUUAAAUCCAAGGGCUAAAGCAGGCGAAGGAGGAGGCAAAACCGGGCGUGCUGGUCCAGAGUACAAUUCAGAAUCAUCUACACUUGUAGGCAUCCGCGGUGGAGGAGGAGGCGGUGAUGGUCCACCGCCUCCCCAACCACCAGGAGGGUAUUGGUUUUGGCCUUGUGGAUUUAGGUUCCAAUUUGGAUAAUUGUGGGAAGCAUUAUUGUUGUUGUUUCCAUAGUAUUGAUACUGAUUUCCUGAACCAAUAUGAAGAAACCUAAGCUUUUUGAUAUGUGUUGAAACAUAUGUGUGUGUAAGUUUAUACCUUUCAUGGGUUCAGGAUAGUAAGAAUCUUUUCUCUUCUUUUUGCGUCUAAGACAAACAAUGAUAAGCACAAUCAUCAAAAGUCCAGCUCCAACUAAUACACCUACUAUGAUCCCAAUAUUCGUAUUACUUCCUCCUCCUCCUCCUCCUCCACCGCUGCUGCCUCCGCUAGAAGGAGGAUUAUCCGAGGGAGAGCCGCCAUUGCCUCCUGAUGGUGUUGAUCUGCUUCCACCGUUAUCUCCAUUACUCCUAGAAGGAGGAGAAGGAGGAGAGCCGCGUGACGGUGGAGGCUCGUUUCCACCGCCAUUCCCUCUUUGUGACGGUGGUGGAGGAGAAUUAUUAGAGGAAUUAGGAGGAGAAGGAGCUUGUGGAGCUGGUGGAGAUGUUGAACCAGGAGGUGGCGAUGAUGAUGAGUCUCCUUGAGAAGGAGAAGGAGGAGAAGGAGCAGGGGGAGAAGAGGAGGUUGAAUUGGUAUUAGACGACGGUGGAGAUGGAGAAGAGGUAGAGUUUGACGGAGGAGGAGCAGAUGCAGGAGAAGAAGCCAUCAGAGAUCAAAAUUCUCCGGUAACCAAAAAGAAAAAACUCUCCGUCCGUCUUCUCUCCCUUAACCACUCAAAUGAUUCUGAAAAGAACAAAAACGUAAUAAAAAAACAGAACAGAUCAUGAUCAAAAUGGUGUUAAUUUGGGCAUAACCUCUUUUGUCUUAUUAUGUUCUCGUUAGAUCUUCAACAAAACAGGUGAAAAAAAUGCUAAAUAUGAAAGAUUAGUUAAAGAGAUUAGCAUGUAAGUGUGUACCUUAGAUGAAGAGAUUAAGGGGGAGAGGAGUUGUUUUUGGGUAAAUUGGUGAGAAAAAUGAUAAUAGGAAGGAGGUGAGAUUUUGAGAUUUGCUCUGUCUUCAUUCCGAGAAACAUGCCUCUUCUUUAUCUCUAAUGUCUGUCGUAAUAACAGUUUUGUGUUUUAGUUACUAUAAUAAUUGUAAUAAUCUCCGGUCUAAUUUUUCUCUUUUUGGCUCCGUGAUAUUAGGAGAAGUAAGGUUUGUUUGUUGAUUCAUUUCCACGUAAGUGGUAGUAAGUUAGUAACCGCAUGCAUUCUUAAUUAUUCUUACCCUUUUUGUUAGGUAAAUCUCUGGUUUAAUCUUGUCCAUCGGAUCAUGUUACUCAUCUCAGAUCCUUCCACGCGGUUUUGAUCAUAAUGCUAGAAAAAGAAGUGUAGCUGCAAACUACUGUAUUUAUUUUUGAACAUUUAUAUUGGUGUGGGUAUAACUAGAGGCGGUUUAGUGUGUUAUUACAAAGACUAGGGUACAACAUGUUGAGCUAAAUCUUGGUUCUAUGUAUAAUGAGAAAUUAAAAGACUAUAAGAGAUCAUAUGUUGCAUUCAUGUCCCUUUGGUUACGUAUAAAAAAGACCACAUCUCGUAUUCUAGAGUUUAUUCUAGAGUUUGAUCCUUAAUUAAAGCCAUUGAUGAAGUUGCAUCCCAUGAUUUCAUUUGUUAAGAGUCUUUAUACGAUAAACAAGACAAUCAAAAACAUAAUAUUUAUAGAGCUCGCGCUUAAUAUUUUCUUUAGAGAAAUCCAACAAAAAGAGAUUUAUAAGUAUGUAUAUAAGUUUGUCAAUGUAAUCAAUUUUUUUUUUGUCUACGUAUGCAACUAUACUUCUGCAUAACCUUCAUAGUCCCCUAAAUUUUCUAUUUUGUUAUUAUAUUAAGAUAUCAUGAAAUUUUUUGUAUAUGCUUCAAGAAACAAGAAUCCUCGUCGGUCAUGGUCGGUUGCUCCCAUAUCUUUGGGACACGCCAGUGUCCGACAGUGUAUCCCACACCUGCACAUAUAUACGUUAGGUUCCUAAAAAAAACAUACAUGUAUUUCUUGUAUAAUCAAAAUGCCUACUACUCACUUUUAGAUUCCCCUCUGAGCCACCAAUAGCGAGCAAGAAGGGGCAGUCCGCAGAGAAUGAUACGGAGAACACUUUUCCCUGAUUGAUGUCAAAGUUUGGAAUGGUGAACAAAAGAAACCAAAGUUUGAAAGAUACUUAUUAAUGAAUAGCUCUUACCGCAUCUGGCAUGUGUGUAGCAAUCCAUGAUGGUUGAUUAUUUGAAAGAUCCCAAAUUUUCACACUUCCAUCCUCAGAUCCUGUAGCCAAAAGCUGUACAUAUCGAAGAAUGGCUUAAAGCUAAACCACUGCAUUAUAAAUAUAUGCUAGCUUGGACUCAAGAGAGAAAAAGAGAAGCAUGUAUGUACGUACAUUGGGCGCAUGUAUGUUGUAUGAUAUGGAGGAGACUUCAUUAUCAUGAGCAUGGAGAGUAAAAUUUGGUGAUAGAUGAGAAGCACGUAUAUCAAAGCCUUUCACAGUUCCAUCUUUGAGACUUGCCUAACAUGGAAAAAGAAAAAGAUAAUGAGUCACAUCAAUUAUCUCAGCUAUUCACAUGUCUAUUAGAAGAGCAAAGAAAGCGUAAUGCACCACAAAGGAGUGUUCACUGUGAGGAUCCCAGGCCAAGCUUUCAACUUUGCCCUUGGUAGACCAUUUCAAACCUGAGUGUGAAGGGUCCCUUCCAUCUUUCUGAAACAUAUAUACAUAUAGAUAGAAGAAAAAAAAACACAAAUCAACAUAAUGAUAAAGCUGGUUAAUGUAGAAGACUCCAGUCACAUGAAUGGAACAAAACAGUCACCAAUACAACGGUGCGAUCACGAGACCCACUGAGGAGUACUUCUGGAGCAUAAUGAUUCCAUGCGACCGCGUGAACCUGUUAGUUAACCAGUACACACAAAAUAAACAAUGAGCAUGCCACAUAUGCUUGAGAGAGCAUAGAAACAGUUUUUAUCCUCAUACCUUGUUUUUAUGAUGCUCCAUAGUGACCUUGCACUUCCCUGUAGCCACAUCCCAAACCUUAACUUUUUUGUCAGCACUGGCACUAGCAACUAUAUUCCUAUUGUUCCAGUAAAAAGUAAAAAAUGAGAGCAAAUAUUGGACAGAAAUUUUCAAUCAUGGAACCAUCAGAGAGCUUAAGUUAAACAUUUCUACCUAAACUCCUUGUUCCAAGCAAGAUCAAUCACUGGUUCAGAGUGGGAAUCUUGUGAUGUCUAGAGUGAGAGAAAUUAAGACAAAUAACUAAGUUACAACAUGACACAUUCUAGAUAAACAGAGGAGUUAGAUAAUUUGCAAAAAUUGGGUUUCAAACCUCUCCACCUAUUCGUCCGAGUCGUACACAAGGUAGCACCUCUUUUACCUGAUCGAGCAUUGUAUAGUCAUAUUAGUUAAUGAUAGAUAAAAAAAGAAACAUUAUAAAUAUCAUUAAAAGCCAGUUUACAGUUACAUACAAGAUCAAGAUCCCAUAUCUCUAUUGAGGUCUCCAUAGACCCAAUAGCUACAAAGUUCCCUGCCAACACCAAAGAAAAAUGAUAAUCUCAUCCAUACCAAAAAAAAAGAAGAAGAGCCGCGGCUUGGAUCCACACACUAACCUUUUUCCCUUCCUUUGAGAGGACAAUCAAGCCAUGCCGUGCACAGUGGUUCCUCAGGUAUAAUUAUGUCAUUACGAAGAUACAAGUUGUGAGUGCCAUUCCCGGUGUCCUCGUAUACGUAGACCUCAAGAUUGUUGGUUUUAUCUCUACUAGUAGCGCAGAUGAUCAGUGAAUCAGUUGGCCUAAUUGUCAUAUCAUCAAGAUCCUCGGAGUCAUACUUAUCCUAACGUAUACCAACAUGAUAUAAUCAGCUGAGUUAGAGGGUUAAAAGGUUUAUUAAUUAGUAUAUUUUACUAAGGUUGCAAUACAAACAAUUGUGAGAGUAUCCUCAAGGUAGAUUUAGUAAGUAUGAUAAGAAAACUAAUACCUCGGUAUUAUUUAGGUAUGGAUCCAUCUCAUUGCUUGGAUAAUAAAGGUCUCCUUGUCCAGAGCUAAACAGUUCAAUUUCUGAGUCCAACACAAGAAUGAAGUAAAACUGUAUAUUAACAUAUGUAAUAUAUACAAGAAUGAUACUAUGUAGGAAAUAGAAAGAGCUGAGAUAUAUAUACCAUCAUCUUCUUCGUCAUAGUUAUCCAUGUCGAGUUCUUUCAAGAAGUUGACUACGUUAUCAGGAUCUGCUGAAGUAGACGAAGAAGAAGAAGCAUCCUUGCUUUCGGAACAUGGUUUGCCAAAAGAUUUUGCUACAGCCUUGGCAUGAGCAACUUCACAAUUCUUUAUCUCAUCGUCCAUAUCCAUGUCACUGAGACUGUAUCCGAUGUAAAUGUAAUCAGUGGGUGUCUGGGUGAGCUUUUCACCUUUUUUUUUUAAGAGAAACAAGAACAGACUUAAUAAGAAUUUUCUCACCUUUUCUUGAAAGUGCCAUUAUGAAUGAGCUCUUUGAUAUCCUCCUUAGAAGGAGACUGAGCCUCAUAAGGCAUGGCCUUUGAUGCCCCUUUUGGUAUCCAUGAAAGUGAAGUUAUCAUUCUUUGUUACAAAAAAAAAAGUUAUCAUUCUACAAAAUCAAAUCAGAAGAGAGAGCGAGAGAGAUAUUAAGAAACCAUUAGUAGCCAAUGUCUCUGUCUUGUUGGAAGAAGAAAUUAAACUUACUGCUAUGACUGUCAGAGAAAGAAGAAGAAGACUUGGGGAGGAAACAAACCGUUCUUUCUGCUUCGAUCUCUCGUUUUAGCUUAUUAGAGAAACAAUAGUAACAUUGAGCCAUAAGCUCCACAAAAAAAAAAAGGAAAACAAAAGUAGCCCUAGGGUUUCGGACUCAUGUCAAGAUGGGCUUUUCAUUUGUUUAUCCACUAAUUAAUCUGAUUUUACUAUGGUACUACUAAAUUUUUUAAAGUCCAUUAAUAUUUAAUAUUUAGUUAAAAAAAAAAAUUUCAUCAAUAUUUUAACGUUUUCCCUAUAAAAUUUCAAAGUAUAAAAUUUCCGUUUUGAAGAAAAAAGGAAAAUAAGAAAGAAAAGGAAAUAACUAAUAAGAAUGAAAAAAAUGUAAAUUAUUUUUCUUUAUAGGGUCGCUUAAAUCAUUCUCAACUUAAAAGAAGAGAAUAGAGCAAAACAAAUUGCUAAAAGAUGAGUGAAACUAUUUAAUUUUUAAUCUCUCCUAGUAAUCUUAAAUCCUUUCUUAAAUCUUGCUUGGUUCAAUUUUUAACCUCUUCUCUUCUAAACUAUUUUGAGCUGUUAUUGUCUUUGUGUUUGUGGUUUAGAGUUCUUUAUUGAACUGAUCUUGUCUGAAACAUUAAUACAAUGACUGUUGGGCCGGAAGCUAGGAAGUUGCAUAAUUAUUAGUAUGGCACAAUAAACCUUUGGUUGCAAAGUAACCAAAGUUAUAUUUUGAGAGUGUCCCUCAAGGUAGUUUCAGUAAGUACGAUAAAAUAAAGGGUUUGUUAGCAAACUAGUACGUUUUUGAAACAUAAUUAUAAAAGUAGUACAUUACUAUUCAUAAUUAGGAAAAUAGUACAAUUUUACUAUUUCAGGUAUCUGUACAUAUAGACAACUGUACAACAACACAUUAUUGUACAUAAAAUAUUUGUACAAAGAGAAACAACUACAAAAACACAUAUUUACACAUAAACAAAUAUACAUAUAUAGACAAGAAAAACAUUUGUACACGUACAAUUAUACGUAUAUAUAGACCGAUGUACGGAUGAUUUUCCGUACAGCGACACACAACUGUACAUAAGGAUAGCUGGACGUAUCAAAAUUUGUUUGAAAAAUAUUAUAAAUUAUUAGAAUAAAAUGCAUAUCAAAUUAUAGAGAAAAAAAUGUAGAUUUUUAUGUAACUGAAAUUUUAUUAAAAACAAAUUUAUUUUGAUUAAUAUUAUAGUUAUUAGAUUUAAAGGGUUUUUUAAUAGUGUCUAAAUAGUGUCCAAAUAGUAAAAAUGUAUUAGUUUGCUAAUUAUAAAUAGUAAAUGUACUACUUUUAUAAUUAUGUUUCAAAAAUGUACUAAAAAUCCAAUUAAUCCUAAAAUAAACUAGUAACUUUUACCUCAGUAUUCUUUACAGAGUGGCUAUGAAUUGUCUCUGACUCUGUUUCUAUUCUUCUUACAGUUUCAAACAUACAUCACUUCAUUUUUUUUUAGUCAUAGAACAUUUGUCUCUUUGUUUUGUAAUACUCAUGAUAUACAAAUUUCUCGCGCUACAGUAAACAAAUUGCAUUCUAAAUUGCGGGAAUAAUAUAAAAAUGUGUAUUCAAUGAUUUAUCUGUAUCAUCCUUACAAAAACACACCUUACAUCGCCGACAAAAAAAAAAAAAAAAAAAAAAAAAAAAAACACACCUUACAUACAAUUAAUAGAUAAGCCAAAUCAUGUUGGAUUAAACAAAAAUUACAUGCCAAAUUAUUCUAUAUAUAUAACUAUGAUAAUCUAACCUAAUUAUUGACUCUCUUAGUUUGAAAUUGAAUCUCUAAUCCGUCGCGAUCACCACGAGGACCCCCACCGGCAAAGAGCUUCUCCAUAUCCUCCAAGGGUACUCCUUUUGUCUCCGGCAACAUAAAGAAGAAGAACCACCAUGCCGCCACCGCUAGUCCAGCGAACACGAAGAACACACCGCCUGUCGUUAUCGCCUUCGUCAUCGAUAGAAAACUCAUUGAGACCGUCGCAUUCAUGAUCCUAUUAACCGCAACGCCUAUGCUCGCUCCCUGUGCCCUAAGUCUCAACGGGAAUAUCUCGGAGCUGUACACCCACGUGAUAGGUCCAAGCCCGAUGGAGAAAAACGCUACAAAUGCAUACGUAGAGACGAUGCUUAAACUCAAUGCCCACGCUAACCUCCCAAAUCGCUGAACCAUCGUGAGACUAACCGCUAAACUUGUCAGAGCGAAGACCAUCCCACCUGUGCUGGUUAAUAGAAGCUUUCUCCGACCUACCUUGUCUAGCAAGAAAGUAGCUAUUAUUAUGAAAAAGGCCUUAGUUAAACCUACACCGACCGUGGCUAAUAAGAGCUUGUCUUUAGAAACUACUCCAGCUUUCUUGAAUAUUCUCGGACUGUACAACACGACAGCCUCGAUCCCCGUGGCGUGCUCGAAAAAGUGUAUCCCCACGGCCGCGAUCAAUAUCAAACGCACGGCAGGUCGCGGUUUUAUUACCAACUCCCUCCAUACACUUUUGCCGUGAGUCUUCUUAACCCCACCGCCAACUUCUUUCACCGCUGUCUCCUCCUCUAUUUCCGCCGCGAUUAGAAUAUCUCUGAACCGUUCUUCGGCUUCUUCUUCCGUGUUGGAUACCAAAGCCAUUAUUUUCUUUGCCUCUUCUAACCUACCUUGCAUCACAAGCCACCUCGGAGACUCAGGCAUUUUCGUAAUCCCAAAAGCCAAUACCAAAGAAGGGAAAGCCGCGAUCCCAAGCAUCAAUCUCCAUCCAAGCCUCAACGUCAGUUUCCCAAAACAGUAGUUGGAAACAUAGCCAAGUAAAAUCCCAAGACUAAUACAAAGCUCGGGUAGAGAAGUGAGAAAGCCUCUAUGUGAAGCAGAGGAUAUCUCGGCAGAGUAAACCGGAGCUAUCAUAAGAGCAAACCCUACACCAACCCCGGCUAUACAUCUUCCGACCAUCAAAACAACGUAGUUUGGGCCGUAACCCAUAAGAACAGAGCCCACUAAGAAUAUCACGGCGGAGAGAGCAAUAGUAUAACGUCGACCAAUAACGUCGGACGUUUUUCCCGCCGUUAGUGAUCCGACGAGAGCACAAAGAUUCAAGAUUCCGGCCAAUACUUCGAUCUGAGUGUCGUUUAUUUUGAGAUCCUCUCUUAUAAAUAUCUGAGCUCCGCUCAUAACUCCCGUAUCUAAGGACAAAACACAUUAAACAAAGUGAAAGUUAGAUUCAUUGAUAUAAAAAAAAAACAUAAUUAUAUUCAACUAAAUAGUUAUAUUAUAUGUUAUGUAGAAAAAUGUUUACCAUAUCCAAAGAUGAUGGAGAUGAUGGAAGCAACGAUGGCACAGCCGCAAGCAAAUUUGUUCAUAUGAGUCGGGUUUGGUUUCAAACCGGGAGAAGUAUGACCAUCAGCAUGAACCAUGGUGAGUCUUUUUUUUUUUAUUUUGGUGUGUUAGAUAUUCAAAUAGCUAAUUAUAUCGAUUAUGUAACUUUCAUAUAGUAUAUAUACACAUACACGGUCCACCACUUGGAUCUUUUGUAGUGGAAAAGGACGAUCAGAAACUUCCACUGUUCCACAAUCUACAGUGUUCGAAGGUGCCCACGUAUUCUGGUACGAGAGCUAGAUUUUUCUUUACAAUAUAUAUAACAUUUGAUUUGGAUGUAUGUACCUGAGAAGUAUAUCCAAGAAACGUUUGAAAAGAAUUCCAAAAAAAUCACAACAAAUUAAUUAAAAUGAAGUGGAUAGGUAAAGAAUUUAACCAUAGAUAUGUGCAUCGAAUAUUCGAUCAGUACUUAAAUGCAGUUUUUUAGGAGAUGAUAAUAUGCUACUUGUAAAACUGGUUAUUAUAGUUUUGCAAGUUAUGCAUGUAAAUGUCAUCAUAUAUGUGAAUUCAUUCAUUAUAGUUACAUAUACUAGGAUAAGAUUAUAUCAAAAAUAGUUGGUCAUCAAAUUUAAUACGAUAAGAUCAAAAAAUAUUUCUAAUACGAUAUAUAAAAGUCGCAAUCUUAUUAUUCACUUUCGGCAUUUUCCUGAUAUAUGUUGAAUAGUGGCGUAACCUUUAAAGAUUCUUUUCCACAUUUAUAUAAUUUGGUGAACUAAAUAUAUACGGUGCAUUUGUUUUGUUAUUUCAUUUGGUUUUUAUCUUAUAUAGUUCUAAAAUUAAACAUGUUUGGUGAAAAAUUCCUAGAGCACGUCAUGCGUGGUAUAAGUCGUCACCAUUAAAUCUCAUGUACUUUAGAAAGACAAUAACAUAUUUUAAAAUUCAUUUUCAGUUUAUUCCAAAAAAAAAAAAAAUUGAAAAAUCAAGUUAUGUAUUUUUAUUGAGACUUUAAAAGUUAAAUUUAAAAACUAUAAAAUUCGUUGUGUAUUUUUUUUAGAUGUCUAAACUUGCGGAAAGUAAAUAUUUACACAUACGAUAGUAACUAUUAUUUAAAAUAUAAAUAGAAAGUAAUUAUGGAUAAUCAUUCAUCUGGCAUCUAUAUAAUAGGCAAAAACGCUAACAUUGGGGAUUUGUAUACAAGUAUACAUUAAUUCUAUAAAUGCACAAACGUGACAAAUCCCACGUAAAAAGUAAAAACUUUUGAGUUGAUUCUUUGAAAGUUAUAUUUGGUGAGCUGAAAAAGAAAGAUACGUGGCGAAAACAUACUUUUUGAUUUGAUUUCUUGAACGAAAACAUAGUUUUUGAUUUGAUUUCUUGAACAUCAUACUAUAAUAUGAAUAACUUAACUCAAACAACAACUAGGCAAAUUGCAACUUUUUUUCCACCUUUUUAAUAAAUAGUGUUGAACCAAGGGUUCACACAAUGAAUUUAUUAAGGAAAGGAGAAUAAAUUCACUUUAAACAAUCUCUCAAGAACUCGAAUUGAAACGGAUUAAAAAGAAUUGAUUUAACAUAGAAAUGAACGAUUUAGGGUUUGCUCAAGAACAAGUAAGGAACUAGGGUUUUUGUUAUUAAAUGAUCGAUGCCCUAGAAUAGAGACAUCUUCUCUAUUUAUACAAGUGAUUUAGGGUUACAAUAAAUGCUCCUUUUCCUUAGAUUUUCAGAAGAUAUUGUCAUAAAUAUUCGAUUAGGGUUUUCGAAACCCUAAUGAUCCGAGGUCGUCUAUUCCAUUUUAGGAAUGAAGCACCCUUUGCAUUAAUUGGACAAUAAACCGGGAUUCCCUGACUUAUUGGUUUAAUUCGAUUCCGUCUUGGUUUAGGCCGGUAUGUCGUUGGUGCUAAUUCCUACACCAACAAUAAGUCCCCCCCAGUUCGAUGGGUCAAAUGUUCAUUCGAAUUAUGGAACUCCUAAUUAUGCCUGACCUAAGUUAAGAGGGAAACGAAUCAAAUAUAUCCGAAUCGUCGCCUAUCUCGGAAACGUUGCCACGCGUCAUUCAUCUGUGGAGCGGCAUGUAGGUCGGAAGUCGAAGCGUCGCCUAGGUCAUCAUUAUUUUUUCGUAGGUCUGUCUCCCGCUCGUUUCUAUAAAUACUCGUUCAAUGCCUUUCAUUUUCCUCAUUUCCGCUUUUCUGCUCAAAAGGUAAAAUUUCGCUCUGCCCUCUCUCCUCUUUUUCUUUUAACUUAGCGCCGCCGACUUUAAAUUCUGUACGAGAUGUACAAAGGGAUACAUCUGUCUGUACGAGAUGUACUUUACCCGCUGCCGCCUGCGGUUUCCUCUGCCCGAACUCUUGUCCCAAUAUACUCAUCGCCGUAAACUGGCGAUCUCUCAGCUCGCUCCGGCCAGUAUUUGCAACAUCGUCGGAGUACUGACCCUAGCAUCUGAGGUCGGUACAAGGGUUCCCGUCAUGUGCUUCGAGGAGAUGACGGUAUUGAAGAAAUCCAUGGUCGCCGGCAACUUCACCGUGAACAUGAGGGAGAAACAGAACGUCAUUCCCGGAACCCGAGUCAGCAAUUUCAAAGGCUGGGAAAAACGUUUCUUUUAUGUCCGAGCUGACUACCUCUCACUCGAAAAUCCUUUUGUUGGCUUACGCCGACGAUGGAAUAGUGAUCCGGGUACUUAAUCUACGUUUCUGUUUUGAAUCCCCUUAUCGUUCUGACCUGACUUCUCCUCUUUUGUGCAGAUCGCAUCCGAAAUUUUUCUACGUUCCCACCGGAGUACUCCGACAUUGUGGCAAGCCUGUUUAGCGGGGAGAAUCGAGCGUGGGACCAAUUUAGCCGAAAGCGAGUUGAAGAAGCGAUGGGAAGAAUUCCGAGAAAGUAUCCAAACUUCGCAGAGGAGCUGGCCAAAUCAUCAGGUACUUCGGUAACCGCCCUCCAGGCUCGGGAUGCCGAGCUCGCUGCACCAACAACAACGGCUAUGGAAGUCGCCGUAAUUGAAUCGGCUACCGGAGGAGAGGUCGCCCCUACUGAUCCUUCGAUCGUGGAUCUGGAAGUCGAUGGUGGUGGCGAGGGCGAGGUUCCCGGGCAGGAGGUCGUAACUGCCGAGCAAGAGGUCGCUCUGUCCGAAGGAGACACGGCCGGGAGGAAGAAAAAGAAGAAGAGAGUCGACAAAGGCAAGGGCGUGGCUCUGGAUUCUGGCAACCAAUCGAGCCGUAAGAGGUCGGCCGAAGCAGCUGAUCUAGAGUCUUCUGAUCCUUUCCGAUUAACUCGGAAGGAUUCGAAGACAGACAAAUUCUGCUUUGACUACUUCGGAGAAAGCUCCGUGGCUGGCGAUCGUUAUGCCUCGGCAGAGUUAUGCCGAAAUUUAAAAUUUUCUUCGGAAAUUCUGCCCGAUCUCGACGAGCUGGAGUUCAAGGAGGACUAUCUGAACUAUACUCGAUCCGCGUUGCAGGUUUGUUUAUCGCUCCUUUAUAUCUGUCCUUUAUAUUUUGUGCAUAUUUUAACACAGUUUUUGUCUUUUUUCUAGUCGAUCGCCUAUGGCAACGCUCUCUUCUUCAAAUAUGAAAAGAGGGUGAAGUCGCGCUCUACGGCGAAUCACGCCUUCUUAAUGAUGGAGAAAUGCGCCAAAGAGGCCCAGGACAAAGUGGCCAUGCUGCGGAAGCAAGUGGGAGGCUUGGAGGAACAUGCCAAGGUUCAAGAGGGAGUCGUUGCUUCCUUAGAGGAUACAAUUGCCGGCCUUCGGGCCGAGAAUGCGACUCUUGCUGCGGAGAAGGCGAAAGCCGAUGGCGACCUUCAGCUCCUUCAGCAAUUCUGCGAAUCCGAAUGCUGGCAACUUCGCCUAGAUCGGCAGGCUGUGGUUGAGCGCACGAGGAAGAAGGCCCAAGAUCGCCUAGAUCGGGUGAAGGCAUUCCUGGCCGAGAAAGAGGUCACUGUUCGUCCGAAGGAAGACCUGCCGAACCAGGCUCUUGGGGUCGAGGCUACGAUUGACAGGCUUGUCAAAGAGUGCCAUGCUCAGAUCCCCGAGGAGGAAAUCGCCAAGAUCAAGGCGAACAAAGUCGAGUGUAAGGAGGUUGCAGACGCGCUUGACUAUCUUGUCCUCGACUCUGCUGACCUGAACAUGUCUCCGGACCAGCUCGGCUACGGUCUUCUUCGGCCUGAGGAUCCCGCUCCCAGAUCUAUCCGAGAGCCACAUGGAUCGAAUGCGGCAGCCUUCCAGGCCGACCUUCGAGCUCCUGACACCAAUGAUGACCCUCCUUCAGACCCGGGCAAUCCCGAAGAUGACGUUGAAGUCGUCUAAAGCUCUCUUCUUUUUUUUUUGUUUGAUUGACUCUUGAACUCGAAUGGGCCGCCGGCCCUUUUGUAAUAUAUUUUAUUUUGAAUUUCACUUCUCCGACAGCUUGCGCCUACUUCUUCCAAAAAGCGGAAGUAUUACUUUUUUUUUUGUAUUUCCCUUACCCGUAAAAGUGGAAAUAUGCUUCUUUUUUAGCUUGAAAUUGGUGAUUUUCCUAUAUAGUCUUGCCCCGACUGCCAGUUUUGCUCCAGUAAAAGGCGGGGGUGAUAGGUAUAAAUAGGCUGCCUGAAACUUGCGUCCUCUUUUUCCUACAACUGGUGUCAUGGAGAAAUCUGGUUCGACUAAAAGCGAUGGAUCAUCUCCGUCCGCCGGUGUUGAUAUGCCAACUUUCACUGAGAAAGAAGCUCUUGAUCGUGGGAUGCCCUUGUUCCCGACGUUAAGGGUUCCUAGGACUUUGAUGUCGCGAGUUACUCGACAAGAGAAACUCCGGUUAGAGGAGUUCUUCCAGGCUGUGUAUGAUAAACAUACGCAGUACUUCAAACAAUUUCUCAUUGUUGAUGAGAUUAGAUCGGCCUUCGAUCAUAAGUUGAAACUGCUGGAAUCUCACCCGAGAAACUGGAUUCCCUUUGGGUUCGGGCGCAUAGCUCCGAUGCCGACAAGCCUUUACGCCUACUGCGAGCAAUGUAUGCGGGAUGUUGAGGCUAACCGGAAUGCACCGCCCAUCAUGGGGAUCCCGCGAUGCCUCGAAUUUACACCGUCGGGUGUAAAGGCAUUUCUCAUAGGCACAUUGGCCAGUAAACCCGAAUUAGACGAGGCCGAGGCGUUUGUUAAGAAGGUAUCGGUACCGUUCCGUUUAUGCGGAUGUUGGCAUCAUAUUUGCGGGGGAUUUAAACAACUGUCUUUUGUUUUUGUUAGGUCGGAGGCCUCUAUCAAGAACAAUGCAGGGAUUUGCAAUUCUUUCGCCUGAAGAAAAGAAGGAUCGACCUCUGUUUGGACGCCAGGCUAAAAUCGAAGAGAAGGAAAGCGAUUCUCAGGCUCGACGAGGCGGAGCAGAAGGCUCGGGCGUUGGAGACGGAUCCAACCGAUUGGGAGCGAACUGGCAUACAGCUGCUUUGGCCAAUGCUGAGUCGCCUUCUGCAUGACACGCGUCAGGUCGCCGCUACUGGGGCGAAGGGUCCGUUGAUCGUGGACUAGGCGAUUUAUUUUAUGAUUUUACGCCGAUGUAAUUUUAUUCUGUCGUAACACUAUUGAACCGUUGCAUCCGAUUUCAAAUAAUACUAGCCGUGUUUCUAGGCGUUUUAAUUUAAAUGGGGAUUUCAUGACUCGGCGGGACGCUUCCCGGCUUACAAGUUCACGAUUGGCCAUAGUUAAAUAUAUUCGGAGAUAUCUCUGGGCUCCGAAGUGAGGAAUUUCUUUCCUCGACUAGAGUGUACUUUGUCGGAGGGCGAGAUAUAUCUUUGGACUCGGCUUACCUCCUUUGGUGCCGGUUCGGAUAUGGGUUGCGAAAGAUUGACUUCUCUGGGUCGGCUGACUGUCCCACCCGAACACGGGACCUUUAGGUGCGAAACAUUAAUCUCUGAGUUCGGCUUACGAGCGCCGACCACCUGGCCAGGGUGUCGGGGAUGCAUACAUGUAUUUAUUUAUUAUAUAUAUAUAUAUAUAUAUAUAUAUAUAUAUAUAUAUAUAUAUAUUUUUUUUUUUUUUUUUUGACGAAUGCUGCGAAAGAGUGAUUUGACGGGUCGUCACUCUGAGCCAUCUUGAGAUUCGUGAACGCUUGGUCCCAAUUGACAUGGUGAUGCGUGCCCCUUCAGUGUAUGGUCAUUCGGAAGAGGUUGGUUGGGAAAUAGCUGGCAUUUAAUGCGGUUUCCGGCUAUAAAUAUCCCGCUUUUGGUAUCCAUUUUAUUAUCACUCAGCGAUUCCCUCAAUGGCCGGAUCUUCUAGAGGGGCUGCUAACGAUCCCUUUCUCCGCGGAGGUCGCCGUCGGGUAGAACAACUUAAUGAAGAUGAGACCAAGGCGGAGGUUUACAAGGCCCGAAUUUGCAGGCUAAGCAUGCACAUCCGGUCACUUUGGGAGCGUCAAAAUCCUAAGGCCGACCUCGAACGAUAUCUCGGGGUUGAGGAGUUCAUAGAGAAAUCCGUUUUGGAGCAUGGCCUCAACGAUAUCCUUCGAGAAUGUGCGCUGUCAUCGGGUCAGUUCUACUACCUACAAUCCUCUCUUGAACGUAUCAAAGUCUCGUGGCUUCGAGAAGGAGACCUUGAUUCGUUUGAUGGGCCUCUCGUUGCGAGCCGGAUGCGUAGCGAAGAACUGGAGGGAUAUCGCGCUCGCAUUGCUCGGUUGUGCGACUAUAUUGUCGCGUUCAAUAGUGCGGCCGAAGUCGCUCAUCAAAGGGUUCGUGCAGAAGGUGUUGAGAGUUUCCUUCUGCUGAUGGUUUCUGAGGGGGUGCCGAUCAGAAGAAAGAUCCUCAAACUGGCGAGGCAGGCAAGUUCCUUCUGGGCCGAAGAGGAGGCGAAGUAUCCUCUUCCGCAGUUGGACGACGGCGACACCGACCUGUUUCCCGAAUUCGUCGAUUUGGGGGGCUAAGUCGGUCGCUUUGGCUAGUGGCCAUUAUGAGCUUCUUCUUCUCCCUUUUUUAUUAAUGCUUUUUUUUGUUUUGGCUCAAGAGUGUAUUUGCCCAAGAGUGUAUUUGCCCAAGAGUGUAUUCUGUUUGUAACAAACUUUAUCAAAUAAAACGGGAUCGUUAACGACAAUCGCGCGUUCACUAUUAUUUAUUUUUUUGUUUGCUAGCUGCACCAUGUAUCAUGGUUUCCUACGUACCUCUUUCGAGGAUCAAGCCAAUCGUAGUUCACAGUACAUCAAAUGAAAGACUCGGAUUCCCGAGCGAGGCAUCCAUCUGCCUUUGUGGUCGGAUUCCCGACCUAAUAGUAGAACCUUUUGAGGUGGGCCGCGUUCCCGAAGUGUUGCACUCGCUUUCCUUCCAUGGUCGAUAGUUCAUAGACGCCUGGGUGAACUCGCCGUGCGACGAUAUAGGGGCCCUCCCAUUUUGCUCCGAGCUUCCCGGCGUUGAGCUCUUUGGUGUUUUCGAAAACUUCUCGCAGAACCAGGUCGCCCUCAUUAAAACGGCGUUCCCGGACGGUCUUGUUAUAAUAUUUUGCUGCCGAGUUCUGGUAGUUUUGUAUACGGAUCAUUGCUUGAUCUCGUAGUUCCUCACUNNNNNNNNNNNNNNNNNNNNNNNNNNNNNNNNNNNNNNNNNNNNNNNNNNNNNNNNNNNNNNNNNNNNNNNNNNNNNNNNNNNNNNNNNNNNNNNNNNNNGGUAUUCCGACCUCCGAAUGCGCCAUUGCUUCAACACCGUAAGCUAAGGCGAACGGCGAGAAUCCGGUAGCGCGUCGAGGAGUUGUGCGAUGCGACCAUAAUACUCCGUCGAGUUCGUCGGCCCAAAGUCCCUUUUUCCGACCUAACCUUUUCUUGAUGCCAUCGAGGAUAGUUUUGUUGGUAGCCUCAGCCUGGCCGUUUCCUUGAGGGUAUCGCAGGGUUGAGGUACUGAGUUUGAUGUGCCAUUUUCUGAAGAACCGCUUGGUUAGGUAAGAAGUGAAUUGGGAUCCGUUAUCUGUGACGAUCUCAUAGGGAAUACCGUGUCGGCAGAUAAUGUACUUCCAGAUGAAUCCGGUUACGUCGCCCGACUUGACCUGACUGAACGAUUCCGCUUCUACCCAUUUGGUGAAAAAGUCGGUGAGCACCAGCAAAAAUCUUUUAGUGCGGCAAGGAGGAAACGGUCCGACGAUGUCCAUGGCCCAUCGCAUGAAGGGUAGGGUGCUGUCACGGGAGAAAGCGCUUCGGGAGGUACGUGUUUUAAAGUGGCGUGCCUUUGACAAGCUUCGCACUUUUGGGCGAAUGCCUCGCAGUCGGCGAGCAUAGUUGGCCAAAAAUGGCCGUCUUUCUUUAUUUUUAGGGCCAACGCGCGUCCACCUGAAUGGUUCCCGCCGUCUCCUUCGUGGACCUCGCCCAUAACCCUUUCGCUUUCGUCUCGAUCGACGUAGGUAAGGAAGGUUCCGUUAGAACUUCUCCGGAGAAGUUCUCCAUCGGUCAGAAUGUAAUUGGCACAUCGGGCUUUUAGUCGUCGAGCUUGCCACCGGUCUUCAGGAACCUGACCGCUUUGUAUGUAGAGUUUGAUCUCUUCCCGCCAAUCGACCGGGGGGGCUUCUUCCUCAUGAGGCUCGUUCUCAACCGGAUCGAUCUCCAUUUGGACCAAGUCGUUCAUGAUGAGGUUGAUCUCAUGAGGUUGAGCGAUGCUUGGCAGAUCGAUACUUUCGAUGGGGAUGGAUCGGCGGAGGUCUGGAUUUGCGUUUGAAGCUAAGGCGGCGAGGGCGUCGGCCGAAGUGUUGUCGCUACGUGGAAUUUUUGUGAGGGAAAAGCUAUCGAAUUCGGCUGUGGCGGAUCGGACUAACGCCAGGUAAGAACUCAUCCGCUCGUUCUUGGUGUCGAAUUCUCCGCUGAAUUGGCUUACGACCAGUUGUGAAUCGCAAAAUGCCUGGAUAUGUUUUAUUCCGAUGCCCCUAGCAAGUCGUAUUCCUGCGAGCAAAGCUUCGUACUCGGCCUCGUUAUUGGAUGCUUUGAAACCGAGUUUCAACGAUUGUUUCAGAACCUCGCCUGUCGGUGAUCGCAAGAGGAUUCCUACUCCGGAUCCUUGGUUGCAAGAAGAUCCGUCGACAUAGAGGGUCCAGCUUUCGAUUUUUGGUGCGUCCUCCACGAGUUCUGGGGCGAGCUCGACCAUAAAGUCCGCUAAAACCUGUACUUUCAGACUGGGACGAUAGCGGUACUCAAUAUCGUAUUCGCUUAGUUCGAUGGCCCAUUUAGCCAUUCUUCCUGACUGCAUGGGGCUGUGUAGCACUGUCCGAAGUGGUUGAUCGGUAUAGAUGACGAUCGCGUGUGAUUGGAAAUACGGACGCAACUUCCGGGCGGCGACGAUGACGGCCAAGGCGAACUUCUCUAACGUUGGGUAGCGUGUUUCGGCAUCGUUCAAGGAUUUGCUGACGUAGAGAACAUGCCUCUGUUCGCUGCGAUCGUCUCGGACUAAGACGCCGCUUACUGCUGUGCUAGAGAUCGAAACGUAGAGGUAUAAGACCUCGCCGUUCUUAGGUUUUACUAGGAUGGGGUGGCUGGUUAAAUAUGUGUUCAACUCUUGAAAAGCCGCUUCGCAUCGCUCGUCCCAAUGAAAAUCUCGAUUUCCUCGGAGUAGUUGGUAGAAGGGAAGGCAUCUGUCUGUCGAUCUUGCGAUGAAGCGAUUGAGAGCUGCAAUCCGACCUGUCAAACGUUGAACCUCGCGUUUGUUAGUUGGGGAAGGGAGCUCCAAAACCGCCGUUAUCUGCUUUGGGUUGGCCUCGAUCCCGCGUUCGGUCACGAUGUACCCCAGAAACUCCCCGGAUGUCACUCCAAAUGUGCACUUAGUUGGGUUUAGCUUCAUCCGGUAUUUGUUGAGAAGGUCGAAAGAUUCCGUGAGAUGAUGGACGUGAUCUUCUGCCGUUAACGACUUUACCAGCAUGUUGUCAAUAUACACCUCCAUUGUUCGUCCUAGGAGAUCGGCGAACAUUCGGUUUACGAGGCGUUGAUAGGUUGCUCCCGCAUUUUUUAAAUCGAAGGGCAUGACUUUGUAGCAAUAUGUCCCCCUAUCCGUAAUGAAGGACGUUUUCUCGCGGUCAGCAACGUGCAUCAUAAUCUGGUUAUAACCUAAGUAGGCGUCCAUAAAUGAUAACAACUGAUUCCCCGAAGUUGCUUCUACCAGGCGAUUUAUGUGUGGGAGCGGGAAAAAGUUCUUGGGACAGGCUUUGUUCAGGUCGGUAAAAUCUACGCACGUUCUCCAUUUACCGUUUUUCUUUUUGACGACAACCGGGUUCGCCAGCCACUCCGGGUAUUGUACCUCCAUGAUAAGGUCCGCCUUUAACAGUCGUUGUACCUCGUCUUGAACUGCCUGAGCUCGUUCGUUGCCCAGCCUGCGCCUUUUCUGGCGAACUGGUUUGAAAGUGGGGUCCACGUUGAGCUUGUGACAAGCUACUUCGGAAUCUACUCCGAUCAUAUCCCUAGUUGACCAUGCGAACGUGGACGAUCUCGUCCUUAGGAAAGCUACCAGCUCCUGCUUGAUCGGGUCAUCUAGCAUGGCUCCAACGCCCACUGUUCGGGAGGGAUCGGAUUCGUCGAUAUUGACCUGGAUCACCUGGAAACUCGGAGAUUGGAGGGAUGCGCGCGCCAGUUUUUGGAGAACGUCGCUGCAUUCUCCGCUCUGUAAUUGCUAUGCGAGGUCGUCCCUUCUCUGCUUCUUUUCGAUAAUGCAGCAGUUUCGUGAAAUUUUUUGGUCGCCAUACAAGAUGUAGAUUCCGGUUGCCGUAGGAAACUUCACGCACAGAUGAUAAAUAGAAGGAAUGGCUCUCAUGGCAUAAAUCCAAGGGGAGCCGAGUAUCGCAUUAUAGAUUAGUGGGGCGUCAACUACCGUGAACUUGAGCUUUUUUGCCACUCCUCCAACCUUCACUUCGAUUUUGAUAUCCACCAUCGCGAGACGGGUCGUACCAUCGUAACCGGUUAGCGUUCGAGCUUUCGGUUUUAUUUCGGAUUCUGAGAUCCCCAUCUUGGCUAGGGUGCCUAAGAAUAGCACGUUGACGGUACUGCCGGUAUCGACUAAAACGCGCUCCACAUCGUAAUUACCCAUGGUUACUUCCACGACUAUGGAGUCAUUAUAGGGGUGUUGUAUUCCCUUGGCAUCGUCGGAAGAGAAUGUGAUAAGUUCGCCAGCUGGCACUAAGUCUUCCGGUGCGACAUGCAAGCUGCACACCUGUCUGGCUCUUUUUUUGAGUGCCCGGACCGAAUCGUUGCAGUCCUCAGGCGUCCCCAGUAUCAUGGUUAUCCGUCCGUGAGCCGGUGAGCCAGCACGCUGCGGUCGUUGCCCUCUCUGUCUUUUCGGUGGUCCCGGCAGUUCUCCCUCUUCAUCGUUAUGCCGGUCGGGACUUCGCCUCUCAUCAGACCGAUCUCGCCGAUCGGGGCCGUCAUCUCGGUAUUGUCGUGUCCCUUGGCCUCGGCCUCGACCACGCCCGCGCCUUCCGUCUGGUCGUUGUCCUCUGUAUUCUUUGGGUUGGAAUACCGCUUCUAUUUCGCCGGACUUGUAUUUAUCGAGGAGAUAGUUAGAGAGAUGCUUGCACUCUUCGGUUGAAUGUCCGACGAACUUAUGGAAAGUGCAGUACGCUUCUUUGGACGACGUUUUUUGGUUACUGGCUUCUUCUGAGAUCGCACUAAUUGCGCCGCGCGAAGCGUCCUUUCCCUCAUAGUGCUUACGUGGUUCCCGGUAGUCUUCACGUUUUCGGUCUCGGGGUGCAGGACGGUUUGCCCCAGACUUCGCCGCUAGUUUGGCAUCUUCUUCUUCAAAAAGUGCGUAUCUGGACGCACAAUGUAGUGCGUCGUCGAGAUCUUUCGGCUCACGGAUGGCCAAGUCUUUUCGCAGGGACGAUCCUGGAACGAGCCCCUUGCGAAAUGCGGCCAAAGCGGCAUCCUCAGGGACUGAAACUUUGGCCAGCAAAUUUUUGAAUCGUACCAAGUACUGCUGCAGAGUUUCGCCGGCUUCCUGAGUUGUGUCCCAGAAAUCGAUGCUGGAUGCUCCGGGUUGUAUGAAAUGUCGGUAAUGCCGGAGGAACGAGGUCGAUAGCUGGGCGAAAUUAUCGAUCGAAUUCGUGCUAAGCCGAGAAAACCAGGUGAGUGCAUUGCCUGUCAGACUUUCAACGAAUAACUGGCAAUGCCCUGUAUCCUUCUCCUCGUCGGAGAAGUGUGCUUUUGUGACUGCGGCCAUGAACGCCGUCAUAAAGGUGCGUGGAUCCUUAUCCCCGUCGUACGUCGGCAGCCUGAAUUUGAUAUGCGGAAUUCGGGCUUGAGUGAUGCGGCUCGUGAAGGGAGUUCGCUGUGUCUCUUCGAACAUACGGUCGAUUUCAGGGGCUGAGCUGGAGACCCGAUGGACCUGAGAGUUUAUGUCGGCUAUCCUUGCGUACAAAUCUUCCAGAUCCUGAUUUCGACCGGAGCUGGGCGCGUCCGCAGGUUGGCUGGACGCUGUUACCAAUGCUCGGGGUUGAGUCCCGGUUGGCGUAGGUCUUACGCACGAGCGGCCAACUGGCACUGGAGGACGUACCGUGCAUCCUCCGACCGGACCGGGGGCGAGGACGUCGAGACUUAUGUCUUGCCCGUUAGAUUCCGGCGUACGAUUGCGAAUGAUCGUAUCCAUCAGGUGGUCGGCCGCCGCGAUUCGGUCGUAGAUGUCUUUCGUCAUACUUCCGAACACUAUGCGCAGGUCGUCCAUGGAUACGGUUUGCUGAACGGGUGGGCACGCUGGAGCGACCUGAGCGAGUUGUGGCUCGUCCGUGGGCUGACCUUCGGACCUUCGAGGGGCGGUCGUAUUGCCUUCCACUUCGCUAGUUUGAGGACGCUCGGUGGUUUCGAUUGGUGCAGGGAGAUCCAUUUGACGGACUUCUUCCUCGAUCCUUUCGUUGAAGGUCGAGUCGUUAGUAAGGGGCUCUUCGUCGGGCUCCUCGUUUGGACGUGAGUCAACAGGGCCGAGUUGCUGAGACAUCUCAAGGUGGAUUGUUUCGUUAACCGAGUUGAGAGAAGUGUUACUUUUGAAAAUGCUUUCUAGAAAGGAAAAAAUUCCUCCCCUCCUUCUAGCGCCAAUUGUUGAACCAAGAGUUCACACAAUGAAUUUAUUAAGGAAAGGAGAAUAAAUUCACUUUGAACAAUCUCUCAAGAACUCGAAUUGAAACGGAUUAAAAAGAAUUGAUUUGACCUAGAAAUGAACGAUUUAGGGUUUGCUCAAGAACAAGUGAGGAACUAGGGUUUUUGUUAUUAAAUGAUCGAUGCCCUAGAAUAGAGACAUCUUCUCUAUUUAUACAAGGGAUUUAGGGUUACAAUAAAUGCUCCUUUUCCUUAGAUUUUCAGAAGAUAUUGUCAUAAAUAUUCGAUUAGGGUUUUCGAAACCCUAAUGAUCUGAGGUCGUCUAUUCCAUUUUAGGAAUGAAACACCCUUUGCAUUAAUUGGACAAUAAACCGGGAUUCCCCAACUUAUUGGUUUAAUUCGAUUCCGUCUUGGUUUAGGCCGGUAUGUCGUUGGUGCUAAUUCCUACACCAACAAAUAGGCACAUCUAUAUAUAUAGUCACUAUCAAAAAUCAAAAACGAAACGAGAGAUUAAAUGAAGUUGUUGGGUAAGAAAUGAAUUCAACGCACAGAUUCAAGAUCUUUUAUCCAAAGAUUUUUUGGCUUAAAGGUUGAAAUUGAUCAGAACUUUAGAUUAAUUAGUCCGAACCUUGACAUACACAUAAUGUGACAAAUUAACAAGACGACAGAUCAAUCAUUCAGGUUAAUGAUUAAAGGAUAAAUAUAUACUGGAAGAAGAGGAAGAGAAAUUGAAAGUGAUAUAGUGUAUAUUAGUUGGGAUACAUUUGGCCGACACAGCCAGAAAGAUAAGUUUGGGGACUUUCCGAUACAAUUGAUAACUUGGGUAGGUUAGAUCAUAUAUCAUCAUAUGGGCAGGUCUUAUUUGUCUUUACUUUAUUCAAAAGUUUCACCCAAAAGAAAAAAAAAAACCCAUAAUCCUUUAUUUGAACCAUGUGAACACAUUUCGAUUUUCCAAAAUCUAUAAAUCUUAGUUGAUCAAAGUAACUCUUUUUAUUGCCAAAACUAUAUAUCUCAACAUUAAACCGCAAAAAAAAAAAAACUAGAUAUAAUGAACUAUUAGAACAUUACUCAAAUUUGAGUAAUAUUAAUAAAGUUAUUAUGGAUUUAUAUAAAGAUUUAUAUUUUCUAACCAAUAUUAUAUUAAGUUAAAAAUGAUCAGCUCUACACAUAGUGUAUGUUAGUUCAAUCUUAGUCAGCAGUAAUAUCUAGUACUGUCUAAAGAAUUAUGUAUGUAUAUAAUUUAUCAUAACUUAAGUAACAAUUGAAUUCAUACUGACUUAUAUACAUAUAUAUGCACUUAAUUAAGCAUUAUUAGCACUGUUUCUGAUAUUAUAAAGAGAAAAACUAUCGUGGUGUCAUAAUUGAGAAUUGUAGGUGUUUUGUUGAAGUUAGGGAUCAAAUUUUUCAUUUUUAGAAAUUUAUGUAGGGUUAAUAAAAAGGUAGAAUUUAGAUGAUUUUGAAAUUAGUCUGCAGUCCUAUUUGCUUACAAAAGUAUUGUGAUGUAUUUAAUAAUUUUAAAGGAGAAAAAACAUUGUAAGUGGGAGGAAAGUGAUGGACACAUUUUAGCAUGAAACCGAGACCAUCAAAAUUGGCCAAACUAUUUGUUGGUAUGAUUAUAUGUGGCAUAAUGAUAAAGGUCUUGAAAAUAUUGGGACACGUUUUUGUUCUUUUUUAUUUUUGUGUGUGGAAAAUACAUCUAAGAAUAACAUCUUCAUAUGUGUGCACAUUCAUAUUAUGUGGUUAGUUAGUUAAAUACGAGUCUCAAAAUGUAAUUUCUUCGUAGUUGAUGAAUGUAGUAGUUUUUGAUCAAGCGUUUUUAAAUAUUAAUACAAUCCUCUAACUACACAAUUUUUUUAUUUAUUUAAGUGGUUACACAAACUUAUAUAUAUAACUCUGCUAGUGUAUUUUAGAGAUGAGUUAUAUAAAUCUGAUGUAGCCAAAGCCACUAAAGGAUGUCAAAGUCUACGUACUCGGUGAGCUUGUUGAUUUAAUAUGUGUAGUUAGUUUUAUGCCGUUAAUUGUUUUCAAUUAAUUUAAACGAUAUUUCUCCAAUUUAGUUCUUUUAAAAAUAUCAUAAGUGAGAUAAAUACUAGUACAUAACUGCCACUGAUUUACUAGAUUUGAUUGAGCAUUAAACGAAACAAAAACAUAUAUACAUUUUUGGAUGGGUGAAACUAAUGGUAGUUAAAUAACUCAAUGACAUCCAUAAAAGCCAUUUUUCAUAGAGAAUCGUAUCCUUAGAACAAAAGAAAAUACUUGGUAUCAGAGUCCACUAUGUCCUAAACAUUGUCUUUGUACAUAGCCUCUAGAUUUCAUAGUCCACUAUGCCCUAAACUCUAUCACUAGAGAGAGAAGACACAUAUUUAUAUAUCAUAAACAAUUUUUAGCAUUAGAGAACAAAGGUCCAAACGGAAAAUACAAGAAAACCAAACUUCAAACUUAGUGUAAAGCUAGCUUGACAUCUUCCUCUUAGCAGCAAUAAGACCAAGUUUUUCUUCGAACCUAACUCUGACACUGAGUUUGUGACAUGUGGGGUGACGGAGGAGAGGAUUUUCAUAUAUGAGGAUACAAUUUUUUUUAAUUUUACGAGUUACAAACCCAAUGAAAGUAAAUUGAAGUCAUGUGGAGGAGCAGAUAGAUUAGUUGAAUGUUAUGUGGCAAAAACCGUCUUGUGUGAUUGAUGAUAUGUUGUUUUAUGUUAAUCUUUAUGAGUCAAGAGUUACACAAAGGAGUCUAAAGAUGGUUGGAAAACUGAUGAUUUUUGGCACUGAUCAGAGACGGUAUAGUAUGUAGAAAGUGUAUUUCAUAUAUUCCCAAUAGUAUUGUACAUGAUUUAUAUAUACACAGAGAGGAGAGGAGAGUCUAGGUUAAGCUAGUUAAAGAACAUUCCUAAAGUAUACAAAUCAAAUAUUAUGAUAUAAAUGAGAAUCACUGUCAUAUCUCUUACACGCCCCCUCAAGAUGGAGGAGCACUUGUUACUCCAAUCUUGCAACGAAGAAGAAUGAACCGGGCACGGGAAAGUGGUUUCGUCAAGGCGUCUGCCAGUUGGUCUUGUGUGUUAACAUGAGCGACUCGUAAAGCGCCUUGUUGAACCUGCCCGCGAACAAAAUGGUAGUCUAUCGCUAUGUGUUUCAUCCGGGAGUGGAAAACGGGAUUUGCACAGAGAAACGUCGCACCAACGUUGUCACAAUACACUACCGGUGGAACAGGAAGAGUGAGGCCUAGUUCAGAGAGAAUGUUGCAUAUCCAACUGAGUUCAGAUGCCACAUUCGCAACAGCUCUAUAUUCAGCCUCUGUGGAGGACCGUGCAACGCCCUUUUGUUUCUUUGCUGUCCACGAGAUAGGGUGUUGACCAAGAUAGACAAUGUAAGAGUUGGUUGAGACGUAAUCAUCAGAGUCCCCAGCCCAGUCUGCAUCUGAGUAUGCGUGAAGUCUCAUCCGGUUGUUUGCUGAGAAGAAAAUGCCAUGUGUCGGUGUCCCUGCAAGGUAGCGUAAGAUGCGUUUGGCAGCUUGCCAGUGUGCUUCUGUUGGACGAUGCAUAAACUGGGAUAAACGAUUGACGGCAUACGCAAUAUCCAAACGUGUGAAAGCGAGAUACUGCAAGCUUCCAACUAGUUGACGAUACUGUAAAGGCUGAGACAGAGGAGUACCGGCAUUUAGAGUCAAUUUUGGUGACGACGCCAUGGGUGUUGUCACAGGUUUGGCAUUCGUCAUGCCAUGUCGAUGCAAGAGAUCAAGGAUGUACUUGCGUUGAGAGAGAUGAAGACCAGCAGAAGUGCGACGUGCUUCAAUGCCCAAAAAAUAGUUGAGGUCUUCGGCAUCCUUUACAGAGAACCGCUCAGCUAGAAGGUGAAGUAUUCGCUGGAUGCCUUGUUUGUUGUUCCCUGUGAUGAGGAUGUCAUCUACGUAGACUAGAAGGUAGAUAAACACAUUGCCAACUUUGAGAACAAAUAGGGAUGUAUCAGACAAUGAAUUUUGAAAACCAAGGCUGAGAAGGAAGUUUCGUAAUUCAGUGUACCAAGGCUCUGAUACCAUGUAGAAAGUGUAUUUCAUAUAUUCCCAAUAGUAUUGUACAUGAUUUAUAUAUACACAGAGAGGAGAGGAGAGUCUAGGUUAAGCUAGUUAAAGAACAUUCCUAAAGUAUACAAAUCAAAUAUUAUGAUAUAAAUGAGAAUCACUGUCAUAUCUCUUACAUAGUAAACAUAUAUGAUGGGAAGAUUCUGGUACGUAGAGAUUUGCAUUGGAAAUAAAGGAAGGAGGCGUGGGACUUGCGGGAGAAAGUUGAAUAAGUCAGGGUUUGUGCUUACACCACACUUCCGUUGAGCUUUGUAUAUGUUCUUUUGAUGAAGAAAUCAGUUUUUUUAGACUUGUCCUCUAGCCUCAACACUUAGUUAAACUUUUAUGAACUUGCAGGUUAAGGGUCUACAGCUUAUUAAGUCUGGAAAAAAAGACCAUCUCAUCAUUGUCUUAAAUUUUGCAGAUAUGUGUGUAGAAACAGAUUUAAAAAGAGGUAAUUUGGAUUACCUCAAUUCGGCUACCACAAGAGGCAUGAUUCUCUGUGAUAGACUUCCCCGAACCGAUGUGAAUCCCCACUUUUGAGUGAAGAUCCUAUUACACGACAGAGUUGAUACUCUGUCGGAAUUUCCAACGAGUGACUCGUUGGUCUCAUCCCAAGACUACGCUGGUCUUGUGUCCGACGGUUUAGACAGAGUUGAAACUCUGCAAUUAGCUUCCUCCACGGAUCACUCGAUUGAAGGCAAGUUGAGAGGAAAUACUUCCCUUCUCACAGUUGGGGUACCAAUAUCGCCUCUCGAACCAUGGUGAGACUCCAAUACCAUGCUGAGUCACCCACCACUUUAGCCGUUCGAGUAUUGGUGACCUUUCCUCUAUUUAAUACCUACUUAAUCAUUAAUCACAAACCUUAAUUCCGGUUUUAGUCCGGUUAUCUAUUUAAGAUUUUCCAUAACCAGUAAAAAAACGUCACGGUUCAAUCCGGUUGAUUGUUUAGCCACGCACGCACAUGUAAGUUUUGUGAGUCCCUCCGUAUCAUUUAUAUAGCGCUCUGCUGCAUUGUUUUUAAGGUUAUAAAUAAAAUAGAAACAGAAGCAACUCAAAUUACUUCGAUUAGGCUAACACUAAAGGCAUGAUUCUUUGUGAUAAUUUACCAUGAUAGUACCAGUAUUAUUCGAAACCUUGUAGGACUCUCGAUCAUGCUGAGCCACUACCACUUUACUGAGCCCAAAUAGGUGAUAGUUUCUCUAUUUUACUACCACUUAAAACGUUUCUAACACGUAAACAAAACCCACAACAAGCCAACCUGGAACAAUUUAGGUUUUUUUUUUUUUUUGGACCAACUAAGAUUUCAUUAGAACUUAACCACGAGGUGUCUCCAGAUUCGGAGGUUACAAAAGGUUACUCGGAGCCAAACAAACAACUUCUAUGACCCCAGGGGCGGACCCACAUGUCAUAUGGUGGGGGCAGCUGCCACCAGCAAAAAAAAAAAAAAAAAAUACAUUAAAAAAUUAUUAAAAAUUAGAAAAAAAAAAUCUGACCCCACUAAAAUUGUUCUUCCUUCUUUUUUUGUCCCCACCGAACAAAAGCCCAAUAUCAAGUUAUCAACCCAUAUAGCAAACAAAAAUAUUAAUAUAUAAACCUAAAAUAACUAACUUAAUAAAUUAAAGACCUAAACCUAGUUUGUUGUUAUUUUUUCUCCUAUUCUUUUCUCCUCUGGUUUUUUUUGCUGUACACGACGAUUAACAAGUGCAAGUCAACAAAUAUCAAUUGGUGAGUCUUUUUCCUGCUUUUUAUAGAAAUUAUUAUAGUGUGAUGUGACAUUAUUACUGUAGGUUUUCUAAAUUUUUAACUAAUAACAUGUUUUUGUUUUAUAGCUAAAUCACCAAUAUGAAAAAAUUUUACAAACCAAUUCCUAAACCAACGCCACACUCCAAUAUCGAUGAUCAACCACGGGAUCCAGCUAACACCAAUGUUGAUGAUCAACCACUGGAUCCAGCUAACACCAAUGUCGAUGAUCAACCAUUGGAUCCAGAUAACACCAAUGUCGAUGAUCUGCCUUGGGAUCCAGCUAAGAGAAAAGAGAUAGUGAGUUAUCACUUUUGAUUGUGUGUUCUAUAUGCAACUUAUGCUACUUAUUUUGGGAUUAACUGAGAAUUUGUCAAUGGCUUUGCAAAGGAAAGACCAAGAUAUUUUGAAUGCCAUGUCAUUGGUGGAAUCUACUAAGAGAGAAUUACAGAAGCUUAUAGAUGAUGGAUGGGAUUCACUUAUGAAUAAAGUUUCAUCUUUUUGUGAGAAACAUAAUGCUGAACUGCUUGUCAUGGAAGACGUUUUUGUAGAUCCAAGGAAACCAAGAAGAAAAACCAAUAUAACCAACCUACAUCAUUAUAAGGUUAACUGCUUCUACACUACAGCUUCAGGAGUUCAAUGAUCGUUUUACGGAGGUAAACACUGAUCUACUUAUUUGUAUGGCUUCUUUAAGUCCUCUUGAUUCAUUCCAAGAAUUUAACAGAGAAAAAUUGGUGAGGUUGGCUAAGUUUUAUCCAGAUGACUUCAGCUAUGGGGAGGUUUUGUCUCUUGAGCAGCAUCUUGAUAUCUACAUUGACAAUGUGAGCAGAGAUGAACAAUUUAAGAGUCUGAAAAGUCUUGGAGAGCUUUCCCGUUUGAUGGUGAAAACCCAAAAACAUCUUGCACAUCCCUUGGUUUAUAGGCUUUUGAAAUUAGUUCUAACUUUACCAGUUGCUACAGCAAGUGUUGAGAGAUGUUUUUCUGCAAUGAAAUUGGUGAAGACAGCUGCACGGAAUAGAAUUGGAGACCAAUUUCUAAGUGAUUGUCUUGUUUGCUAUAUUGAAAAAGAAUUAUUUGAAGCGGUCACAAAUGAAAAUGUGAUAAAAAGGUUUCAAUUGUUAAAUGAGCGUCGGGUAGUUUUGUAAGAUGUUUUAAAAGUUUUAUAUGACAAUUUUAUGUUUUUCAAUAAUUUAGUAUUUGAUGGUUUUUACUAUUUUUUUGCCCCCGUUGAAUAAAUUUUCUAGAUCCGCCCCUAUAUGACCCACAACAUGGCCAAGUAAAUACAGAGAAAGUUAAAACAACAACCAUUGAACAAACAAAAACAUAUAGGGAUAAGUGAGAGCUUACCAACUCAACCAAAGAAGCGUACAAACAUAAGCUACCGGGAGGGAAAUCACCCGAAGAGAAUUUCAAGAUAAACUUCAGAUAAUAGAGGGUAUUCUAUUGCUUUCAAAGAGAUCUUCAAGCAAAGUCCGGACAUUGAUUCUACUGUCCAACCUACUGAACUAGUUCAUGUACUAAUCCUCCCAGAAGAUCCCAUGACACGUUUAAAGUCUAAAUAGUUUAGAAAGAGGUUCAACUUUGAUGUACAAAGACAUUGUGACUAAAUUAAGAACACAUUUCCAAAUGAUGAGACUUGUGAGUCCAUAAUCUAAUCAACAGAUCAAAAAAUCUGUAAAUUAAAGAAGUCAAAACGCAAAACCAGACGCAAAUCUGGUAAAAUUUAGGUCUAUGCGAUAAAAAUUACUCAUAUAUAUAUAUAUAUAUGAACAAGAUUCCACCUUGGAUAUAUUCAGUUAUAAAUUGAACAUGUUCACAUCCUCAUACUUAAAACUUAAAACGUUUUGACAUAAAUAUUUAGUUUCUCUCAAAGUGGAAACCUUAAAUAUUCCUUAAAAAAGUAGGAUAUUUUUUUUCAUUGUUUAUUCGAAGGUAAAACAUUUUCGAUAGAUACAACUUCGCCCUAAUGAUUAAUUCUUACAUAAACUUGACGUUAAAGAUUUCGAAACACAUCUCGACCGACGCAUACUCAGUAUCAAAGUAUGAUCUAGCUCUAUCUUUAACACCUUUGAUGCAUCAACAUGCAAUACUAUAAGUAUUUUGAUUUGUCUUAUGCUCACAUAUAUAAAAAGAGAAAUUUUAGGUAUAAUUAUGUUUUUUAUUUAAUUAUUUUAAAAUUUUGAAACUAUGAAAUGGACUCAGACGUUAAAAUGGGAAGUUUUAGGACUAAAAUAUAUAUUGAUCGUGUCAUUUUAUUAAAUAGGACCAUAGUAAUUCUUCUUUACCUAAUUUAAUUUUCUCUUUAUAAGUUAUCUGUAAAUUGUUGAGAUAGAAUUUUCUCCUCUCCUCCCCCCCCUCAGUUUACGUGAUAAAUGGAAAAAUAUGUGUUACUAGAUUGACUCAUCCAUUUCUUAUACUUUAUAACUUAUAAACUAAGUUUUCAAUAAAAAUCAUCCACCAUGAAACUUAUAAAUAUUUCACCAAUAAUAUCAAUUAAGGAGUAAAAUCAAUGGGAAACAUAUGUUAUUGUAUGAUAAAGUAUCAUUAUAUAAUCAUAACACCAAAAAAAGCUAAUAUAGUACAAAACGCCAGAAAAUUUCAUACAAUAAGAUAUAUCUUGGUAUAAGUAAUAUAUUACUGUUAAUAGAGGAAACUAAGGCCAUGAAUGAAAUGAGAUUUUCAACUGGAUUUUAGCUUUUAGUUUUUGGAUUUUAGUUUUUACUUUCUAAAUAAUUAGUUUUUGGUUUUUGUUAAAAAAAGAUAAAAAAAAAGAAUAACAAACAAAAAUUGCAAAAUGAAAAAAAAUACAUUGACGUUGAAUGAAACCAUCAAAAGGGGUUUUUUUUUUUUUUUAAAUGAGUAAAAAUGAGUAAAAUCUCAUAAAAAGUAGAUCCCAAUUUUUUAGGAAAACCAAUUUUAUAAAAUCUUGAAUGGCAACAAAUUAGAUUAAUAGAAAAACUAAAACCAAAAUCUACCUUAAAACUAGUAACCAUUCAAGGCCUAAAUUAAAAUAUUACUAAUAUUUUAAAAGUGUUAUAUCCAUGUAUAUAAUCUAUCCAUAUAUUACUAUAUAAAUAUAGGAGUAUAGGGGAAAUAAAUAUUUUAUUAAAGUUUUUUUCUUCUAAAGAUUAUAUAUAAACUAAUAAUAGUUACACAGAGUAGAUUUUUUAGAUUUCUUUCAUUUUUAAUUAGAAGGUAAUUUCCCUUUAUGAAAUUUAUACUUUUAUUUUUCAAUGCAAAUUUAUAUAAAAGAUAGAUUUUUAAAUUUAUUUCCUUUAGUUUUUAAUUCAAAGAUAAUUUCUGUUUCUAAACUUUAUACCUUUAUCUUUUCAAUGAAUUUUUUAUAUAAAAGGAUACAUAAGCAAGUAUAACAUACCUUCAUCUUCCUUUGGAGUUAACAAUUCACAGAUGAUGAGAAGAAACAUUGAUCUAAAUUUGAUUCCUGAUUUAAAUUCCAGUCCUGAUCAAAAUGAUGAUCUUUUGCCUACUGAUGAACAGUGCGAGAUUUUGAGCCCUGAACCUCUUAGAGUCAUUUUUCCAUACCAAUAUUAUGCAUAUAGUCAACAAGCUGACAUGUUUUCCGCAUCCUCGACGCACAACCAUGAUCAGAAUAAUGUCCAAGUUGGUCGACCUUUGAAAAAAAUCUCCAACCCAACCAUGCUUUUUGAAAAAAGUACCGAUGAGAGAAGUUGUGAGGAAAUCAAGAAAAGUGACGAUGAUGGUCGAACACACAAUCUACCAUAUGAGAAAUAUGGUCCAUAUACAUGUCCUAAGUGCACAGGUAAGUUUGACACUUCUCAAAAAUUUGCUGCACAUAUGUCAUCUCACUACAAGACUGAAACGAACAAUGAAAGAGCCGAGAGAUUUCGUGAAAGAAAUAAGAAAAAGUAUGGUAAAAGAAAUCUCGAAGAUCAUGGCGAGUCUCAAAAAUCAACCUAGAGGAUGGCGUCAAUAGCAGCGGAGGAAGUGACGACAAAACUAUAUAACAUCCAAAGAUUGUAAAAUAAUAACUUAUUUAGGAUUUUAUUUCCUUAUAUCUCUUUUUAGUAUUUUAUGUUUCUCUGAAAUUGCUUAUUCUCCUUUCUUUCUAGUAUUUUCAUCAUAUUUGUUGGUACAAUGAGUGGAUAUGCGUUUAUUCGCAGUAAAUUGUACUUUUAAUUAUCGUUUUUAAUUUAAGAUGUGGUUUUUUAUAAAAAUAUUUUCUCAAAUUUCAGUUAAUAAUGCAUAUGAAAUGGUACAUGUUAAAUCAUAUCCCACUUUAAAGUGUCAAGACUGUGUUAACUAAUAAUCGUGUAUGAUCCAAAGGAGAUGUUACAAAAAGGUUUUUCUUGCUUCUCAAUUAAGAGUCUAAAGAUGGUGAAUUUUUGUGGAAAUCUGAUGAUUUUUGGCACUGAUCCGAGUCGGUAUAGUAAACAUAUAUGAUGAGAAGAUUCUGGUACGUAGAGAUUUGCAUUGGAAAUAAAGGAAGGAGGUGGGACUUGUGGGAGAAAGUUGAAUAAGUCAGGGUUUGUUCUUUUGAUGAAGAAAUCAGAUUUUUUAGACUUGUCCUCUAGCCUUAACACUUAGUAUUUUAUGAACUUGCAGGUUGUUAAGUCUCGAAAAAAGACCAUCUCAUCAUUGUCUUAAAUUUUGCAGAUAUGUGUGUAGAAACAUAUUUAAAAAGAGGUAAUUUGGAUUACCUCAAUUCGGCUACCACAAGAGGCAUGAUUCUCUGUGAUAGACUUCCCCGAACCGAUGUGAAUCCCCACUUUUGAGUGAAGAUCCUAUUACACGACAGAGUUGAUACUCUGUCGGAAUUUCCAACGAGUGACUCGUUGGUCUCAUCCCAAGACUACGCUUGUCUUGUGUCCGACGGUUUAGACAGAGUUGAAACUCUGCAAUUAGCUUCCUCCACCGAUCACUCGAUUGAAGGCAAGUCGAGAGGAAACACUUUCCUUCUCAAAGUUGGGGUACCAAUAUCGCCUCUCGAACAAUGGUAAGACUCCAAUAUCAUGCUGAGUCACCCACCACUUUAGCUGUUCGAGUAUUGGUGACUUUUCCUCUAUUUAAUACCUACUUAAUCAUUAAUCACAAACCUUAAUUCCGGGUUUAGUCCGGUUCUCUAAGAUUUCCUUAACCGGAGAAAAACGUUACGGUUCAAUCCGUUUUUCUUUCUCGAGCUAUACAAGGGAUAGGGUCUAGUUUGUAAUAUUUCAAGUUCGAUUUAUAUAAAGUUUAACAUUAAAACAGAAAACAAAAUAAAGUUGGAGGUGGCGAAGCAACCCUAGCGAAGCAACCUACUUUGACGUAGGUCUUUGACGAGGGGAACACAAUACAAGUCAGCCUUGGUGGCUGAAGCAGCAGCUUGACCUCUGAGAGACUGAGACGACCAGUCCUCCUAGCAGUAAUAUAAGACCAAACUUCUGUCGAAGAGGUGCAUCAUGCCUAACUAUACUGGCUUGACCAAUGUGCUGAUGGUUAACUCCUCAAUGAGGAUGCUCUACUUGGUUCACACCAGAAACUUUAAGACAUGACUCAUGAGGUUCUCUUCACCCGGUGCUUGUGUUACACGUUUCCUUCACUAAAAUUAAGGGUUUUGGUAACCCUAAUUCAUUGACUCGCUCAAAAGUCACCACCUCCAUUUAUUAAAGUAUUACAUAUUAAACUAAAAUUUGCUUAAAAUACCUUCAAUAAUGAUGGCCUCCCUAUCAUUUAUAAUGCUCGCUGAGUUUUAAGGUAUUAUUGAAAAAGAAGUAAUUUAUAUUACUUCGAUUAUGCUAACACUAAAGGCAUGAUUCUUUGUGAUAGUUUACAGAAUGAGUCAAUACCAAUGUUAUUCGAACCCUGGUAAGACUCUCGAUCAUGCUGAGUAACUACCACUUUACUGGGCUGAAAUUGGUGAUAGUUUCUCCAUUUAAUUACUAUUUAAAACGUUUAUAUGAUAUAACUCAUGUACUGUAUAUGGAUUAAUACAGCACGUAAACAAAAUCCACAACAAGCCAACCUAGAACAACUUAGGUUUUUAUUUUAUUUUGGACCAACUAAGAUGUCUCCAAAUUCGGAGGAUACAACCGACAGGACCGUUGAAUAGCGGAACUUCAGAAACGUGUGAGAAACACAAACUCAUGCCAAGGAGCCGCCUUGAUGCAUCGGAGAAGAUUUUCAUCCCUACAAUAUAAAUUGAAUAUGUUCACAUCAUCAUCGUUAAAACGCUUUGACAUAAACGUCUAGUUUCUCUCCAUGUGGAAACCCUAAAUCAUUCUUAAAAACAAUAGGGUCGUUUUUUCAUUGUUCAUUCGAAGUUAGGACAUUUUCCAUAGAUGCAACUUCGCCCUAAUUAAGAUUCUUACAUAAAUUUGACGUUCAAGAUUUCGAAAACAUCUCGGCCGUCGCAUAAUGAGUACCAAAGUAUGAUCUCUAUCGUCUUUAACACCUUUGAUGCAUCAUCAUGCAAUACUAUAAGUAUUUUUGAUUCUUCUCUCUAUUUGGUCUCAUGCUCACAUAGUCACAUAUAUCAAAAGAGCAAUUUUGGGUAUAAUUAAUUAUGCUGUUUAUUUUAAAUUUUGAAACUAUGAAAUGGACUUAGACGUUAAGAUGGGAAGGUUUUAGGACCAAAUUAUAUAUUGAUCGUGUCAUUUUAUUAAAUAGGACCAUAGUAAUUGUAGUUCACCUAAUUUAAUUUUUUCUUUAUAAAUUAUUUGUAUAUCGUUGAGAUAGAUUUCUUUCCUCAAUUUAUUAGGUAGGUGUCCUCUCAGUUUACGUGAUAAAUGGAAAAGUAUGUGUUAAUAGAUCGACUCAUCCAUUUCUUAUACCUUAUAAUUUAUAAUCUAUGAUUUUCAUGAAAAUCACCCACCAUGAAACUUAUAAAUAUUUCACUAAUAAUAUUAAUUAAGGAGUAAAAUUAAUGGUAAACAUAUGUUACUGUAUAAAUGAUAAGUAUCAUCAUAAAAUCAUAUCACCAAAAAAGUAAUAUAUUAAUAAAUGCCAGCAAAUGUUAAACAACUAGAUAUAUCUUAGUAUAAAUAUUAUAUUACAGUUAAUGUAGAGGAAAUUAAAAUUAUAAUAUUAUUAAUAUUUUUAAAGUGUAUAUAUGACGUGUAAUCAACCUUCUUAGACUAUCCAUAUAUUACUAUAUAAAUAGAGGAGUUUAGGGGAAAUAAAUAAUUAAUUAAAGAUUUUUUUCUUAUAAAGAUUAAAUANNNNNNNNNNNNNNNNNNNNNNNNNNNNNNNNNNNNNNNNNNNNNNNNNNNNNNNNNNNNNNNNNNNNNNNNNNNNNNNNNNNNNNNNNNNNNNNNNNNNCAAAUUUUAUAUAAAGGUAGAUUUCUAGAUUUAUGUAUUUCCUUUAAUUUGUAAUUUAAAGAUGAUUUCCAUUGCUGAAGUUUAUAGCUUUAUUUUUUUCAAUGAAAUUUUUAUAUAAAAGAUUACAUAAACAAGGGUACCAUACUCUCAAUCUUUCACAAAUGUCUUCCAUCCCAAAUAAGUUUGAUAUUCACGGUGAUGAUACAGUAAACCAUCGUGGAUUUGGUCCCAUGGACAUGAAUCACAACUCCAAAAUGGCUCGAUCACUGUUCACUACAUCUGAUUGUGCCAACAACGGAGAUAUAUUUUCUUCUUCCCCAUCAUUAUCAACUUUCCAAAAUUCACAUGUCUCUUCAUCUUCCUUUGGAGUUAACAGUUCACAUAUGAACAAUCAUAUGAUGAGAAGAAACAUUGAUUUAAAUUCUAUUCCUGAUUUAAAUUCCAUUCCAGAUUCAAAUGCUAUUCCUAAUUUAAAUUCCAUUCCAGAUUCAAAUGCUAUUCCUGAUUUAAAUUCUACUCCUAAUAUUUCUGCACAUCGACGCACAACAAUGGUCAAAGUAAUGUCCAAGAUGGUCAAUCUUUGAAAAAAAUCUCCAAGCCAACCAUGCUUUUUGAAAAAACUACCGAUGAAAGAAGUUGUGAAGAAAAUAAGAAAAGUGACAAUGAUGGUCGAACACAUAGUCUACAGUAUAAGAAAAACGGUCCAUAUACAUGUCCUAAGUGCAAUGGUAUGUUCGAUACUUGUCAGAAAUUUUCUGCACAUAUAUCAUCUCACUACAAGACUGAAACAAACAAAGAAAGAGCCCAGAGAUUUCGUGCAAGAAAUAAAAAAAAGUAUGGCAAAAUAAAUCUCUAAGAUCAUGGCGAGUCUCAAAAAAUCAACCUAGAGGAUGGCGUCAAUAGCAGGGGAGGAAGUGAAGGCUAAUCUAUCCAACAUCCUAAGAUUGUAAAAGAAGAGCUUAUUUUGGAUUUUAUUUCCUUAAAUCUCUUUUUAGUAUUUGAUUUUUCUCAAAAAUUGCCUAUUCUCCUUUUUCUAGUAUUUUCAUCAUAUUUGUUGGUACAAUGAGUGGAUAUGCAUUUAUUUGUAGUCAAUUGUACUUUUUAUUAUCAUUUUUAAUUUAAUAUGUGGUUGUUUUAUAAUAAAUAUUUUCUUAAAUUUCAGUUAAUAAUGCAUAUGCAAUGAUACAUGUUGAAUCAUAUUACACUUGAUAUUAAGCUAUAUAAGUUUUCAUACAUUUGAUAUCAUAUAUAUAUGUAACAAAAAUAAAAAUUUGAUAAGAUAUAUAUUUACUGGAUCUUGUUUGUUUUUGUCUAUUUUCAUAAUUUACAAUGAUUAAAAAUGUUUUAAUAUAAUUAUAUAUGAACGACUUUAAUUUAUACAACGUAACUAACGCAUUUUCAAAAGAAAUGAAGUUGCAAUUUCUUUUAAACGAAUUCUUGAGUAGAAAGAUCACAACUAAAUAUCGAGUAAAUAUUCAUUGCAAGCCAACAAAUGUUGGAUCAGUAUAGUAUAGUAGUAGUCUAGUAGAUAAGAUAAAUAGGACUAUAACCAAAAACAAGCUUACACCAAAAGUAAGUAGAUAGAUUGAGAUAGCACUAAACUUUGUUGAUAGAUCCAUUAUCCACAGAAGCUCGAAGACUUAGGUUACAUCGCAACAUGUCACAAACGAGAUCAUGGUGUGUCAAAAUUUAAAAAGAACAACACCAACGAACACCGUUAUUAAAAAGAACAAAAUUUUGAGUUCGCGGUUAAAUAUGUUGUAGACUAACUACCGUAUACAGCAUCAGGAGGGCAGAUUAUGUCCCAGUCCCCUGCAAGAGCUAAGAUCGGCACAUUUGUUUUGCUGAUAUGAUCCUUGUAAUAGAAAGUACCAGUUCUGUCACACAGUCCACCUUGGUUCACAACUGUUGUUAGCUGCAAGAGAAGCUUAACUGGUACUGUGCCUGUUUUGUUUCUCAAAAUAACGUGAAUAUGCCUAGUAUUAAAUAAGAGCUGAAGUUUGAGAAAAUGUAAAGUAGUAGUUUGAACUCACUUAAACUGUUCAAAACAAGCUUCUCAAUCACUUCGGGGUCCAUCAUUUGAGGAGCAGAAAUAUUAGCUGUUAACCAGGACAAAGCAUAUGGAGGACGAAACAUUAAAGGGUGAGCCAUCGCGAGCAUUGUGUCAAUCGGCAUGAUAGGCAGGUUAAUAGCUUCUGAAGGCUCUUUCUGCAGCAAAAACAACAUUUGAGAUCAAUGAUUCAGUCAUAUCUUUUCCCUUUCAAGAGUGUCACAGCGCGGUGAUUGGCUCGUGGGUAAUAGGUACUUGAGGAGUGUUCUUGAAGAUGAAUAAUCUAAUGUUGAUGCUAGAGUGGCCACAGAAGCCAUCCCCGAGUCUAUUCCUUUAAAGCCUAGUGAAGAAACGUGAUUGAGCCAAAAUGUGACGACUAUGACUUACAUUUUAAAGAAAGAAACUAUCAGCCUAUACGAUGUAUGAGAGAAGUUACCACAUCUUGAGAGCAUGGCGUAUAACAAGAUACCACCCAUUGAGUGACAACCAGCGAGCAACUUCCCAUCUUUAGGUUUGGUUUGAGCCCUCACAUACUCCAUCUGAGACCAAGACGCCAUACAAUUAGACAUUCAUUGCUAUAGUAGCGCGUAAGCAGGUGGCCGACUACAGAAGAAUAAACAAGAAGUGUCACCUCACCGCAGAAGGAACAUCCUCUUCUAGAUAGUUAUCAAAAUCCCAAUUGUAGUGAGGGAUAAGUUCAAGCCGCUGCUUGAAAUCUCCCACUCUCUUAGAUAUACGGUCUUGCAGCCCAAUGAUCUUGGAACCUGCAAGUUCUUUCUCAGUAAAUAGACAAAUAUUCUCUUCUCUGGUCUCAACAGAACGAACCAAAACAGAACGAUAGUGGACUGUUUUUUCUUGGACUCAAUGAAGUCGAAACCGGUGUACUGUAUAACAUUCUAACUUUUAAAAGUGGAAGCAAAGGGUAAAAUCUACUUCUUAUAAUCGUUAAAUUUGAGAUAUAACGUAUAAUUUAAGUCAAGCAUAGAAAUUAAGUAAUUAACAAAGUAUUUUACUUUGAAUUCAUUACCUAAAAAGUAGAUAUAUUUCUUUGUUUGAGCACUAAACAAAACAUAAACAAGCAUAGAUACUAGUACUACAUUUGUUUGGAUGGGUGAGACUCUAAGUACUCAAUGACAUCCAUAUAUAAGUAAUGUGAGUAUGUGAUUUUGGUACGUAGAGAUUUGCUUUGGAAAUAAAGGAAGGAGGGUGAGACUUGAGGUAAUGUUGAAUAAGUCAGGUUUGUGCUUACACCACCACCCUUCAAAGUCGCCUUUCGUUGAGUUUUGUCCAGCUGUAAUGUGAUGAGUAUGCUUUAGUAUAUGUUCUUUGAUGAAGAAAUCAGAUUUUUAGACUUUGUUCUCUAACCUCAAUGCUUAGUUAAACUUUUAUGAUCCGAGAGCAAACAUUGGUUAAGAAGCUGUUUAAAUACUUAUCUGAUCCCUUAAAGACUAACUAACUAGUCCUUCUCAACCUUUGUUGCAGAAUGCGAAGUUGCCUUUAUAAUAAUAAUAAGGGUCACUCUUCUUUUAGCCUUUGUACAAUAUUUUUAGCAAACAUAAACAUUAUUCAUGUGAGGAUCCCAAACACGCCGAUUCAAAGACCAUGCUAACGUCUUUCUAUUAAUUUCAGGUUUUGCAGAUAAGUAUGGUGAUGCUAUGUUCCUACUUUGUAGUAAGAAUAAAAAAGAGGUAAUUUGGAUUACCUCAAUUCGGCUACCACAAGAGGCAUGAUUCUCUGUGAUAGACUUCCCCGAUCCGAUGUGAAUCCCCACCUUCUGGUGAAGAUACGAAACCAGACUACUGUGUCCGGUCAUGACAGAGUUUAAUACUACCCUGUCAUUCAUGAUUCCAACGUCACUCGUUGGAACUAUCCUCAGACUUUACUUGAGUCUGACGGCUCCAGCAGAGUCCACCGACGCUCGAUGGAACUGAGAGAAGUCCUUUUAUCCUUCCCUCUCGGGGUACCAAUUUUGCUGCUCGAACCAUGGUGAGACUCUAAUAUCAUGCUGAGUCACCACCACUUUUGCUGGUCAAGUAUUGGUGACCUUUCCUCUACUUAAUAACUACUUAACGAUUAAUCACACAACUUGAUUCCGGGUUUAGCCGGUUUACGAUUUCUUUAACCAGAAUUAAUGUUAUUUUAUAUGGUUCAAUCCGGUUGAUUGAUUGAUUGCUCUCGCUUGCUUCCCACAUACAUUUUUUUUUCUCUAACCUCUUUGAAUUCUACUACAAAAGUUCCAUGGGUGUAUUUAUAUUUCCUGACCUACUAUGAAUAGUCUAGUUUGUAAUUCAAGUUUGAUUUAUAUGAAGUUUAACAUUAAAACAACAACAACAAAAAAGUAACAACACACCACUAGCCGACCUUGGUGGCUGAAGCAGCAGCUUUACUCCUCCUAGCAGCAAUAAAGACCAACCUUCUGUUGACGAGAUGCAUCACGCAUAACUGUACUGGCCUGAACAAUAUAUGUGCUGAUGGUUACCUCCUCAAUGACGAUGAUGCUCUACUUUGUUCCAUGAAUCUUUCUUUCUUAAGCUACAAUGGAUGGAUAGUCUAGUUUGUUCAUACAUAUCCACACCACAAACCUUAGUGUAGAACUUUGAACUCUCAAAGUUAUUAAGGAUCGGACAACACAUAUUUUACUUUGUUUUAUGUCCCGCUAUUCUUGUUAGACACUCAAUCGUAUACUCUUUGAUAUAAACGAAAACCACAAACUUUUAUUAUAUACAUAAACUGUAUUUAUAGGUUUACAUGACACACUUUGACUAAGACUAUGCACAUCGGUUUGGGUCUCAAAAAAAAAAUUUAAUUUUUUUUUAAAUGCUUUUUUCGAUUUUAAAAAAAAAAGAUAACCAAUCGCGGACCACCACGUGUCAGUGGGGCCCGCAAAUAGGAAGAAGCAAAACGCAGGACCGUCGCAAUUCUGCGUACGUCCUUCACUUUUAUUUUUUUUUUCUGAUUUAAUUUUUUGCAAAAAAUUGGUUGGGACUUGGGCUACUAACGCCAAUAAACAAAGGAACACGUUUUUAGAAGACACCCCCCCCCCCCCAAUGUAAAGACACAAACACACACAUGUAACUGUUUUAUAGUUAACAAUUCUACUCAUAUCUCUUCGGUGUGUGAUACGAAUAGAUUAUACAUAAACCAGUUACUUAACUAUAUAAUACAUGACUCUCCUAAGAUAAUAAAAUAACAUGAAGACUUUAUUACAUCCAACACUUAAAGACAUGAGUUUCUCUUUGCCCGGUGCUUGUGGUACAAGUUACUUUCACCCAAAAAUCAAGGGUUUUUGAAACCUAGUUCAUUGACUCGCUCAAAAGUCACCACCUCCAUUAAUUAAAGUAUUAAACUCGUUUAGCCACGCUCGCACAUGUAAGUUUUGUGAGUCCCUCCGUAUCAUUUAACUAGAAAGUUACCCACGCAUAUUAUAUAUGAAAUAUUAAUUUGAAUUAGAAAUUGAAAACUACAUUAAGAUAUGUAGUUUAUAAGUAACUGUUAAUAUAAAACAUAUUUGUGUACAUUAUAAACAAUAAAAAUAAAUAAAAUAUAUAUUUGAAAAAUAUGAAACCAAAUGAGAUCAAAAUAAAGUUAUACAAAUUAGCACAUACAUAAUAUAGUAGGCAAUUGUAAAUUGAUGUUAAUUUUUUGUGUGUACAUUGUUAAUAUUAAAAGUAAACAAAACUCAUAUUUCACCUAAGAUAUUUACUGGUCUUGUUUGGUUUUGACAUAAUUUAAAAUGAAUGAAAUUGUAUUAAUAUGAUAUUAAUCAGAUUAAAAGUAUCAUUACAUUUACAUAUAACUUAUAUAGUUCUAUCCCAUAUAAUUAUUUUGAAUUUGUUUAAUUAACAUUGUUUACUAGUUUUCGCUUUUGAUCAGACAUAUAAACAAAUUGAAUCAGAUAACAAAAAGAUUAAAGAAAAUAUUAAAAGGUUGGAUAUAGCUAGAUAAUUUAACCAUACUUUCUAAAUGAUCUUACAAAUACAGAGAUAUGUUUCUCCAUAUCUUAUUUAUUAAGUGGCUCAUUGUUUUUCCAUAAUAUCACUAAUAAUGAAAAAUCUAUCUCAUUAGAUUAAGUCUAACGAAUAUAUUACUGAAGACAUAUAUAUUCUACAAGAGCAGCACUACUAGAGUUAAUCAUCAAACACAACAUAUCAUGGGCCGACACAAAGUUGAGUGGUAUGUGACAGAAACCGUCUUGUGUGAAUCAAUGAUAUGUUGUUUUCUGUUAAUCUUCAUGUGUCAAGAGUGUGUUAACUAAUAAUCGUGAAUGGUCCAAAGAAGAUGUUACAAAAAGGUUUUUCUUGCUUCUCAAUUAAGAGUCUAAAGAUGGUGAAUUUUUGUGGAAAUCUGAUGAUUUUUGGCACUGAUCCGAGUCGGUAUAGUAAACAUAUAUGAUGAGAAGAUUUUGGUACGUAGAGAUUUGCAUUGGAAAUAAAGGAAGGAGGUGGGACUUGUGGGAGAAAGUUGAAUAAGUCAGGGUUUGUGCUUUGUAUAUGUUCUUUUGAUGAAGAAAUCAGAUUUUUUAGACUUGUCCUCUAGCCUCAACACUUAGUUAGACUUUUAUGAACUUGCAGGUUAAGGAUCUACAGCUUGUUAAGUUUGGAAAAAAAGACCUAUGUCAUUGUCUUUAAUUUUGCAGAUAUGUUUGUAGAAACAGAUUGAAAAAGAGGUAAUUUGGCUUACCUCAAUUCGGCUACCACAAGAGGCAUGAUUCUCUGUGAUAGACUUCCCCGAUCCGAUGUGAAUCCCCACUUUUGGGUGAAGAUCCGGUGACACGACAGAGUUGUUACUCUGUCGGAUUUCCAACGAGUGACUCGUUGGUCAUAUCCCAAGACUACGCUUGUCUUGGGUCCGACGGUUUAGACAGAGUUGAAACUCUGCCCUUCGCUUCCUCCACCGAUCACUCGAUGAAGGUCAAAGUAGAGAGGAAGGAAACACUUUCCUUCUCACAAGUUGGGGUACCAAUAUCGCCUCUCGAACCAUGGUGAGACUCCUAUAUCAUGCUGAGUCACUCACCACUUUAGCAGUUCGAGUAUUGGUGACCUUUCCUCUGUUUAAUACCUACUUAAUGUUUAAUGCUAACACUAAAGGCAUGAUUCUUUGUUGUAGUUUACAACACAAUGAGUCAACAAUACCAAUGUUAUUCGAACCCUGGUGAGACUCUCGAUCAUGCUGAGUAACUACCACUUUACUGGGCUGAAAUUGGUGAUAGUUUCUCCAUUUAAUUACUAUUUAAAACGUUUAUAUGAUAUAACUCAUGUACUGUAUAUGGAUUAAUACAGCACGUAAACAAAAUCCACAACAAGCCAACCUAGAACAACUUAGGUUUUUAUUUUAUUUUGGACCAACUAAGAUGUCUCCAAAUUCGGAGGAUACAACCGACAGGACCGUUGAAUAGCGGAACUUCAGAAACGUGUGAGAAACACAAACUCAUGCCAAGGAGCCGCCUUGAUGCAUCGGAGAAGAUUUUCAUCCCUACAAUAUAAAUUGAAUAUGUUCACAUCAUCAUCGUUAAAACGCUUAGACAUAAACGUCUAGUUUCUCUCCAUGUGGAAACCCUAAAUCAUUCUUAAAAACAAUAGGGUCGUUUUUUCAUUGUUCAUUCGAAGUUAGGACAUUUUCCAUAGAUGCAACUUCGCCCUAAUUAAGAUUCUUACAUAAAUUUGACGUUCAAGAUUUCGAAAACAUCUCGGCCGUCGCAUAAUGAGUAUCAAAGUAUGAUCUCUAUCGUCUUUAACACCUUUGAUGCAUCAUCAUGCAAUACUAUAAGUAUUUUUGAUUCUUCUCUCUAUUUGGUCUCAUGCUCACAUAGUCACAUAUAUCAAAAGAGCAAUUUUGGGUAUAAUUAAUUAUGCUGUUUAUUUUAAAUUUUGAAACUAUGAAAUGGACUUAGACGUUAAGAUGGGAAGGUUUUAGGACCAAAUUAUAUAUUGAUCGUGUCAUUUUAUUAAAUAGGACCAUAGUAAUUGUAGUUCACCUAAUUUAAUUUUUUCUUUAUAAAUUAUCUGUAUAUCGUUGAGAUAGAUUUCUUUCCUCAAUUUAUUAGGUAGGUGUCCUCUCAGUUUACGUGAUAAAUGGAAAAGUAUGUGUUACUAGAUCGACUCAUCCAUUUCUUAUACCUUAUAAUUUAUAAUCUAUGGUUUUCAUGAAAAUCACCCACCAUGAAACUUAUAAAUAUUUCACUAAUAAUAUUAAUUAAGGAGUAAAAUUAAUGGUAAACAUUUGUUACUGUAUAAAUGAUAAGUAUCAUUAUAAAAUCAUAUCACCAAAAAAGUAAUAUAUUAAUAAAUGCCAGCAAAUGUUAAACAACUAGAUAUAUCUUAGUAUAAAUAUUAUAUUACAGUUAAUGUAGAGGAAAUUAAAAUUAUAAUAUUAUUAAUAUUUUUAAAGUGUAUAUAUGACGUGUAAUCAACCUUCUUAGACUAUCCAUAUAUUACUAUAUAAAUAGAGGAGUUUAGGGGAAAUAAAUAAUUAAUUAAAGAUUUUUUUUCUUAUAAAGAUUAAAUAUAAACUAAUAAUAGUUACAUAAAGUUGACUUCUUAGAUUUUUUUUCACUUUUAAUUUUAAGGUAGUUUCCCUUUAUAUAAUAAAUAUAUCUUUUCAAUGCAAAUUUUAUAUAAAGGUAGAUUUCUAGAUUUAUGUAUUUCCUUUAAUUUGUAAUUUAAAGAUGAUUUCCAUUGCUGAAGUUUAUAGCUUUAUUUUUUUCAAUGAAAUUUUUAUAUAAAAGAUUACAUAAACAAGGGUACCAUACUCUCAAUCUUUCACAAAUGUCUUCCAUCCCAAAUAAGUUUGAUAUUCACGGUGAUGAUACAGUAAACCAUCGUGGAUUUGGUCCCAUGGACAUGAAUCACAACUCCAAAAUGGCUCGAUCACUGUUCACUACAUCUGAUUGUGCCAACAACGGAGAUAUAUUUUCUUCUUCCCCAUCAUUAUCAACUUUCCAAAAUUCACAUGUCUCUUCAUCUUCCUUUGGAGUUAACAGUUCACAUAUGAACAAUCAUAUGAUGAGAAGAAACAUUGAUUUAAAUUCUAUUCCUGAUUUAAAUUCCAUUCCAGAUUCAAAUGCUAUUCCUAAUUUAAAUUCCAUUUCAGAUUCAAAUGCUAUUCCUGAUUUAAAUUCUACUCCUAAUAUUUCUGCACAUCGACGCACAACAAUGUUCAAAGUAAUGUCCAAGAUGGUCAAUCUUUGAAAAAAAUCUCCAAGCCAACCAUGCUUUUUGAAAAAACUACUGACGAAAGAAGUUGUGAAGAAAAUAAGAAAAGUGACAAUGAUGGUCGAACACAUAGUCUACAAUAUAAGAAAAACGGUCCAUAUACAUGUCCUAAGUGCAAUGGUAUGUUCGAUACUUGUCAGAAAUUUUCUGCACAUAUAUCAUCUCACUACAAGACUGAAACAAACAAAGAAAGAGCCCAGAGAUUUCGUGCAAGAAAUAAAAAAAAGUAUGGCAAAAUAAAUCUCUAAGAUCAUGGCGAGUCUCAAAAAAUCAACCUAGAGGAUGGCGUCAAUAGCAGGGGAGGAAGUGAAGGCUAAUCUAUCCAACAUCCUAAGAUUGUAAUAUAAUAGCUUAUUUUGGAUUUUAUUUCCUUAAAUCUCUUUUUAGUAUUUGAUUUUUCUCAAAAAUUGCCUAUUCUCCUUUUUUCUAGUAUUUUCAUCAUAUUUGUUGGUACAAUGAGUGGAUAUGCAUUUAUUUGUAGUCAAUUGUACUUUUUAUUAUCAUUUUUAAUUUAAGAUGUGGUUGUUUUAUAAUAAAUAUUUUCUUAAAUUUCAGUUAAUAAUGCAUAUGCAAUGAUACAUGUUGAAUCAUAUUACACUUGAAAUUAAGCUAUAUAAGUUUUCAUACAUUUGAUAUCAUAUAUAUAUGUAACAAAAAUAAAAAUUUGAUAAGAUAUAUAUUUACUGGAUCUUGUUUGUUUUUGUCUAUUUUCAUAAUUUACAAUGAUUAAAAAUGUUUUAAUAUAAUUAUAUAUGAACGACUUUAAUUUAUACAACGUAACUAACGCAUGCGGGAGAUGAAUAUAUUUGUUUUGGGUGUUGUUUUUUUCUUUCAUACUCAUUAGUUUAUGGAGAUUUGAAUGGCUUGAUACGAGUUAAAACUAUUUACUUACAUACGUCGAUUAUUCAAAACAAAACUCACAUAGUCACAUGUGCAUAUAUGUAAUAUAUAUGAGACCUAGAAAAAAAUAAAAAAAUGAGCAUAAAUUUGAGAGAUGAUAGAAAACAAAAAAAAAACUCGAGUAUAAUCAAUAGAUUCACACGAUUUCAAAAGAAAUGAAGUUACAAUUUCUUUUAAACGAAUUCUUGAGUAGAAAGAUCACAACUAAAUCUCGAGUAAAUAUUCAUUGCAAGCCCACAAAUGUUGGAUCAGUAUAGUAUAGUAGUAGUCUAGUAGAUAAGAUAAAUAGGACUAUAACCAAAAACAAGCUUACACCAAAAGUAAGUAGAUAGAUUGAGAUAGCACUAAACUUUGUUGAUAGAUCCAAUAUCCACAGAAGCUCGAAGACUUAGGUUACAUCGCAACAUGUCACAAACGAGAUCAUGGUGUGUCAAAGGCACUUCCACGAAAUCCAGUGAGAGGUUUCUCCUUGACAAGAAUACGUAUCAAACAAACAUAAAGAUGUCGCUAAACUGCUAGGAUGGUUUCCUCGACCAGCCAAUACAGAACAUGAGAAGCAUUAGAAAUAUUGAACUUGAGCAGGGAUUGGGGAGACCCUCGUGGUCAGAUAUAAAACGAUAAGCUGUUCUAAAUUGGAGUACUUCGAGAUCCUUCAGAUGACAUUUUUGAUGUAAGAACUGUAUCCAAAACUGCAAAGCGGAGACGAUAUAGUGGACUGUUUUUUCUUGGACUCAAUGAAGUCGAAACCGGUGUACUGUAUAACAUUCUAACUCAAUGACAUCCAUAUAUAAGUAAUGUGAGUAUGUGAUUUUGGUACGUAGAGAUUUGCUUUGGAAAUAAAGGAAGGAGGUGAGACUUGAGGUAAUGUUGAAUAAGUCAGGUUUGUGCUUACACCACCACCCUUCAAAGUCGCCUUUCGUUGAGCUUUGUCCAGCUGUAAUGUGAUGAGUAUAUAUGUUCUUUGAUGAAGAAAUCAGAUUUUUAGACUUUGUUCUCUAACCUCAAUGCUUAGUUAAACUUUUAUGAUCCGAGAGCAAACAUUGGUUAAGAAGCUGUUUAUAUAUUUAUCUGAUCCCUUAAAGACUAACUAACUAGUCCUUCUCAACCUUUGUUGCAGAAUGCGAAGUUGCCUUUAUAAUAAUAAGGGUCACUCUUCUUUUAGCCUUUAAAAGGUUAUUCAUGUGAGGAUCCCAAACACGCCGAUUCAAAGACCAUGCUAAUGUCUUUCUAUUAAUUUCAGGUUUUGCAGAUAAGUAUGGUGAUGCUAUGUUCCUAGUUUGUAGUAAGAAUAAAAAAGAGGUAAUUUGGAUUACCUCAAUUCGGCUACCACAAGAGGCAUGAUUCUCUGUGAUAGACUUCCCCGAUCAAGUGAAUCCCCACCUUCUGGUUAAGAUACGAAACCAGACUGCUGUGUCCGGUCAUGACAGAGUUGAAGGCAAGUUGAGAGGAAACAGUUUCCUUCUCACAAGUUGGGGUACCAAUAUCGCCUCUCGAACAAUGGUGAGACUCCAAUAUCAUGCUGAGUCACCCACCACUUUAGCUGUUCGAGUAUUGGUGACCUUUCCUCUAUUUAACACCUACUUAAUGAUUAAUCACAAACCUUAAUUUCAGGUUUAGUCCGGUUAUCUAUUUAAGAUUUCCUUAACCGGAGAAAAACGUUACGGUUCAAUCCGUUUUUCUUUCUCGAGCUACAAUGGAUAUUGGAUAGGUCUAGUUUGUAAUGUUUCAAGUUCGAUUUCUAUGAAGUUUAACAUUAAAACAGAAAACAAAAAAAAAAGUAACAACAUAACACUAGUCGGCUGAAGCAGCGCAGCUUGACCUCUAAGAAACUGAGACGACCAGUCCUCCUAGCAGCAAUAAAGAACAACCUUCUGUUGAAGAGGCGCAUCACGCUUGACCAAUGUGCUGAUGGUUAACUACUUGGUAUAUACAUAUCCACACCAGAAACUUUAAGACAUGACUCAUGAGGUUCUCUUCACCCGGUGCUUGUGUUACACGUUUCCUUCACUAAAAUUAAGGGUUUUGGUAACCCUAAUUCAUUGACUCGCUCAAAAGUCACCACCUCCAUUUAUUAAAGUAUUACAUAUUAAACUAAAAUUUGCUUAAAAUACCUUCAAUAAUGAUGGCCUCCCUAUCAUUUAUAAUGCUCGCUGAGUUUUAAGGUAUUAUUGAAAAAGAAGUAAUUUAUAUUACUUCGAUUAUGCUAACACUAAAGGCAUGAUUCUUUGUGAUAGUUUACAGAAUGAGUCAAUACCAAUGUUAUUCGAACCCUGGUAAGACUCUCGAUCAUGCUGAGUAACUACCACUUUACUGGGCUGAAAUUGGUGAUAGUUUCUCCAUUUAAUUACUAUUUAAAACGUUUAUAUGAUAUAACUCAUGUACUGUAUAUGGAUUAAUACAGCACGUAAACAAAAUCCACAACAAGCCAACCUAGAACAACUUAGGUUUUUAUUUUAUUUUGGACCAACUAAGAUGUCUCCAAAUUCGGAGGAUACAACCGACAGGACCGUUGAAUAGCGGAACUUCAGAAACGUGUGAGAAACACAAACUCAUGCCAAGGAGCCGCCUUGAUGCAUCGGAGAAGAUUUUCAUCCCUACAAUAUAAAUUGAAUAUGUUCACAUCAUCAUCGUUAAAACGCUUUGACAUAAACGUCUAGUUUCUCUCCAUGUGGAAACCCUAAAUCAUUCUUAAAAACAAUAGGGUCGUUUUUUCAUUGUUCAUUCGAAGUUAGGACAUUUUCCAUAGAUGCAACUUCGCCCUAAUUAAGAUUCUUACAUAAAUUUGACGUUCAAGAUUUCGAAAACAUCUCGGCCGUCGCAUAAUGAGUAUCAAAGUAUGAUCUCUAUCGUCUUUAACACCUUUGAUGCAUCAUCAUGCAAUACUAUAAGUAUUUUUGAUUCUUCUCUCUAUUUGGUCUCAUGCUCACAUAGUCACAUAUAUCAAAAGAGCAAUUUUGGGUAUAAUUAAUUAUGCUGUUUAUUUUAAAUUUUGAAACUAUGAAAUGGACUUAGACGUUAAGAUGGGAAGGUUUUAGGACCAAAUUAUAUAUUGAUCGUGUCAUUUUAUUAAAUAGGACCAUAGUAAUUGUAGUUCACCUAAUUUAAUUUUUUCUUUAUAAAUUAUCUGUAUAUCGUUGAGAUAGAUUUCUUUCCUCAAUUUAUUAGGUAGGUGUCCUCUCAGUUUACGUGAUAAAUGGAAAAGUAUGUGUUACUAGAUCGACUCAUCCAUUUCUUAUACCUUAUAAUUUAUAAUCUAUGGUUUUCAUGAAAAUCACCCACCAUGAAACUUAUAAAUAUUUCACUAAUAAUAUUAAUUAAGGAGUAAAAUUAAUGGUAAACAUUUGUUACUGUAUAAAUGAUAAGNNNNNNNNNNNNNNNNNNNNNNNNNNNNNNNNNNNNNNNNNNNNNNNNNNNNNNNNNNNNNNNNNNNNNNNNNNNNNNNNNNNNNNNNNNNNNNNNNNNNAAGGGUACCAUACUCUCAAUCUUUCACAAAUGUCUUCCAUCCCAAAUAAGUUUGAUAUUCACGGUGAUGAUACAGUAAACCAUCGUGGAUUUGGUCCCAUGGACAUGAAUCACAACUCCAAAAUGGCUCGAUCACUGUUCACUACAUCUGAUUGUGCCAACAACGGAGAUAUAUUUUCUUCUUCCCCAUCAUUAUCAACUUUCCAAAAUUCACAUGUCUCUUCAUCUUCCUUUGGAGUUAACAGUUCACAUAUGAACAAUCAUAUGAUGAGAAGAAACAUUGAUUUAAAUUCUAUUCCUGAUUUAAAUUCCAUUCCAGAUUCAAAUGCUAUUCCUGAUUUAAAUUUAAUUCCAGAUUCAAAUGCUAUUCCUGAUUUAAAUUCUACUCCUAAUAUUUCUGCAUCAUCGACGCACAACAAUGGUCAAAGUAAUGUCCAAGAUGGUUGAUCUUUGAAAAAAAUCUCCAAGCCAACCAUGCUUUUUGAAAAAACUACUGAUGAAAGAAGUUGUGAAGAAAACAAGAAAAGUGACAAUGAUGGUCGAACACAUAGUCUACAGUAUAAGAAAAACAGUCCAUAUACAUGUCCUAAGUGCAAUGGUAUGUUCGAUACUUGUCAGAAAUUUGCUGCACAUAUAUCAUCUCACUACAAGACUGAAACAAAUAAAGAAAAAGUCCAGAGAUUUCGUGCAAGAAAUAAAAAAAAGUAUGGCAAACUAAAUCUCUAAGAUCAUGGCGAGUCUCAAAAAUUCAACCUAGAGAAUGGCGUCAAUAGCAGGGGAGGAAGUGAAGGCUAAUCUAUCCAACAUCCUAAGAUUGUAAAAGAAGAGCUUAUUUUGGAUUUUAUUUCCUUAAAUCUCUUUUUAGUAUUUGAUUUUUCUCAAAAAUUGCUCAUUCUCCUUUCUUUCUAGUAUUUUCAUCAUAUUUGUGGUACAAUGAGUGGAUAUGCAUUUAUUUGAAGUCAAUUGUACUUUUUAUUAUCAUUUUUAAUAAAGAUGUGGUUGUUUUCUUAUAAAUGUUUUCUUAAAUUUCAGUUAAUAAUGCAUAUAUGCAAUGAUACAUGUUAAAGAUCAUAUUGCACUUUAAAGUAAGCUAUAUAUAUAAGUUUUCAUACAUUUGAUAUCAUAAAUAUAUAUAUAUAUAUAUACAUAUAUAUGUGUGUGUGAAAAAAUCAAAUUUGAGAAGAUAUAUAUUUAUUGGGUCUUGUUUGGUUUUGUCUAUUUUCAUAAUUUACAAUGAUUAAAAAUGUAUUAAUAUAAUAUUAAUCAGAUUAAGUAUCAUUACAUUUACAUAUAUAUAGCUUGUAUAUCACAUUUAAUUAUUUUGAAUUUAUAUAAUAAUUUAUUUUUACCAGUUUUAGCUUUUGAUCAGACAUACAAAUGAAUAAAGAAAAAAUAUUAAAAGGUUGGAUCUAGGUAGUUACUCCAACCAUACUUUUUAAAUGAUCUUACAACUGUAGAGAUAUGUUUCUCUAGGCUUCCUAAAUGCUUUAUCAGUGUUUAAUUAUUAUUGGGAAACAAAAAAAUAUAUAAGUUAUUUGAUGACGACAAAAAGAUCUGAGUAACGCAUGCAGGAGAUAAAUAUUUGUAUUGGGUGUUGUUUUUUCUUUCAUACUAUUAGUUGAAUAUAGUUUAUGGAGAUUUGAAUGGUUUAAUUUGAUAUACAAGAUAACCAUUUACUUACAUACCUCGAUUUUCAAGCUAGUAAAGAAAACAGAACUCAUGUAAUAUAUGAGACCCAAAAAAACAAAAACAAAACAAAAACUGAGUAUAUUGAGAGUUGAUAGAAAAAGAAGAGUCGAGUAUAAUCAAUAGAAAUGGAUCAGUUGCAUAGUGACCAAAAAGAUCAAACGAAUUAUCGAGUAUAAUAAACAUAAUUGACCAUUUUUGUAGAUAAGAUAAAUUAUAAUCUUUUGAUAAGUAAGUACUAAUAAUUUACGUCACUCCAAAUUUUCACUUUACUAUGUUUUUACUCUAACGUUGAUUCCAAAUAUUUGUUAUAGUGAUGCAUGUUAUCAUAUGAUUCGUGUGGAAGUGCAUUAGCAAAUGAAAUAAUCAUACUCAAUCUUUCAAAAUGUAUCCCUUUUCAAAUAUCAUAGACUAAAGAUUGUACAAAUUGCCAUUGAAUUAACCACAAGUCCAAAAUGGUGUAGUCGAUCGAUAUUCAUUGCAUUUGAUCGUACAAACCAUGGAGACGUCUUUGGCUUCAUCACCAUAGCUGCUUUUGGGAUUCACAAAUCAGAGAUCCGAUCCAAGAUCUCCCUUUCCAACAACAAUCUGGAUCUAGUUCUCUCCAAAUGAAAAGUUGGCUUCUUCCUCUGCACUAGAGAUGCUUGGGUUAAUGUGAUCAUUCAAUAGCUUAAAGAAAAGUAGAUCACUUCUGCUCUACAAUCUUCCCUCCCAAUUCUGACUCCUCCUCCUCCUCCUCAAUUUCCGCCUCCCCGCGACAGAGAAAUGCUGGGUGAGAGAAGAAGAUCCAAAAAUUUCGACGAGGAAGGUUGACGGCGUAAAAUCGGUAAAGACGACAAUGAAUCGAGCAAGAAGAGAUGAAUAAGGGCAUCAUUAUUGGGGGUAUCUUAACCCUCUAAGAUACCCCAAUAAUGUUAGUCUUAGUGAGUGUGACGACAUUAGGGCUUAUAAUAACAAGUGGCUAUACUAUUUGUAAUAGUUGUCCUACUAUAUCUAGUUAUACUAUUUAACAGUUUUUCCUAUUAUAUAUCUCUCAGCUAUACUAUUUUUGUACCACAUUCACUAUUUGUCUCUCAAUUAUACCAUUUGUACGAGUUGUUAUAUAAUCUUUCAAUUGUACUAGUUGUUCUACUCUCUCAGUUGUAAUAUAUCUCCCUUCAUUUCAUUAAAGGAUUUUCGGGGAUAUCGCAUUAAAUGUGGCACACAGAUUAAAAAGUUGUAGCCUUACACAGAUUAACAAGUAGCAUUCUUGCCCUAUGCUCGAAAGUUUGAACUCUAAUGUCAUUUUUUCGGGCCGAGAUUCCAAAAAUCGUCAAUACGUAUUUAUCUUUGACGAAAGUUCCCAUGAAACUAUUGUUUGUGAAGAAGACGGGAAAUAUUACGAUGAUUAGCAUAUGAUCAGGCUCAUAGUUUACUGUAUGAGAAAUAGGGUUCAUAUACUUGUUCCAAUUGUAAUAGUGUGUUUAACACUUCUCAAAAGUUUGUUGCACAUAUGUUAUCUCAUUACAAGAGUGAGACGACCAAUUAAAAGGAUCAAAAUUUUGUUUCAUGUUUCAAAAUUUAAAAUUUAUAUCAAUCAAAGUAAUGAUUAGUUUAUAUUAUCACCUUUCUAUAAAUUUUGUAGACUAAUUAGACGUCCAAUUAUGAGGUUUGUGUCAUUCUCUCCUAAAACUUACAUCUAUGAAAUACUUGUCAUUUCCUUCUAACAUCUAAAUUUUACGUAGUGUAUUUAACUAUGUAUGUUAACUAACAAUUUAAGUAAAUAAAUUAAGUCAUCCCUCACUUGAUGUAACAAAAUUCUAUAGGAAGGUAAAUCUUUUUUGAUAUAUAUAUACAUUAUCUCUUGUUUUGUACACAUGGAGAUAGCACCAAAAAUAUGAAACAGAUUUUUUAUUUAAUAUUUUAAAAAUAAUUUAAAAUCAAAAAAUUAAUCUACUUAUGAAUUUUUUUUCUAUCUUAUUAUAUAAAUUUUGAUUUCUCAAAUUUAGUUAUCAACAUAAUUGUGACAUGUGUCUACUUUUUUGAUCAAAGAUUUUUUGAUUUCUCAAAUUUAGUUAUCAACAAAAAGUAUUUUCUUUUCUUUUCUUGAACAGUAAAAAAAAAAUUUAGUCGAGCUUCAGGAUCAUCUCAUAGAAUUUGUGGGUGGUAUGUUACAUCAAAAUCUAAAGACCCAAUUAAUUUAUCAAGAACCCACAAUAAAAACUCGAGUUUAAUGUAGUGGGUACUUUUUACUGUUCAAGAAAAGAAAAUACUUUUUGCUUAUAAAAAAAGUAAACACUUAAAUCUGGUUUAGUAAUGGAAUCGAUUCCGCUGUAGCACAUUGGCUAAAGCCUUUCAAAAAAAAAUAAUAAUAAUGGAAUCGAUUAAAUUGACAUUUUAUCUUUAGACUCUUUAUCUAAAGAAGAGCAUCUACAUUGUAAUUUUAUAAUUAAAGACACAAGAAAGAAUGUAAUCAUUUUGUAAUACUUUUCCAUAUAUUAUAAUAGAACAAAGAAGAAUAAAAAUAAAGUUGGAAAAAAUAAAAGUAAGGAAAAGAAAUGGAGAAAUAUGACUUUUGGGGCAUGAGAAGAUUAUAUUGUCUCAUUGGAUCCUUUGGUCGUUCAUUUCGAGAGAGUAGGCUUCUUCAAAGAUGGACUUUUUGUCUCAUCAUUCAUUUUCGCGCGGUAACUUUUAAAAUUUGCCACCGUAUGUAAUUGGUACUACUAGUAUCUUAAGUUAAAAUAUGAAUGGUCGUUGUUAUGGUAGCAUCACAAGUAAUGAAAUAAAAAUCACAAUUGUUGGUAGAAUUCAAAUUUAUGUUCCAGAAAACAUUUUGGAUUCGGUUUUUAUACUGAACCAAAAAUCUUUAGCCAAAAUAAAUAGUCAAAUAGAGUUCUUAUAUCCGAAAUAAUGUAUUUUAAAAACUUUUCAACAAUUAGAUUAGUACGUAUAUUGAUUCAAAAUUGCAAGUAAAAAGUAAAAAUAAUAAUAAUAAUAAUAAUAACACAUGCGGUAUUUUAUAUCGUGUCGCAACACGAAAAAAUGAGUGUUUUCAUUUUGUUAUAAACGGAAUAUAAUAUCAUGUAUAUUUUCUAAAAAUCGAGUCACAAAGAAAUGAGUGUUUUAAUAGAAAACAAAACCUUAAAGUAUUUUGUGGCAAGCUAGUGUGUGUGGGUUAUUGUUAAUCUAGUGCAUCUAACUUUCUUUUUUUUUCCUUGUCAAACAUGUGAUUUGGGAUCAAUAAGAUGGUGGGGAACGAAUUAUAACUUUCCAAAACUGGAUGAUCGCUUAUUCUUUCUUCUAUGGGUUAAUUGACUUGUCUGGACACUCUUUUGCUUCUUGGUCGCUAAGUCCAAAUGCAAGCUAACUCGUACUAUCUAUUGGUAGAACUUUGUUUAGGCCAAUGUCGAUUUACACCUCUUUGAUGACUAGGACUUUUGUAUAAACUUCUUAGGAUUAGCCAAUUUGAUUCAUAAGUGUCAUUUCUCGACAUACAUGUGACGUUACAAAAGCUGACCAAGUUCAAACAAGAUUAUAUGCGACGUUACGAUAAUUUGAUUCAUAAGUGUCAUUUGAAUUUUUGAAAAUAUAUAUUAACAAAUUUGAUUGAUCUCUUCAUUUUAAUCAUCAAACAAAAUAUAUAGACUAAAGACAAAAGAAAACGUAUUUUUAUGGUCAAAAAGGAAACAAAAAAAAAAGAUUAGACAGAAUUUUGUUGUUUUGUAUUUUAAUUUAGCCGUUUUCUCGACCUUUCAAUUUCACAGGUGUUUGACUUGUGCAGGCCUCACACAUGGUAAUGUUCUUUAGUUUUUCUACAAACUAUCUUAUUCCUAUAUGAACCAAAUUCGAUUAUUUGUGAGCUCUCAAGUCAAAAAGGUUAUAUCACAAUCUUGUGUAUAUGAUUUGUGGCACUCCACAUGUAUCUAUCAUAGGGAUUUCACUUGUACUAUAUGUUUUUGUUUUGCUUCUUGUACCAUCAUGCCAACACAAGCAUCUCAGCAAAUCCAACUUACUCACUUGUCUAAUUACAUUUUAACUAGGUUUAAUAUGGGCAAAGAAAGAGUAAGAUAAUUCGUGUACUUAAAUUUUAUUGCAACUAUCAACAAAGACAAGAUAUGUAAUAAGUAAAUCUAAUGUCGGCAUAAAAGCAUAUAUAAAGCAAGCAUCGUAUUUCACAAUUUUAUAUAAAAAUACUAUACUAUAGCCAUACUGAAGUGUUUGCAUAUAUAUAGUAGCAGAAGAGACAACACAAUAGUUCUCAUUUGAUAAAUGCUGCAUACUUAACUUCACUUCUUCACACCAACAACAACAACAACAAAAAAUGACGAAACGUUUCAAAUUAAAGAUUUCAAGAAUCCUCUCAUUCAAAUCUUGUCGUUCAAAAGAUCCUUCUUCUCUCCCUAUUAAUCCUGUUCCGUCAAGUCUCCGACGUACUCCUCCACCUUCUAACUCAUCCUCCGUCGUCGUUACCACCACCGUGCCACAACGUCGUCGUUCUUCUUUCAAACUACACGUUUUAACCGUGUUUGGCUGCGGUCGCUCGUCCACUACGUUGGAUGUUGUUGAUCGGAAGACUUCACCGUCGUUAUCUCCGCCGCAGACGCCGACGUUUCAGUGGGAAAGCGAGGGGAAGUGGCACGUGAUCGCUCAUGUCACCGAAGAAGAAAACGAAACGCCUCGCCGGAAAAUUUACGACGGUGGGUCGGAGAAAGAUCACAACCGCCGACGUUUAAAGAAGAAGGAGAGAUCAAACUCACGGCGGAGAGGGAGCAUAUCCUCCGCCGAAGAAGAGACGGAUAGAGAGAGUCUCUUACCGUCUUCUACAAACCUCUCGCCGGAAUAUUCCUCCUCAGAGCUGCGACGUGUCACAAGAAGACGUAGACACGUUCCCAAGAAGUCAGCGAUCGUUGAAGAAAGCGAGUCAUCGUCACCACCACCGUCUCCGGCGAGGCUUUCUUCGUUUGUUCAAAGACUGAUGCCGUGUACGACGGCGGCUGCGGUUAUGGUUGAAGGAGUAGCGGUGGUGAAGAGAUCAGAAGAUCCUUACGAAGAUUUCAAAGGUUCAAUGAUGGAGAUGAUUGUAGAAAAGAAGAUGUUCGAAGUAGCUGAACUUGAACAGCUUCUUAGUUGCUUCUUAUCGCUAAACGCGAAACGCCACCACCGCGCGAUUGUUAGAGCGUUUUCAGAGAUUUGGGUUGCUUUGUUCGCCGGUGGUAACGGUGCCGGUGGUGGUGGUGGUGGUCGGAGAUCAUCCUCCUUCUCUAGUGUUCGACUCUCCGAUUACGAAGAGUGUUAAUAAUAAUAUAUAAGUUAUCAUUUUAAUUAAGUGGUCAAUGUAAAUGUUAAAUGUAAAUUAUGCGGCGGUGCAAUAAUUAAAACUGUAAUGAUUAAAAUGCGUAGGCCAAUUUAAAAUAUGUAUUUGUACGAUUUAGAUUCUAAAAUGCUUAAGAUUGGAUAUAUAGAUUUAUUGAUCAUAUUCGUCAACACCAACCAAAAAAAACAAAUAUAUUCAUAUCCACACGCAAUAGUUGCUUUUUAAAAAAAAAUAUAUCAUAUUAUUCGUAAACAAAGUUAGUGUGUGGAUUGAAAUAAAUUCACAAAAAAAUGUAUACAAAAAUAGUUUGAAGAACCAAACACAAGAAGCAGAACUGUGGGUUUCACGUUUUUACCAUAGACAAGAACACUUAAGAUAGGAACAGAUGUUCACUUUUUCUUUUACUUAUCUUUACACGUUCGAUUAUAAAUGCUUAGUAGGUGACACUUGGACGGUCGAUGUGGACCAUUUUGGUUCACCAAAUGAAGUGACAAAUGAUUGAAAUCAUUAAGAGACAAAAAAAAUUGAAUAUUUGUCCUUUUACACUUCUCUCAGACAAUAAAACAUAUACAGAGAUGUGUCUCUAUCUCUAGUGUUUUUUUUUACUAGGGGUUUUAAAUCUGAAGCUGAAUCAUCAUCACACAGUCUGAUUCUCGAGAUGAAUCAAUCUGAGUUUAGAAUGGUCAGAGAGAGUUUGGAUUUGGAGUGAGUGAAUUGGAGAAAUGGGUCCAUAACUUGAAGUACAAGCCAUCUCUGUUCCAUCACUGAUCACUACUUGUAUCCUCUUUUAUUGUUUAGAGUAAAAAGCAACCUCUAAGGUCAGAAGUUGAAUUAUUGAGUUUUUACAGCAAGGUUUUGGUAAAUAUUAAAGCACACGGCAUCAGAGAUUCUGCAACACAAAACGAGAACAUCACUAAAAACAAGACAAUGACACUAAGUUCUACGCUCUCUCUCUCUCUCUCUCUCUAAACAGAAGAUAAGAGAUUCUCUGCAGACAAGACAAUAUAGAAUAUUGUGUUAUCUCUCCCCCUCUCUCUCUCUCACUCUCUCUCUCCCUAAGGUUUCAUUGAGUCUAAAAGGGAAGUGAGAAAAUCCUUUGGUUUGAUUACUUGUCAUUAAAGAAAGGGUUUACAAAUAGUUGAUUUUGGUCCAAGACUGAAGAGAUGAUUAUUAUCAACCUUGGUGUGGUGGCGGUGGAGGCAUAGACAUGUGAUGGUGUUGGUAUGGUGGUGGUUGUUGUUGUGGUGGUCCACCUUGUUGCUGCAUGUGUUGUGGCGGGCCUGGCGGCCAUCCUCCAUGUUGGUGCAUUCCCAUGGCUUGAGGCGGAGGAGGCGGCCUCGGACCACCAAAACCUUGUUGGUGGUUAAGAAACUGUGGUGGUGGCGGCGGCACACCCUGAGGCGGACGGAAAUGCAUGGGCGGUGGGACCAAGCUAUGUUGUGGUGGUUGAGAUGGCCAGGAUGGUGGCUGAGUUUGAUAUAUUUGAGGAGGUGGUGGCGGUGGUGGACGGGCGGCGGGGAUCGGGAUAGGUUGCAUUCCGCCAUUGACAAAUGGACGUGGUAAACCAUUAACUUGAGGAGCAUUGGAUGGGGGGCCAGUUGCAAAUAGCGUAUGGGGUCUGCUUUUCUGGGCAGUUGGAUUCGUGGCAGCCAAAAGCCUCUCUGCAAUUCACAAAAGUAAACCGUUGUGUUCAAAUGAUGGAGCGAAACUGAUUCCAAAAAUUUAAGACGAGAAGAGUAUAAAGAUCCUAACCUGCUGGAGUACCAUGGCGCUCUCCUUUGGUGUCUUUCUUGUAUGCGUAAGAUACUGUUAUUUGACGAUUACACAGAUAUUGUCCAGUCAUUGCCUGCAAUAGUUGGACAACGAUCAGAGGAAUAUACUACCAUUGGAUUAGGUGAACAGGGAUGUUAUACAUGUAAAAUAUAGUGGACUCAAUCAAGUAUCAUAGAACUGCGAGAUAUGAAAGAAGCAGAUAAUUACCUCAAUAGCAGCAUCAGAUGCCUCAAAGGAGUCAUAGCUGAUGAAACCAAAACCUCGUGAGUUUCCAGUAUCCGGAUCUCUCAUUAUCUGAAACGAAACAUAUUCUAACAUUAGAGUCUAAAUCGCAAGACCAUUCUUUUCAACAAAUGGUUUAUUACUAUUGAUUGGGUGACCUUAGGAUCAAGAAUCAUGGACUGACAUCUAAUGAAAUAAAUAAAAAAUACCUUAGGAUUAGAAGCAAUCACACCAAAUGCACUGAAAGUAUCAUACAACUGCUUCUCAUCCACAUCCUAUAAAAUAAAACAAACCCUGGUCAGCUACGAGAGUAAAUUAGAUUUGUAGAGUAACAAAACCAGAGUGUACCCCCGAGAUACUUACAGGGUCAAGGUUCCCAAUGAAAAGGUUAGCACCAACAUCCAAACUUUUCUUAUCUUGAGACGCCUAAUACAAUAUUAAUCAGCAAACAAAAUGUUAGCAAGUCAAAGGAGAUAUACUAAAUAAGUCUCUGCAUCAAAACUCACAAAAUCCAUCCGGUCAAGAUCUCGAGAAUUCAUAAGGAACUGAAACAUAAGACAGGAUGCUGAACAAUGGAUGUUACAGAAAAAGUUUGAUACCUUGUUAACACGUAUAGGCUUCCCAUAGAGCUUAAUCAUGUUAAGAACCUUAAUUGCCUGCACAAAAGCAUCAAAAUUUGUUAACCAUUGUCCCCAAAAGGAAAUCUAAGAAACUCCUCACAGUAAGGAAAAAGAGCAAAACUUACAUAGUCAGCAUCUUCCUCACUACGGUAUUCAAUAAAGCCAUAGUUCUGAUGAAGAUUUGUCACUCUAUCUUUCGGAACAUAGACGUUAACUGAUACAAUCCAAAAAACCAGAGAAAGCUAAUAUCAGAAUAUUACCAAGUUCCUAACCCAAACCCUAUCAUUUCGUUUCAAGUUCCAUUAGCUACCGAAGGAGAAAUUGAUAUGAACUUACCAACAGGUCCGGCUUGAACAAACAAUUCCCAAAGCAAUUCUUCAGAAAGCUGACAUUUCAAAGACGAAAUGAAAUCAAUUUCACUAAAUAUUCAGCUCAAAUCACAGACGAAGAUGAGAAAAACACAAAACCUAAAUAGUUAAAAGAACCUGAGCAUCGAGAUUCCCAACGUAUACAGUGGCGUCUUGGUUCCUCUCAGCGGAGUGUUGGCCGAGAAGAUUAGCUCCAACACCAGGAGCGAUUCGAGUCGUCAUCUUCUUCUUCUGCUUCUUCUUCUCCUUGUUUCCUUACUCCGUCGCCCGCCGAUUGAGAAAUCUGAGAUUUUGUAGCUUCUAGAACGAAGAGAAGAGUGACGAAAGAGGUUUAUUUAUUUUUAGUGAGCCGUCAUUAAUGGGCCUAUAUACCCAUUAAGCUUUUCUUUUUAGAUCCACUAAGAAAGAGGUUUAUUUAUUCUUAGAGUGUGCCGUCAUUAAUGGGCCCAUAUACCCAUUAAGCCUUUCUUUUUAGAUCCACUAAGCUCUUUAGCCCAUUUGUUUUUAUUUAUUCAAUCUACAAUUUGCUAGAAGAAAACUAACUAAUGGGCCUAUAGUAUUGUAGUCUUAAACCCUAAAGACAUUUGUGGGUUUUAGUUUUACGACACUAUCACUCCCUCCUCCUCCGUGCACGGUGGCCGACGCUUGCUCGCAAUGACGCCGUCUCGUUUAUAUCUCAGCUUCCUCCGCCGCUUCUCCACCGCCGCUGUAACCACUGCUUCUUCCGGCCCAAUCACUAUCUCCAAAGCUAAACUCAAACUCCGCAAAGUACACGAUCCCGACAAAGCCUUGGCGAUUUACAACUCCGUCUCCAAAAAUGCCUCAUCUCCUCUCUCCUCACGCUACGCCAUGGAGCUCACAGUCCAACGCCUCGCCAAAUCUCAACGCUUCUCCGACAUAGAAGCUUUGAUUGAGUCUCACAAAAACAAUCCGAAGAUAAAAACAGAGACUUUUCUCUCUACAUUGAUCAGAUCUUAUGGAAGAGCUUCAAUGUUUGAUCAUGCUAUGAAGAUGUUCGAGGAGAUGGAUCAGCUCGGCACACCCAGAUCCGUUGUUUCCUUCAAUGCCUUACUCGCUGCUUGCCUUCACUCUGAUUUGUUCGAAAGAGUCCCCCAACUGUUCGACGAAAUUCCUCAGAGGUAUGAUAAUAUAACUCCUGAUAAAAUCUCUUACGGUAUGUUGAUUAAAUCGUAUUGUGACUCUGGUUCGCCUGAAAAAGCUAUGGAGAUUAUGAGAGAUAUGGAGGUUAAAGAAGUGGAAGUUACCAUCAUUACUUUCACCACUAUAUUAGGGUCUUUGUAUAAGAAUGGCUUAGUAGAUGUAGCGGAAAGCUUGUGGUCCGAGAUGGUGAAUAAAGGUUGUGAAUUGGAUAACACGGUUUAUAAUGUUAGACUGAUGAAUGCUGCGAAGGAAAGCCCCGAGAGAGUCGAGGAAUUGAUGGAAGAAAUGAGUAGUGUAGGAUUGAAACCUGAUACAGUUAGCUAUAACUAUCUCAUGACUGCGUACUGCGUGAAAGGAAUGAUGGGUGAAGCCAAGAAAGUGUAUGAAGGGCUUGAGAAAGAACACAAUUGUGUUCCAAACGCAGCGACGUUUAGGACGUUGAUAUUCCAUCUGUGUAUAAACGGGUUGUAUGAUCAAGGUUUAACGGUGUUUAAGAAGAGUGCGCUGGUGCACAAGAUUCCGGAUUUCAAAACGUGUAAGCAUUUGACUGAAGGAUUGGUGAAGAAUAAUAGAAUGGAAGACGCAAGAGGAGUGGCUAGGACUGUGAAGAAGAAAUUCCCUCCGCGGUUAGUAACCGAGUGGAAGAAACUAGAGGAAAAGCUCGGAUUGUAUUCAAAGGCCAGUGUUGCUGCUGCUGCUUCAUCUUCUUCUCAAACAAGAGAAGUGUUAGAUCAAGAAAGAGACGAUGUUGCAUAAAGUUCAAGAAUUUGCUAAGAAAGAUCUUGUUUUUGUCUGUGCUUACUCGCUUCAGCUUAUUUUAUGACUUGUGGAACUGUGAUCUAGCGUGAUGAAGAUUAUAAUACAUGAGUUUAUCUUAGAUUCGAGUUUGAUAUAAAUAUUUCAAUUCCAGUUGGUAACUCAACACUUGCUUUAGAUUUUGAUUUAGUUACUCAAUUUACCACAAACUUCAUCUUCGCAAAGACAAAUCGCUACCUCAUCCGUUAUACUACACUCUCAUUCUUUUCCACAUCUCAUAAACAUCAAACUUUAUAUCAUAAAGAGAUGCUCAGAUUUACAAAAACAAACACUCAAACCAAUAUGCCUUAAGUCUCGUCCACCAUAACUUCCAUGGUAGCGAAGUGUGGUUGUGGCUGGGGCGGCCAUCUCCGCUUUGCUUCUUCUUCUUCUCGUUUCCUUCGUUCCUCUUCAGCUCUUUUAGCUGCUUCUUCUUCUCUCUUCCUCUCUUGUUCUCUCCUCAUAGCCUCCUCUUCACGUUUCUUCCUCUCCAUCUCUUCUUUCUCUUUCCUCUGUCUUUCUUCCUCUCGUCUUUUCGCCAUCUCUUCUUCUUCACGCCGCUUCCUUUCUUGCUCCUCAUGUCUCUUCCUCUCAAUUUCCUCACGUUCUUUUCUUUGCCUCUCUUCCUCUUGUUUCUUAGCCAUCUCUUCUUCUCUCUUUCUCUCCUCUUCUCGCUUCCUAGCUUCUUCUUCACGUCUUUUCCUCUCCAUUUCCUCUCGCUCUUUCUUCUGCCUCUCUUCUUCUCGUUUCUUCGCCAUUUCUUCUUCCUCACGUCUUCUCCUCUCUUCUUCUUGACUCUUAGCUUCCUCUUCUUCUCUUUCCCUUUCUUCUUCUCUCUUUCUCGCCUCUUCUGCUUCCUCCUCACGUCGCUGAGCUUCUUCCUCCUCCCUCUUCCUUUCUUCUUCUCUCUUUCUUGCCUCCUCUUCUUUCCUUCUACGCUCAAUUUCUUCCUCUUCACGUCUCCGCUUCUCUUCCUCUCGUCUCUUAGCUUCCUCCUCCUCCCUCUUCCUUUCUUCUUCUCUUUUCCUUGCUUCCUCUUCCUCUUUCCUUCUUCGCUCAAUUUCUUCCUCCUCACGUCUCUUCCUCUCUUCAAUCUCCCUCAUAAUCUUUGCAAGCUCUCCCUCCGCACAAGACACACAAUCCAAUAUCACAUUUUCUCUCUGAGCUUCCAAGAGCCCCUUUAUUGUCUCAUUACUCAAGUUGAAAGACACCGCAAGUACCAUCGGGUCCAAUACUUUCAGAACCGAGCUCGGUCCUACUAAGAACUGAGGGUGGUUCGUCUUCGCUGAAGUGCUAAACCCCAUAAAUACAAAUGAACUGUUUUCAAAAGACAUUUGAGCCAUAGGACGAAACUUCGGCACAACAAAAACAUCUCCUUCCUCAACCAUGAACCUCUCGCUCUUGCUAUUGUUCUUGCAAGAAGACAACGAUUGUUGGUUAACCACCCGUAUCAUACCUUCCCCUUGUAUCACAAUGGAUAUCUCACAAGCACUAGGGUUCCAAUGCGGUGCCAUCAUUGAUCCCUACAUAAUUCAUUUUAAGUCACAUCAAGACAAGACUACUAACUCAUGAACCAAUCCAAUAUGGUAUUAGAAUUAAGUGCCUUAACCUUAGUUAGAUUGACCAUGAAAACACCAAAUCUUGAACCCUUUAAAGCAUCCAAAUCUUUUUCAUCUACCACUAUGCUCCGACCAUUGUUGUUCUCAAAGUCCGGGUCAGCCUCAAAAACAUUGAACGUUCUUGAUUUCUUUUUGUUAACAUCAACGAUUGGUUUCAUGGCCAAAUGAUCAGCGACAUCUUCAACUCUAACAAAGAGCCUAACAAGCCGUGUUUGCCACUUAUCCUCCUCCGAGCUUUGUGUUCUGUUUCUCGGCAGAGCAUUUAUGAUCAGCGGAGGCUUUGUUGCAUCUCUUAUCCUCCUCAAAACAUCCUCAUGAACCUUCCACAUCAUCAACACCAAUGUAAUCAGUUAAACAACAACCACAUAUAAGAUUAUGUCAUGUAGUAGACGUACGUACCGCAAAAGCUGACCGGAGAGUUCUAUCGUCGAAACCCAAUAAAAGGUCUCUAAUACUCGAGUAGGCUCCAAGGCAUGGAUCGUUUAAACACUUCCCCACGUCAAAGAUUGCGUAAAGCCUAAGUUUCUCUGGAACUUUGUCUCUCUCCAAGCUAUUGCUAUGUACGUAGAAGACUGUACCGGACCUUAGCCUAUAAACAUCUCCUCUUCUUAAUUCUAACGUCCUCUCGCUCUCCUCCUCCACCCAAUUUAAAGUCCCACUUCCUAAUACACAAUAACACAAUCUUAAUUACAAUCAAAGUAGAUAUAAAUAAUCAAUUUUAAGUUACAUUAUAUUUAUUUAAUUUUUAAUGAGCCAGUGAGUAGAAAAUUCAAGUGUUACCAGUGUGAACGAAUAAGACCAUGUCGGAAUGGAGAAGAAGAGGAAGCAAGAGUGCGUUUGGCUCCAAUGUUAUGAACUGAAGGUGAUAUCCAUCACCGAUCUGAACGGUUGAUAUCUCUCCGAACUCAGUUGUGACGAUUGGUGUGCGUUGAUCCCUCUUGACCAGAAGUGGUGAAGAAAACGAAGAUGGGACGAGGCCAUUAUGGUCGGGAAAAGACUGUGUGAAGAGGAACAGGGUGAUGAGAUAGACACAAACAGAGAGUGGAAGUAACGUAAAUCUCGACAUUGUUGGUUACUUUUAGUUGCAUACUCUAAUGAGACUAUUCAGAUCUUUUUAUUAACGCAUAAAGAGAAGUAUAUGGGAACUAGAGAGAGAUGGUGUAUGGACACUUGUCGUGAUAAGUGAACACGUGUAACGUUACCUUGACACGUGGUGAAUUAAUUCUUGAUACUAAUCUUGAUAUUCAUGAAUGACCAUCGUUGAAGAAAAUAUUAUGAUAUCGUCGAAGAUAAAACAUACUCGCUUUUGAUUGGUGACUAAACAAAUGUUAAAAUCGUUGAAGGGGAAAAAUUGUGAUUUGUGCUUGCACUUUUCUAUGGAGCUUCGUGGCAAUAUUUCAUUAUCUCUAAUGAUGUGUGGUAAUUAGAUAAAAUUCUAAAGUAGUAAAAGUCCAGCCCAUUAUGUUAAUGUAGUUGCAUGCAUUAGGUUUUGUUAUGGUUAUAGAAAACUUCGUAUUUUGUGUGCAUAUAAAUUAAGAGAAAGAAAAUGUUUGCUCAAAUUAAACUCUUACUUUUUUUUAAAAUUAAACUCUUACUUUUUUGUAUGUUUUUAUUAAGUUCUUGCAAGUUAGCAGAUUAAUGAUCAUGUUUAUUUAACACUAUAACAUGACCUAAGCAUAAGUUAGGUCUAAGUCAAGUAGAGCAUGCUAUAUUGCACAAGUGGGGAGAAACACACUAUUUGGUAGAAGAAUAUAUAUAAAGGAUGGGAGAACGAUUACAUUUGAUUUCGACUAAAGGUAGGUGUGAAAGAGUACUGAUCAAUACUAAUAUAUAGUGUUAGAAAUGUGAGUGAAAGGGAGUAAAUUAUAUGAAUGGAAAACGUGUAAAGUAAUAUAAUCUUAGAGCAAAGGCUAAAAUACCCAAACAACAUAUCCAACCUUCCAAAAUAUGAUUCCCCCAUUUCUAAGAAAAGCAUGUUGUGAAUGUGACUACUCAUUAUGUUACUUUUCCAAAUUGUAAGAGAUUGAAGAUGCUCCACUCCUCUUUCCCUAAGAUUUCUUGUUAAGUUCACUUUUUAGUGAUUUUAAAAUAUUUCUAUAGUUUUUGAUCACGAAAAACAUUUAAAAAUUGUGACAAAGUUUGUGCUAUUUGUAAAUGCCACAAAUAGGUUAAACUAAGGUAUAGAUUUGAUCAUGAGUGAGUUAUGAAAAUUAAUUAUGAACAUAUGUGUAGUCAUAGAUUGAUAGGAAAUAUUCGUAGAUAAAACUUUCUAGUAAUUUUCUCUUUUGAAUCAUUAAGUUAUAUUGGUCUUCUUUACAAUUACUCACUUCGCUACAAAUCUAUAUGUAACCAUUUACAUCGUUUUUCUUGCACUAUGCAACCAUUUACUUACUUUAAAAUUUUGUUACAUUUUUCUAUUUUGGCACUAUAAGUCGAUUUACGAACGUCAAUAUAAAUCUAGAAGUACCUAGAAAAAAAUUAUGAAACACAUGCAUGAGUCAUGAACCAUGAAGAAAGAACUACAUGCCAUAUAGAUUAACGUCAAGUGGAAAUUUUUAAGUGAAAGCUCAAAAGAAAAAGAAAAAAACCCAUCAAAAUGAAACUAUUUUUAACUUCGAAUCAAUCAUUGGGGUUAUACAUUAUCGUUAGAUAUGCACAGCUAUGAACUUCACAAAAAAAAAAAAAAAAAAACCUUUCUCGAUCUUUUUAUGAAUUUUAACCUUUCUAUGUUUAUAUAUUAAUGAAAGCGAUCUUUUUAUAUGUGUGAAUGACAUAAAAUCAGAAUCUACAAGCAAAAAAAUAAAACCUUUAUUGCUUUUGUAAGCUUCAAGCUUUCCUUACUUUUAAAAUGAAACGUAUGUGCGUUGUGUAUCAUCGGCCUCUCCUUUGUUUUCCUUACUUCCUAAGUAUUUGACUCUUUUUCUUUUGUUAAGAGUCUAAAACAAAUAACUUCCAUUAGUGAAAUCUUCACAAAACUUCAUCAUAUUUGGAAACAACUAGGAAUGAAAACAUGUUUAACCUAUAUAUUAGAGGUGCCCGUUAUGUUAAAACUCAUAUUUACUUAGCGAGCUAUGUGUGACCCUAAGAAUCUAAUACACUUUGCCAAAUUCCUAUGAAAAAAUACUCGCAAAGUUGGAACAAUACUAUACAUCAGUUGAUGGAUUUGUUUUAAAAAUAUGAUCACAUGUGCUAAAUUAGCUUAGUUUAGAUUUUAGACUGCUGAUGAAUAUUUAAGGUUUUAAGAACAUUAUUAAUGGUGGAAUUAUAGGUAUAAGAUUUACGCUAGAGAGUAUAUUAACGGUGGGAUUAGGUAUAACUUAUAAGUAACACAAUAAUACUACAUCGUAAAAGAUGAAAAGGUGACUUUUUCUCCAAUUUGGCUUCCAAGUGUUUUGAUUUGAAAUAAGAAUUCACAUGAGGUGCAUAUGUGCAUGGUUUAUGAAUCUAUAAAAAGAAAAUAAAAUGUUUUUUUGUGAUUAGAAAUCAAACAUAGUGUGUAACUCCAACAUCAGCAAAAAUCUUGAAUUUGAUACACAACUAACCAAAAAAAAAAGUAAAGUAAAAGAAUAUAUCUUUUAAAUCUACAGUACAAUUAUUGAUAUAAAAACACAACAUGACAAUUUAAAAAACCUCACUUUUACAAAAACAAACACAAACCUUUCUUCUUCCUCAAACAUGAGAGCCCCUGCUUCUUCAGACAACACCAACAGUAACUCAAAUCUCAUCUGCUAUAAUAACGAACCUACUUCUGUCCUCGAUCUCCGCCGAAGCCCAAGUCCAGCUACGGCGGAGGAGAAACCAGUUGGUAAUAAUAAUACUAAUCAAUUCCCUAUAGAAGAUGAUCAUCAUCAUCAUCAUGUGAUGCGUUCAAUGGAUUGGGAUUCAAUUAUGAAAGAGUUAGAAUUAGAUGACGAUUCUACCCCUACCCUCAAGUCUAAUUUCCCAACUUUUGCCAUUUCUCCACCUCUCCCUGUCUUUCCCGAUCAGUUUCAUCCGCCGGAGUUUCCUGGUCACGGUCACGGAUUCAUCGACAACAACAACGAAGGUGGUGGUGGAUUUGAUUUCGUUGAAGAUCUCAUACGAGUCGUGAACUGUGUUGACUCGGACGAGUUACAACUCGCUCAGGUGAUAUUGUCACGGCUCAAUCAACGUUUGAGAUCUCCGACGGGAAGGCCGUUAGAGAGAGCAGCGUUUUACUUUAAGGAAGCUCUCGGUUCUCUAAUAACCGGAACUAACCGGAAUCAAAACCGGUUAUCUUCCUGGUCCGAGAUUGUUCAAAAAAUCAGAGCGGUCAAAGAGUUCUCCGGUGUAUCUCCGAUCCCUCUCUUCUCUCAUUUCACGGCGAAUCAAACGAUCCUCGAUUCAUUAACCGUACGUUCAUCUUCGCCGCCGUACGCUCACGUCGUUGAUUUCGAAAUCGGAUUUGGUGGUCAAUACGCGUCGCUCAUGAGAGAGAUCGCCGAGAAAUCAGUUAACGGAAUCGGGUUUUUAAGAGUUACGGCGGUUGUUACGGAGGAUUCCGCCGUCGAGACGCGUCUUGUUAAAGAGAACUUAGCUCAAUUCGCCGCGGAUCUGAAAAUCAGAUUUCAAAUCGAGUUCGUUCUGAUGCGUACGUUUGAGGUGUUAUCUUUCAAAGCGGUUAGGUUUGUUGAAGGAGAGAGAACCGUCGUUUUGUUAUCUCCGGUGAUAUUCCGUCGUUUAAACGGAAUCUCCGGUUUCGUUAACGAUUUACGGCGAGUUUCGCCGAAGGUCGUCGUCUUCGUCGAUAGCGAAGGAUGGACGGGAAUCUCAGGAGGAGCUGGAUCGUUUCAGAGAGAGUUCGUUAGUGGUUUAGAGUUUUACACGAUGGUGUUUGAAUCUCUCGACGCCGCCGUUGCUUCUCCGGGAGGUGGUGAUUUGGUGAAGAAGAUCAUAGAAGCGUUUGUGUUGCGACCUAAAAUCGCGUCUGCGGUUGAAGCGGGUGCGGAUAAGAGAGGAGGAGAGAUGAUGACGUGGCGAGAAGCGUUCUGUGCGGCGGGGAUGAGGAUGGUUCCGUUGAGCCAAUUCGUUGAUUUUCAAGCUGAGUGUUUAGUGGAGAAAGCGCAAGUCAGAGGGUUCCACGUGGCGAAACGUCAGGGAGAGUUAAUGCUUUGUUGGCACGAAAGGUCUCUCGUUGCCACGUCAGCUUGGCGGUUUUAUUGAACUAACCGGGAUUGGUUGAAUAUAGUUGUUGUAGAGGGUUUGGUUUGAUUUGGUUUUAUUAUUUCUAUUCUAUAAACAUUAUUAACAAGAUUAUAAAUAUAAACAAUCCGUAAUUCCAAAUAAGAACCACUCUAAGGGGGUGUAUUCAAAGUGGAAUUUUAAGUGAUUUGUAAAAAGUUUACAAAUCCAGUGUUAUUCAAUCAUGAAUUUUAAAAAGUCUCAUGAAAUCCAGUGUUAUUGAACUAAUCAUUUUAAAAUCCACCUUAAAAUCCAUUGUUAUUGAAAACAGUUUGUGGAUUUGAUUUUAAAUGAUUUCAGAGGAUUUUAGUGGAUUUCAGAGAACUUCCUUAGUUAAAAAUAUAAGAAUCCAAAUCUCAUAGUUUUAAGUGUCUUCUCCUUAUGCUCACUUCCAUCAGCAUAUUUUUUUGCUCUUCUAUUACUAAUUUUCCCCCUUAUUUCAUUUUUCUUUAAACUCUUUAUCAUCAAAUGAUUCGAGUUGCGAUUCGAGUAAAAUACAUAAUUACUGGACGAAAGUUUCUCUAAAAUCAAUAAUAAUCAAAAUUAACGGUUAUUGGCUCCACCUCAUGACAAUAUUACAACAUUUGACUAUGAAUCAAGGCUUACAUUUCUCCUCAAUUUCCUUGACAACCAAGGCAAGGAUCGAGGGAGCUCCUAGUUCAUCAGUUUUUUUACAUCAAACUUACACCAUAAUUCUAUAGCUAAAUAAGGACUUGCUCAAUUCCUUCAUAUCAAACACAUAUAUACAACAAAUUCAUUCUCUAAAUUUUUCAAGGCUCUUUCAAAUUUAUUUUUGAUCCAUUUUGAUACAAGGAUGCAUUCAUUGUAAAAAGAACAUUAUUUUGUUUUGAAUUUGUUUACACAUUCUUAAAAAAAAAAAAAAUAGACAACGAAGAGAUACAUAAGCUCCACAAAGCGAAAUUCAGACAAAACAAAACAUAAGAACUGGAAUUUUGUAAUAACAUUGAGAAAUGGCAAUUCAUAUACAAUUUCUGUGUGAAUUGAGAAAUGGCAAAUUAACAUUAAUCUGCCCCAAGACACCUUUCCUACUUUCUCGUUUUCUAGAUCAUAAAGAUUCAAGAACUCAUCUUCAUUGUAGGCAACCCCAUUAAUUGGCCAUUGAAAGAGUAAUCUUCUUAAAUUGAAUGUGAGUGGUUGAAAAAUAAAUGAAUGAUAACAAAUACCGUAUUUAUUCAAUUUGGUCCCAACAUCUAACUACAUAUAGAAACACAAAUUAAAACACGUUGGUAAAAAAACUACAUUCUUAUAUUUCCCUCUUCAGUCUACUCAUAAGUACGCUUCUUAAGGAUUCUUCUAAAUUUUUAUCCGUAAAUGUUUCACUUUCCUAAGCUGGUUAAAAGAAUAUUAAGCACCCUAAUGCAAUUAUUGAAGUAACACAAAAUUUUAAGAGAUCUUUUCUUCCUAUCUAUCCAAAAAAAAAAAGAGAGAGGAGAAAUUAAUUUCCCGGACCAUGCAAUGUGAUGAAGGGGCCGGGGAUCAAUUACAGUUUGUGGUUGCAAAUUGUAGACCUACUAGUAUUUAAGCGAGCCUUGUGUCAUCACCUACAAGCUUAAAUCUCCACAUACAUUAUAUUUUGAGAUCAAACAACUAAUCAAUCAAAAAAAUGGAUGCAAAAACUUUGGUUCUAAGUGUGCUCGUAAUGAGUCUGUUCAUGGCACAAAUUCAAGUCGACGCCAAGAGCUGUUGUCCAUCCUCCACUGCUAGAAACAUCUAUAACACUUGCCGCUUUGGAGGAGUUCCAAGUUCAAUAUGUGUAGGCCUCAGUGGCUGUCUAUUAAUUGGUGGGUCGAAAUGUCCUAACGGAUAUACAUAUGACGUUCUCGAAAACACAGGUACAUUGAUUAUUAUCGCGAUAUAUUACAUACAUUAUUUGUUACAAAACGGAUCAAGAUUUCAUUUGUUUGAUGUGUUUUUAUUUUUCUUUCUUUUCCAAGGUAAUGCUGUCCAAAAUUACUGCAAGUUGGGGUGCGUAUCCUCCGUAUGCGGUGCCCUAACCAUCCUCGAGAACUCUGGUAAACAAACCUCUCAAACUCAUCAUCACUAUCAUUUGAUUUUUUAUACAAACCUCUCAAAUUUUGUUUUGAUAACUAGAUGCAAGUAAAAUCGUGACUGGAGCGGUUGAAAAAUGUGUCAACGCAUGUUCUACCGUCUGCACCAAGGGCUCGAUGAAUGCAGUUGAAAUCGCCUAGACAACCAUAAAAAUACCACGGGUGAAGCCGUGAAGGAGGUUCACAAUGUUGUUGUUCUUCAUUUUUUCAAUAAUUGUCAUGUAUGUGACAGAUACACUGUUGCGUGUUUGUUUAUGUGUGUAGAAGGUUGUCAAUCUGUAGAUUGUAUAUGCCUUAUGUUAUGUAUCUUUUUUUUUUUUUUGAAUGAAUGUUAAAUUUAUUAACCAAAAAAAACUGUUUUACAAUAUAUCCAGCUUUUAGUAGAAAGGUUAUUGAAAUAGAUUAAAAAAACAGCUCUAAUAUUGAUCUAAAUUUGUGGUCUCGAAGCAAACCAAACUUGAAGUCCAUUUUGGUGUUUUCCUUGUUGUAAGGAGCAGAGCCUGUUACGUAUAAUAUGUUAUGUAUCUUUUCAUUAAUGAAGAAAUAUUGUUUGUAUUAUUCUUAUGUUCUCAUCCAUUUUCUGUUGUUCUUUUCUUUUUUUCCCGAACAAUAGUCUUUCUAUGAGUAUCUCAUAUCAUGACAACAUAUGCUUCUUAAUUAAUAACCAUUUUUUUUGAACUAUUUUUUUCUCAUUAAGGUUAUUUUCGAGCUUUUUUUAACGUCAACUUUGAACUAGAACGUUUUGUAAACCUUUAAAUUGAGUUUCCAAAUAAUAUUUUAGAAGAUAUUAUUGAUGUUUGUUUAAGAAGUGGAGUGAAUUAGAAUCGUCACUGAACUUGAAAAGUCUAAAUUAGUAUUUUUAAUAGAAUUCAUUUAUUAACUCUACUAACAACAAUAUUAUCUUCGUGUUACUAAUAUAUCUUCAAUAUUAUGUAUUUACUUGCACACGAUAAAAUUUUACUACCAUUAGAGAUAAUAAUAACAAGAUUAAAUGUUAAAUGGAAAGUUAUAUAAUGGGAAACACGUAAACAAUAGGAUCACUAGUGACCAUUACUUUGAAUUUGAAUUCGGCGCCUGCGGAAGAUAAACAUUUUAAAUCUUUAUAAUAUCUACAUAAUUAACAAAAUAAGUGUGGAGUCCUCUCAAAACCUUUGAACAAAAAAAUAAUAAAUGUAUUUUAGUGACAUAAAUAGCCAAAUAAUUUUUUAAAACCUCUUUGUAUACAUGUUUCUUGAAACCGGGAUGUCACAACCAUGGGCGGAUUUAGGGUGGGGCAUGUACCCUAUACUCCUUCUUAAAGUUUAGAUAAUAGUUAUAUUGUAAUUGAUUCCCUUGGCUCAGUUGGCAAUUGAUCACUUCUUGUGUUUUCUAGGAUGUGAGUUCGAAUCUGGCUGUUGCUUUUUUCAGUUAUAUUUUUUUUUCCCAAUUAAAAUAUUCUCUGAAAAAUAUUAGUAAACCUAAUAAAUUACUAACAUUAAACAAAAGUGCUCUCUUUUGUAUUUUUUAAUGUUUCUUAUUAAGAAAUUAAAUAUAUAUAUAUAUAUAUAUAUAUGUUAUAUGUAAUUAAAUGUACAAAAUGAGCCUAAGUUUUUGAAAGUUCUGUUUUUAUUGGUUUAGAUUCCGUUUUCAAUUUCAAACUUUAAAAUAUAUUAAUAAUUUUCAAUAUACAGUACAUUAAUAUUAUCCCAAAUAUAUGUUUAUAAUAUAAGUUUGAAAUUAUUAAUUAUAUGUACUUUGUGCUCCAUACAAUAUGUUUCUCUACAUCAGCCACUGGUCACAACAAAUGUUUUGGUUUGAUGGAUGAAACACUGGAAGCAAUGAGGGAGACUUAAAGCUUGUCGUGUGACUAGAAUCAACAUUUAGGACUCGACAUUGUAAAGAUUAUCUAUACUCUUAAGUUUAAAGUAUUGUUCUUUUCGCGUUUAUUAAACUUUCGGUAAAAGAAUCGAUCCUCUUAACAAUUGGUGAAGCCUUUUAACUCUUUUUUCUUUUUUCAGCAAUAUAUCAUAACAACUGUUGAUUUGGGGUAUAAGUUCUAUAUGGGGGAUUAGUAAUUUUUAUAAUUUGAUUGUUAAUCAUAACUCCUUAUUUGUAGUUUAUACUAUUUACAUGAAUUUAAUAACAGUAUUAACAAAGGUUGGUUUUUUGAUUAAAAAAAAAACAAAGGUUGGUAAAAGUUUGGUCUCAGUCUCUCAGAAUAAACUAGAGCCAAAAUUUCUUGCUAAGAUAUUUUAUUAUAUAAAGUUUGAUUUCAAAAAGUUUUAAUUCACGUGAUCGUGACACAAAUCAUAUCUAUCAAUUAUAUUUUGACACAUGCAAAAUAAAAAGUUAUAGAAUUUUUUUUUAAAGAUAUUACACAAUAGAUUAGAAAUUGUGAGAAUAAAAGGAAACUUACAUACAAAUUUACAAUCACGAAUGUUAGAAUUAUAAACAAGUUCUCUCGGUCUAAUGUGUAAAAAUAUUGAUAUGGCUCAAACAUUUAAUUCAUCUACUUUGUGACAAAAGCUUCCCACUAAAAACUGUGUCUUUAAUUCAUAUCAAUUUGCGAUUACUUUUUUUCAUCACAAUGAAGUCAACUAAUAAUAUUAUAACCGUCGCGAAUAUGAGAGGAUUUAACAUUGUGUGGUCAUAGUUUUGUGACGGUUUUGCAAUUACUAUAUGUCUAGUAGUUUAAUGAUCUCUCCUCGUAUUAAUUAAGUAGCAUAUGUUGUCAUUAAUUAUAUGAGAAGCUUAUAGAAAAGAACAACUGAAAAUGGAUGAGAGCAUAAGAUUAAUACAAACAUUUAUUCAUUAUUGAAAAGAUAGAGAGUAGAAGACUUAUAACCUUCUACACACAUACACAAACGAGCACGAGAGUCUUAACAUUGUUGUCACAUACAUGGUAAUUAUUGGAAACAUGGCAAACAACAGUGUAAAUC
rnacentral:lncRNA from 1 species